rnacentral:lncRNA from 1 species
GUAACCAAGCACAGACUCUGUUACUGCUAUAACUAAUUUAUCACAUGACUAUAAUUUCCAGAACACCUUGCGCUUGUCCAAUGGGUUGUUCAACUUGAGGAGGAGCUAGCAGAUGUGCGUUGACAGAGGUGACAAUGAAGACAGCGAGUCGUCGAAGCCAGUAGAAGAAGUGCUGAAACAGAGAAGCGAACAUUGCAUAACAGAGUGAUAAGACUAUGAGGCACAAAUACGCUACCAAGAACAGAGACGGAGCCAAAAUGACAGAGGCCACUGCCGAGACAGCCAACAGAACAGAGAGUUCUCCACAACUCACGGAAAUGGGUCGGCUCACUUUGAGAGGAACUCUGAUGGGUGUGAGGAGGAAGAGCAGUAAUGGGAUGACGACGACAGGAAUCAGGAACCAGAACUGAAGCUUUAAAAUUGGAUACAGAAGUAUCUUACUUGUACCAUCUUGGACGUUCCAAGAGUUGCCAUCCUGAGACUUGAGGAACAGAAAAAAGAUUAUAAGAUUCAGCAAUGGAAGAAAUAGAAACCUCAAAUCGAUUGAUAAGUCCAUGCCUGUGAAUCAGAUUUGGCAGAGAUGAUUGAGUUUAAUUAUUAUGAAUAAGAUUUGGCAAUGGCGGAGUUGAAUGAAUAUGCUGGAGUUGAAGCUCCAUGAUACUACGAGGAAAUACUUAUAGAGCUAAUUUGAGGGUAAGAAACAAAGCAAGUCAAAACGAUUUGGUGCCGCCCUCUGUAGAUCGUUAAGACAACGUGUCCUCUUUCCUCAGAGGAAUUUAUAAGUUUAGUAUCUUUCUCAUUUUACUAAGUUAAUAAUUUAAUUAUUUAUUCAUUUUACUAUUUCAGAAAUUAUAAAAUAAUAAAUUGGUGCGGGAAGUAUUAGGAUAUAACAUUUUACACCAUAUAAUACUUCAGGAAUUGUUGAAUAUCCUCAAGAAACCUCACAUUUUACUACAAUUCUGUUAAUUAAAAUUGACUUGUAAAAUACCAAUUUUUCAUGGUAAAAACUAUAAAUUAAUUAAAAUAUCUCGUUGUUUGUAUAUACCAAUAUAUGAAAUUAAUUUUGAGAAUCGGUUCUCUCUAGUUUUCAAUUAAUUACUGAGUUUAAAUUUUUCCACUUGCUUCUUGUUUAAUAAUGCAUGCAUGGAUAUGUAUAUUGAUAUAAUAAUGCACAUAACACGUAUAUCAUGAUCCGAUGGAUAUGAUUCAAAAUGAUUAAACUACCAAGCCCAUUGAAAUUGUUGAUGCGAAAAUAUGAGAUGAGUGGUGUGUAAUUGACAACUACUUGAGUUGGAUUGUAGCCUAUGCCUAUCAACAGUUGUUUUUUCAAUGGAAGUGUCUCUUUUACAAAAGUCAGAAGCAAUUGAACGAGGAAUAUAGGAGACAAUAAAUUAAUGUACGCAUCGACGGUCAUUUUUUAAUUUAUUGACUUGGCAAACUCGACAGUCCUUUUUCUUACAUUUAUAUAAGUUCAUCAGAUUAACUCGACUCAUAAGCUAGCUCAAAUACUAAGGAUUAUCUCGAACUUAUAUUAUUAACCUAAUAACUCGGCGAAUGUAUGAUAAUGUCUUCAAUAAUAAUCUCAUAAAACGGUGCCGUUAAGCGACGAUACAUGUAAUGGUAGGCAAUCUGUGUGGCUGAAUCCAGUACCGUCGCCUUAAGGUUGGCUCAAAUUAAAUGUUGAUGCUGCAAUGAAUCUGACGGCUGGGAUAGCCGGACUUAGGAGACAUCUCUCUUAUUAGGUUUCAGGCCUAUUCCCUUCUUGGGCUUCUCUCCGUCUUCAAACUAGGGUAAUGAUAUUGACACCCCUUCAUUAUCCUCAUUGCACCCUUUUCUUAGAAAUUACAAUUUUAGACAAUCAUACAAUUCUAAUUAAACUCAUUUAAUGUUUCUCUCUCUCUUCUAAGAAACCCACACAUUCUAUUACUUAUUUUAUCUGCAAAGUCCUUCAUUACAUCAACAUGUCAUUUUCUUUUCUUUUUAAUGUUUGUGACUCGUCAUCUAUCCGAUAUUUUAUCGAAAUAACCUUUGUUUCUUUUCUUUUAUUACAAUUUAUUAUUCUCAUGUUUUUUCAAAAAAUAAUUAUUCUCAUACUUAAAGAACACUUUUAAACUAAGGAAAAUUCAAAUAUAUUUAUUUUAGAUCAAAGUUAUCACCCAAAAAUAUUAUUUGUGUAGAGGUAGAGAAUAGGAUUGUAAGAGAAGAAAUACUCCAUUUUAUUUUAGGAGUGAGAAAACCCAAAAAAAAAAAAAACCAACAACAACAAACAAACAAACAAACGAAAUAGGGUUUAAGAAUAAAAGUGUAUUUUUAGUAUUAAAACUAGUAAAAUUGGAAAUGGUUUCAUCAGGAAUUUUAAAGGGCGGUAGAAGCUCCACUCUUAAAACUAGUUGUUUUUCAUUGGUUAUGGACCUUUUCGUCUUCUUCCGGGGCUGCUUGUAAUUUUCUUUCAUGCCGGGUUUAACCAAUUGUAAUAAAAUGAAAUGCCAUUCAAGAGAGUGAGAUUUCAAUACGAUCCCACAUCUACAAACAUGCAUCAAAAUUGAUUAACAUAUUAUUUAUUACAAGUAGACAAUGGAUUAGAUUAAGGUAUUUUUAAAUGAGUAGACACAUUCUAAAUUUUUUUAUCUCGAAAAAUUAUCUCAAAUGAUGUGACAUUUAUUAAUUAGUUAGUGAAACAAACAAUCAAUUCACUUAGAUCUUAUAAACAUUUACUAACCACUCAUAAAUGCUACAUCAUUAGAAUGAAAUUUUGUAUAAAAAAUUUGGGAUGCCCAUCAUUACUCUUUUUAAAUAUGACAAAAAAUACGAUUGUGUAUAAAAAUAUAUAUAAACCAGUGAUACACAAAAGAUAUACGAAUGAAUGAUUCAUUUUCCAACAAAAUGGAUGCAUAUAACAAAUGAGAACUAAUCAGGAGAUAAAACUCUCUAAUUAUCCUUCAUCUUCAGAUUUGUUCCAGUGGUACAUGAAUAGUAGUGUUGAGAAAGGAACAUACCAAAAAUAAACUUCAAUAAUGCGUAAUUAAGCUACAUUUUUUUCUCUAUCAGCGUGAUCAAAAUGAGAGUAUGUACAACAACAUAACUAUAGGAACUAAGUGGUAUUAUUAUUAUGCAAAUAUGCUUUCCAUGGCGAUAUAAAUAUACUCUCCAUGACAAUAUCACUAGUCGCAUGACCAAAAAUACCGUCAUUCACAAUAACCUCUCAGAGCCCGUUCAGAAGAAAUCAUUCAGUGUGGAGAUACGAGACAUGAAGCAAUCAAACGUCUCUAACAAUAUAAAUAUGCUUAGUCAUCAAUUUACCCCUUACUUACCCCCUUACUUACCAACUAACAUUUUUUCUUUUUUUAGUUUGGAGAUUAAUAAAGAAGAAAGAAUCUUGAAAACUCCUUCAUUUGCUACGAAACGCGAACUGUUUUCAACUAUACGAGAGAGACUUGAUCUUCUCUUUUAUCUCCAAAAUUACAACGAUUCAUUUCUUUAAUUUGCCUAGUAACAAAAAAAAAAGAGGUAGAACGUCAUCAUACUGCCCAGGAACCUUACUAGCUUUCUUUCCUUGCCCAAUAGGAAAAAUAUUAUUCUCCAUUAACAAACAGCUACAAAGCUUGGAACAUCCCGAAACAUUGUUCUCCAUUUCCCCAUCUUUUUAUUAUUCAUGGUAACAUUGCACUCUAAUUGAGAUAAAUGCAUGUAUCCGCAACUAUAUUAAUUGAGGAGACAAAUUAAAAUUUCCCAGGCAUGAUGAAUCAAUUAUCCACAGGUACAAUUAAAAUUUCAAAUGGACAUAUUUAUGUAAUUCCUAAAGCCUACCAAGCUUCUUAGUUAAUCUGCUCAAAAUAGAAUAUUCUAUAGCCACAUUUUGAUAAAUUGGGGUUGUUCAAGUCCUAUAUUCUUUGAAUGCUGAUUCUUGGAAUUGGUUGCUGAGUUUCCAAUUAUUAAUUGAACUAUAGUGAUUAACACACACACAUAUUUAUGAUUAAGGUACAGUCAGAUGUAAUCUUUCGUUUACUAAUAAACUACAACAUGUUUCUUUUGCUAGCUAGCUAGUUGGUUUUUAAACAUAUAUAUGAAUUAUCUAACAGUAUAUAACAAUACGCAUAAUCCAGGUUAAACUAGAUUAAAUUAAACCGAAGAAUUAUGAAGCUUAAAAGUCACAAAGUAGGCUUUUCUAUUACAGUACUGCAAAGAAUGCAAAUUCAAUUUACCUUCUCAGAUCUCGUAAAGCUAUAUCAUUAAUUGGACCUUAAUAAAUACCCGAAGAAGGAAGUAUAAGAACCCAUAGAUGUAUUAAGUACUUCUCCCCCGAAAGCUUAUAUUAAUGGAACAAAGCAACUUGAGACACUUCCCAAUAAGCCAAUAGAGGAACAAAUCCACAAGUCAACAAGAUUUUCCUUUUUCAGGAAUUAAUAGGUCUACCAUUACUCAACAUGCAUUAUAAAUCAUCCAAAAACUAGGAUAAGUAUGGAAAGAAAAAAGAGAGAGAGAGAGAGAGUGUGUGUGUGUGUGUGUGUGUGUGUGUGUGUGUGUGUGUGUGUGUGUGUGUGUGUGUGUGUGUGUGUGAGAGAGAGAGAGAGAGAGAGAGAGACACUACUAGAAAAAUGGGCUACCAUGACAGAGAAUAUCUGUCAUCCGACCCCUCCUAUGACAGAGUUUCCAUCUGUCAUUGUAGCCCGUCUCACAAAUCUGUGACAACAUUUUAUCUAUCACAUGUUCCCAUGACAGUGUAUAUUUAUCACACAUGUGUCACGAACCAAGCGACGUCAUUUCGAAAGACUUUCGAGAAUUAAUUGGAAAUUUUAGCGGGUUAUUUAAAUUAUUUUGAAUUUGAUGGGUUUCUUCAAAAGCUGUCAUAUAUCAAUGAUUCACAUUCUCUGUCAUGAGAUUUAAGGUUUAAAAAAGAAUAAAAUUAUUAUUUUUAAUUUUGAAAUUAUAAUAAUAUUAAUUAUUAUUAUUAUUUAAAUUCCAGAAUUUUGAAAUAAAAACCACAUUUAAAACUUGAAUUAAUUGAAAUAAAAAUUACAUUCAAAUUCAUAAAAACUAUCAAAUACCAAAUUGUGUGAUGCGCUAAAAAUUUCAAUCACUUGAAACUUCCAACAAAUAGCAUCACAAAAUAUAUGGUGAAUCAAAUCCGUAUACAAUAUCUAAUAAAUCCUUUACAAUAUCCAAUCACCAACACAUCACUAGAAAAACAAUUAAUCCAUAAAAAAAACACUCUUAGAAAAUUCCCGAAAGCCACCAACAUCACCUGAAACAUAGGUUACAAUAAAAUGAGUGCCAAAAAAAUACAUAUUAAUAUAUUGCCCACUUACAAUUAAUCAAAUUCAUAAUAAAAUUCAUCAGUGUCUAAUUGAUUUAAUCAGCUUUGAUACUAAAGGGAAAAUGAGAAUAAACAACCCAAGAGAAAAUAGAAAAUCACAUUCGACAAUUGACAUAAUGAAGCAGUAAGCUCACAAGCUGUAAAAGAGAAAAAGGGAAGAAAAUAAAAAUGAUGAUAAAGCAGUAUAACCUGAAUGCUUAUGUAGCAGUGACAGUUGACUAGGUCUUCCUAAGAGUUGCUGGAUUAUAAAAGAUUAAGUAUAAACAAAAUAUUUUGCAACAUAGUACAUAGUAAAGAGAAAUAUAAAACCAAGUGCAAUUAAUGCCAAAGACGAGAAGAGAACUUUUAGUCUAGCCUUCUACAGAUUUCAAUUCUAAAUUUCUAGAUGAAUUUUUUUAAAGAGUAGUUUUUCAAGACUACAAUUUAAUUAAUGCACAACAUCUAACCUUCCAUAUAUAAUUAAAUAAAAUCCAUCAAAAUCAAGCUAAUAAAAAGAAAGGAAAAAGUUCUAAAAAUACAAAAGAUAAAGAGAAAAUGUAGAAAAUUCUGGAAUCACCAGAAUCUCCUCAAUCUACCAACUUUAAUACCAUGAUUGUAGGCUUGCCAAUCUAAGCCCAAAGCGUAAAGCAUAAUCUAAAGUUUCCAGUGGGUGAAGAAAUGAUGAUCUCUCAAUCAAUUCAAAAGGCAAAGACAUUGUCGAGCGCAUAAAUUGUUAGCUUCUCUUCUACCACAUCAGAUCCUUGAUGCAAAAUUCAAUGGGCAAGUAAAGGGACACAUUGAGAUAAAUAUUGGUCAAUUUAAGAAUUGAAAAUGGUGGAAAGAAGUUUAAAUAUUAGGACAGUCCAGACCAGGGGUUAACAUGAUAAUGAAAAAUUAUAAAUCUCAUGAGUUAUAUAUAUACAAAAACCAAAAAAAGAUAGAUAGGCUGGAAUCUCUUGGUUCUUAGGAGCAAAAGUAUCAUUAUUUAUGGACCAGCUGUUUCAAUUUUUCCAAAAUUACAUCUUCAAUUUAGCUUUACAAGACCAUUCUUUGCUCUGCUAGUUUACCUAGUCACCAACUCUGAUUGUCCAUUUAGGAUUGAAUCUAUAUACUCUUAUAUAAUGUCUCUUCUGGAGGAAAUAAGCAGAAAAAAUAUUCUAACUAGAUGAGACCCUUUAGUGUGAUGAUGCUACGCAAUGGAUGCUUUAAAUGCAUCCAAUUUAAUUUAUGAUGCUAAAGGACCACCGAGUACUGAGGACUAGUAAGUGCAACAUGGACCACAAACCAAAACAUUUCCAAUUAACAUAGCACAAUAUGUGACAAAUCAAAUUGAAAAAAAAAAUCUUCCAAAAAGUUCAACAUGUCAAUUAAGAGAAAAAUAAUAGGAUGCACAUUAAUACAUCCAUAAACAGCCUAGUUUCUCUAUCAACAAGUUAGUCAUAAGCACGAGUCAAAAUAAAUCAUUUGACUGAAAUGGUAGAAGACCAAGCAAAUAAAUGCAAGUACCACCACACAAAGCAUUUGCAUUUCCAAAAGUGAAUUUCAUAAAUUUUUUGCAGAAGAUAUCUUUCUAAUAAAAAAAAUAAACACAAGUACCAGUCAAUUGUAAUGGGUUUGAGAACCACAUAUACCUCUAAAUUUGAUUAAAACCUUGAAGUCACAGAGGAAAUUUUUCAGUGUGUUAACAACAUUGAUAUUCAGCAAGGCUUUGUGUAUGAGAUUCAGCUUGUGCAGCUUGGGCAGUGACCUGUGCUAGGGCCUGCUAGUGCUUCAUUCUAAAGGCUCCCUAGGUUGCAUCCAAUGAAUCAGGGAAAUUAGUAAUAGAUGAACGCAAAAUUUGGAUACCCAAGUAACAUAAUGCCAGUGAGGCAUGACAUACAAAGCAAUAUAGACAAUACAAGUUAUCACUCACUCAUUCAAGCUCUGGUCAUCAAAUUAUAACCGGAAGCUAAUACUCUUUCAUUCUUGGUUGCUAAUAAAGUUGUGACUAGAUUGGAGAAUUUCUCACAUAUUUGGCUUAAAGCUACAUAAAGAUCUCUAUAUCUUAGAUAUGGGAGUUAAAAGUGUUCACUGUUUACAUGAAGACAAUUGGAUCUCCAACACUAGUAAUACCAAGAGCUUUUCUUUCAUUAAUUGUUUGCAUUAACCAUAUGCUUCAUCUAAAAAGGGAUGAAACUAAAAUCAGGAAAGAAAAAUGCCCGAUUACCAUUAAAACUUGACCUGGAUAGCCUACUAUCCAGUCCAUUUGGAUAUUUAGAAUACCAAAACAAGAUGAGAUUAUCUCAGCAAUGCACAAUCACAUUACAACAUUGCUCAAAAUGUUCUUCUUUCAGAUUAAUUAAGUCAAGAGUUUUUAUCCCAAUUACAGGGCACAUUUAUAAAUUCUAUAGUAAACGGUUCAGCAAGCUCUAAUUCAAAAUUCCAUAGUAAAUGCUUCAGCAAGCUCUAAUUCAAAAUUCCAACCGACUGCUAACAAAUCAAGGCAAUGAAGAAAAUUCUCCAUCCCUCCAAAAAAAAAAAUCAAAAUUCAAACCCAAGGAUUAUUAGAAUUUAAAUGCGAAACCCAAUAAAAAUGAAAGCUUUCCUAAACAAGCUAAAAUCUAAUGAAUAAAUGAAGAAACUUUAAGUCUGACAAAGUUAAAUUGAAUUACCUGUGUAGGCGAAAGCAAACUGAAAUUUAGCGAGUCAAGCAGAAUUGCGGGGCUCAACCUGGGCGGCACCUCAAAAAUCGACGGCGGUUGAGCAAUCACCAGACCAGCCGAUAUAUUCUGAUCAGAAAACCCCAAACCCUAGUGUACAAAUGAAGGAACCCAUCAGCUUACUUCUCACAAAAGAAGACAGUAACAGCAACUCGAACUCGAAGAAAAUCUAAAUUAAGAAGACAUUAGCUAUAGCUCGGAGUUGAAGAAGGUAGCAGGCUAACGGCAACAACCAUUAAGUUGCGAAACAAAAGGAAAUGGGAAUAGCCAGCAAGCUAGAGAUCGGGGAUGAGGACGAAGACGAAGACGAAGAGCAGCAAUUUGUUGUCGGCAAGCAGCACAGCAGAUGACCAAAUCUGUGUAGGCAGCGUGAUUGUGUGUUUGUGUGUGAUUAGGUUUGGAUUAAGAAAUUAGGGCUUGCCAUGUGAAGCCGAAGGGGAGUCCAACACUUAAAUUUUUUUUAUUGGUAUCAAGAUACGGUGUCGUUCCAUGCCCAAAUUGGCCCAUUAUAAAUUCAAUGUUUCAUUAAAUAUUAAUAUGCUAUCAUGUGUAUUUGAUAGAUAAAUAAACUAUCACAAAUCUAUCAUGUCUUUACGAUAUAUGAACAUUCUAUCACAUGUCUGUCAUAUUUUUAUGAUAAAUGAUUAAUUUUUUAAAAUCUAUCACAAAAAUUCUAUCAUAGUAGCCUAUUUUUCUAGUAGUGAGAGAGAGAGAGUUAAAAGGAAUCUGCAUUCAAAAAAGGAAAAAGGGAGAAAAUAUCGAUCAAACCUCUUCUUUAGGUGAUUUCAAACGGGGGCAUUGGUUUUUGAUCUAAAGAUGACUCCAUGGACAAUUAAUUUACUGAAACACCAACACACUAUUUGAAUAUUUAUUUAUUUAUUUAUUGGUUAUGUAAGAAUUAUUUUCAAUAAAAGAACUCGAAUUGGGGAAGAGAAAGCUAGGAGACGACACAGAUAAGAGAGUGACUUACAGUCCUUAUGUGCAAUAUGGUCCAAUUCUUCUCAAUGAAGAAAACGUACGACUCUUGUUAUCUUCAAGAAUUAUGGACCAACUUAAACGUGUUAACUGUCACAUGCAUGCGGAGCCCUUUUUUUUAUAUAACACUGUUAUGCCAAUGAUAUUAUAAAUUAAUAAUUUGCUAAAAUAUUAAUGUAAUUGUUAUGAUAAUUUAUUUAAUAAAAUAUGGUAAUAUUAUUAUUUUUUUCUUGAAACUUAAAUAUAGUUGAAUUCCUUAUUUAAUUUUCUUAUUGCAUCUAGAAGUUUUGGGAUUGAACUCUCAAAGUAAAAAUUUUGAAUUUAUUUUUUGAAUAAUUUAAUACAUAUUUAGUCGAUUAAUCCAUAUUUAAUGGAAUAGAUUGGUAAAUAUAAUAGAUUUCUAGUUAAUUAAAUACAUGUUUAUUGACUUGCAAAUACAUCAAUUAACUAUUACUUUUUUAAUUAAUAGAUUUUAUAUGUUUCAACACGUUUUACUGCGUUACUGACUGUCGCCGGGGUGCUGGAUAAAAAUGAAAAACAGAAAAAAUCUGAAGAAAAAUUUUAUUAAUAUACCGGUCUCCAUAUCAUAGCCAAUUGAAACAACCGCUGCUUUCUUGGAAAAUCAUAAACAUUGCAUUUUAAGAAAUAAGUGAAUAAUUAUUGAAAGAACUAAGAAGUACAUGAAAGCAGACAGUGUAUCAUCGUUUUGCUUAUAGAAAGGUGCUUUUCAACUCUUUUCUUCAAAUCAAGCCGAAAUAGUAACUGACAAAAACUGCGAAAUAGAAACCUUUCCUUUUUUUCUUUUUUCUUUUUUGUUGUUUGUAUUCCACGUUGUCGUUAUUAACUAUGAAAAGGAAAGAUAACAUGAAACUCACAAUUCAAUAUUUGGUUGCCCUAAUAGAUACUAGGAGCUUUGCAGUGGCACCAGCUAAACGGAAUAUUUAAUAUCAAAUGACGACCACAACUUCCAGAUUAUCUUCAGACUUUGAACUUGGCUGCAGGUAAUUUUGAAUCUUGUUAGUUUACUGCUAUUAAAAUGUUACACAAGAAAAUAAAAUAAGCAAACAGGUUGUGGUUACGUACCUUAUUUAUAAUUACACUCGAAUAAUGUUCACUUCAACUUGGGAAGGAGCUGGUUUGACAGUACAGGCGAUGAAGAUAGUUGGAAUGGAUGUUAUUACGGUGCUCGUGAGACGUAGAAACCAGUCGAAGCAGCGCUUUCACGGAGAGGCUAACACUGAAUAACAGAGUGAUAAGAUUAUGAGACACAAAUACGCCACCAAGAAAAGAGAUGGAGCCAAAAUGAGAGAGGCAAGUGUUGAUAUUGCCAAGAGAACGGAUAGUUUUCCACAGCGUACAGAAAGUUGGCGACGGAUCCUGAGGUGGAGUUUGACGGAUAUGAAGAGGUAGAUCAAUAGUAACAGCAGGACAAGAAUCUGAGAGAAGAAGGGGAGCUUCAAAAUGGGAUAUAAAAGAAUCUCACUGGUACCAUCCUGGACGGCCCAAGAAUUGCCAUCUUGAGAUUUCAGGAACGUAAAGAAGAUUAUAAGAUUUAGUAAUGGCAGAAAUAAAUACCUCAAAUCAAUAGAAAAUUUCAUGCUUAUGGUGAUGCUCAAGUUUUCUAGGGGAAGAUGUAUUUAAUUUACAAAAAUGCUAAAUGUUAAGAGAAGAAUGAGAGAAAGGUGAGAGAAGAAGGCAUGUGCUGAGAGAAGAGACAGAGAGAGAAGCAAAACGGCAGACUCACUUUUCUCUCAUUCUUCAAUUUAUAGUGAGCUUUUUAUGUCAUGAAAAAUUGGAAAUUGCGUGGCAAAUUCUUUUGACCAGUUGCACAUGCUGUCCUGUUGAUUGGCUGGUUUUUGGAAACUCGAUCAUCACCGUUUGUUCAAGCAAAGACCCAAAUGGUGAACUAACGGUGAUGAUCGAGUUCAAAAAGAGAAAAAGAAAAAGAAGUAAACAGUGAUGUCUUCAAACUUUUUUUCCCCCCUGAGAAAAAGGCUUUUAAUACAGUUCUUUUCUUUUUCCACAGAUUGGUAUUAUUUCUCAGUAUUUGCUUAAUUUACUGCAAUAAAUUUUCAAAAAGUGUUCAAUCAUAAUGAAUUUUCAACCAUUAUCCUAUACGAAUCAUUAAAUUAUAAAUACUGAUGUUAAUCAAAUAUCAAGUAGAAUUUGUUUUUAAUAGAUCAAUUAGUUAAAGUACAUUUGAUACACUAUUUAGAACUUAUUUUUAUCUAAAAAUUGAUAAUAGGACCAAAUUAAGUAAAUUGUAUUGUUCAUGUCACUGAUACAAUAAAUAAAUGAUGUAAUGCUAUUUGUUCAUGUAUUUUGAAAAAGUAACAUAUAAGUAGUAAUUAUAUUAAAUUAUAUUUCUCAUGUCACAUAUUCAAUAAUUUAUUAUAUUACCUCUAGAUUUUCUCAUUCUCAAUAUAUGCUUAAUUGUAAUAAUUUUUUAACAACUGUUCAAAGAUAGCUUUGCUCCGGCUGUGUGUGUGAUUGACAAAUAUAUUAUUAAAUUGUACAACAACGAAAAAGACGCGAGUUGAAAUUGUUUCAACGACGUCAAAUGUUGACCACAUCAUUUUUUGGGCUUUCUCUCAUGGGCUAUUUCUUUCUUCUUCUUUUUUGAAAAAUCUCAUGUGGUAUUCAUUAGUGCUUUUAUUUAUAUUUUUAGUUAGUCAAUCUACUUUUAUUGAACUGGGAAACAAAUUGUAGUGUAAGGAAUAAAUUUAUGUUUAAAAAAAUCAAAACAAAAAAAUGAUAAUAAGAAUAAAUUUAUAUUAAAAAAUCAAAAUUAAAAUAUGGAUGGAUAAGAUUUGGCAGAGAUGAUUGAGUUUAAUUAUUAUGAAUAAGAUUUGGCAAUGGCAGAGUUGAAUAAUUGUGGUGAAGUUUAAGCUCCAUGAUACCAUGACGAAAUAAAUAUUUACAGUACCCUUUACAAAAUUUUGGUUGCCUCUAUUUAAUUUAACCCAUGCUCAGUUAAUUUCACUCUUUUUUAUUUAACUCUUAUUAAAUCCUUCUUAUUUAAAUCAAAAGGAUUAAACCUCAACGAGUGUUUCCCCGUAGGCUGUAUCUCCUCAUAAGUGACUUAACAAGUGUUUUGUGAAUGAAAAACUAUGUAAUCAAAAAGAAAGGAGAAAAACUAACUACUAUACAAUACAAGUGACUUAAACAAAAACGUCAUACACAAAAUAGAAUCCCGAUCCAGGAUUACCUCUGAUGUCAAAGUUAAUUUAUGGCAAAGGUAUUCUGGAAUUUGUGCAUGAAGGUUGUGGUCACCUCUUAGCUUAUAUGUUAUGUGAAUUUUGUGUUCUAAUUACUAAUUUGUCUUGACUUUGUGUUCAAACGUCAUUUCACAGUUCACACGCUUGGGCAUGUCCAGUGCUAUCAUUUUUAAUUUCCCAAUGGCAGGGCCUUGAGUUUUGAUUUAUUUAUUUUCUCCCCUUUUUUUGUUUUCUUGACUUUCUUUCUCUCUGCCGGGACCGGGGAGCUUGAGCUUGAGUUUUGAGCUUUAAUUAGAUUUAUAGUCUAUAGUUUACGGCAUUCACAAAUGUGACACAUUGCAAAUGUUUGAAUUAACAUUUGAGAAUACAAUAUGUCACAUCUGUGAAAUGUCUGAAUUGACAUUGGAGAAUAUAACAAAAGCCGAGCCCCACAUUUGUGAAUUCAGACAUUUCAAUCGGGAUCGCCUUCUACCACGUGGCUGCCGAUGGAAGAAGUUUUAAUCAUUUUGUGAAAUCUUGGCCCUUGGGCGUCCUGCGUCCAUGUCCUGUCCAAGGGCCAAGAGUUAAUAAUCAGCUUAUAAUCAGCUGAUUCCUAUUAUAAAUUUGAAGUGCAAAAUAUGAAGUCUAAUGAAGGGCAAAAGAGACUUUAUUGAAAUGAAAGAAAGAGAUUUAAUCAUUUUGAGGUGGGAUUUGCAGGAAAGUACCUGGAAAUACCCUGAAGUGCAUAAUAUGAAGUCGUAUGAAGGGCAAGAGAGACUUUAUAUAAAAGAAAGAAAGAGAUUUAAUCAUUUUGUGAAAUCUUCUGGUCGUCAAGCAAAGAAAUAACCCGCGGAUUAGUACCCUUUAUUCGCACUAUCUUGGUAGACGUCAACAAGACGCAACCUAACACCGGCCAUUUUAUUUUACAACAUUAUAUGUAAUGUCGAAGUAAUUGUUACUAGUUGGGGCGCAUUUUUAUUGGAUAAAAUUGUGGCAUUUUCUUAUACAAUAAAACCCAAGGCGCACCACAUUUUGAAAUCAAAGUAAUUGUUAUUAUUAUUUUUUUAAUUUUUUUUUUUUACAAAAUUUUAUCCAACAUAUUAUUCUUGGUUAUUCAGAAUUACUUUUAAUAAGAUGUAGAACAGCAGAAGUUAGACCAAAUUAUCUUUAAUAAAUGUAUGAAACUAUGAUCUAAUUGUAAACCAUUUACUAAUAAAACCAAAAUAGGCAGGCGUUUUCAAAUUGAUAUUGUUUUAUUAGCAGGUUGCCCACACUUGUCUUCUUUGAUUCCAUUUCUUUACAUCCGUUGGAUUAAAGUUUUGAUAUAUAUUUUCCUUUUUCUUUCUUUCUUUUUCUCUGCUGAUAAAGUUGUAGGUUGAAGAUGCCAGGAGCUUUGAGUUUGAAGAGGAUUUAUAUAGCUUUGAGGUUGUGUAUGCAAUUAAAAUAAAGAUAGAUAGACAACGUUGUCUAUCUAUCUAUCUUUUUAUUUCUUAAUUGUCUAUCUAUUCAUCUUUUCAUUAAGGAAAUGCUUACCGGUAAAUUUCUUAUGUAAAUUAAAUAGACGAUUGGUUACGGAGAAAAAGAGGAUGGAAUCAUAUUAAAACGAGUGGUUAUGGAGAAAAAAGAGAAUGGAUGGAAUCACAUUCAUAUGCAUGAGAAGCGCAUAUAGCUAUUCCAAUCAACAUCACAUUAAUUUCCUUUGACUCUACGAAAGCCUUCCCAAUUAAAUAGAAAUCACUCAAAACUCAAUUAAACAGAAAUUACUUUGAUUUUUCAAACAAUUAUUUAGUCUCCUGUCCAAUUGAAAAGUCAAGAACACUAUGUAAGCUUAAUUAUAUGGAAACAAUCAUUCCACCAUAAUCAUAAUCCUUAAGCGCUCGUAGGGAAAAAAAACAAAUAUAUAUAUAUAUAUAUAUAUAUAUAUAUAUAUAUAUAUAUAUAUAUAUAUAUAUAUAUAUAUAUAUAUAUAUAUAUAUAUAUAUAUAUAUAUAUCUUUGAAACUAUGAAUAUAUUGUUUCUUUUUAUCAUUACAAACAUGAUUUUAAAGACUUCAAAUUUUUUCAUAAUCUCGGCAAAUGUAAUUUGGUGCAGACUUUUAUUAUUUAUAAUGUAUGAUUAAGAUAUAAUUAAUUUGUAUACUGUUAUCCACUGAUUUGUUAAAGCAAAUUUAUAUAAGAGAGAUUUUAAUAUUUCUUUGGAGAUUUAUUAAUUGAUGAUUGAUAAAAAUAAAAAUCAUAAAAUAAAAAUCUAAAUCAUGCAUGAUUAAUAACAUAUAAUAUCAAAAAAUUGUUAAAUGGCAAGUAAAAUCUAUAAACAAAGGUUGUAGAUUUUGUUUUUGUUGUUUUAUUUAAAAUCUAAAUGUUUCUUAAGUUUGAAUACCAAUAUUUGAAAAAUAAGUUUGUUUUUCUUUUUCUAACAUUUGAAUAUAAGUGACAUCUUAUUUAUUUUUAUAAAUAAAAAAAAAUUCUCAACAUUAUUUGACAAUUAUAUCCUUAUAAAUAAAAAAAAUGAUUAGGUUUUAUAAUUUAGAAAAUGAGUAUAUUUAAUAUGUAUAUUUUUAAAAUAUAUUAUUUACUUCUCAUUCGGAUAAAAAUUAUAAAAUUUUUUUUAUAAAAAUUAUAAUUUUUUUUUUAUUCAAAUGUAAAUGUCUAAAAAGAAUGAGGGCAAAGCAAAUAACCCAUUCUCAUUACAAUCGGGACACCUCAGGGCAGCAACCUUCCCAUGCAGUUGCAUAUUGACGAUCAAUUUACAGCUGCCAUUGCAGCGAAAACAGGGGAAAAACCUGACAUCAGCACAGCCUUGACACACACAUUUGAGCUUCCUGAUGGAUAUGCCUUCAAUCAAUUCAUCAUACCAACCCUAUUCAACAUCAAAUUAUCAGGAAAUAAAAAUGAAACUAAUAUGAUUUUUUUUCUUUUUUGAUAAAAAGGUCUCCCUUUUAAACAUUCAACUAGUGAAUAAUAUAUAAAAGGUGGGCUGGAUUGUUAUUCACCCAAAAUACAAUUUCAGAUUGCUCCAAGGCUACAUUCCUGGCUUUUGGAGUACAUCGAAUUGAUUAUGUUGUUGCCUUUUAAUACAAGAUUUCAAAUCAGAUAUAACCCAAAAAAUUUCAGCUCUUGUGCUUUUCUUGUUCAGAACCAGGUCUACAACCUCCCGUGAAUCAGUUUCUAUGAUUAGUGGCCAACAUCUCACCUUUUCUGCAAUUUUAACACCAAGUCUUGCAGCUUCUGCUUCUGCAUAACCUACCUCCAACUGAAAAGAAGAAGGUUUCGUAGCUGCUGCUAUCACUUUGCCUCUAGAAUCUCUAAUCACAGCACCCUAAUUACCAACUCUUUUCUGCUCAACCGCAACUAAUGCAUCCACAUUUACCUUAAAACAACCUGCUGGUGGGGGUCUCCACUUGUUAUCUACAUUAGACUUUUCCCUCAACGAUGUCUGCAAUUGUGACAGCUGGAUCUUUUUGUAUGAAUGCACAACUGCAUCUGCUUUAGCUGCUGAUAAUUGGGAAUCUAUGUAUGUAUGUAUGUAUGAUAUUGCUGGUGCCACUGUAAGGUCCUAGUACCUAUUAGAGUAACAAAGUGUAGAAUUAUAAAACAUAUGUCAUCUUUUCAUCUUUCCAUUUUGUAAUUAAAUAAGUCAUCUCUCCAUUUUGUACCUAUUAGUCUGUUGUUACCCGACCAAGUUUUAGUUGCUAUCUUCGGCUUUUUCUUAAAGUACUUUUAGCGGUAGCGGACGCAGCUAGAUUCUCUUUUUUUUUGGGCAUUACUGUCCACUUGAUCAACGGUAUAUUUGACAAAAUUCCGUGUCUAAAUUUUUAUGCUAAAGAAAAAUUAACCGUUUAACUACCCUGAGCAUUAAAUGUGUAACGACUUUUAUAGAUAUAUAUUAUUGCUUGCAACUUUUGCAUGGCUGCUGGUUAAAAAUUAUUAUAUAGCAGAUUUCUAAUUAAAUUAGAAAAAUACUAAAGCAAGCACAGCAGCUUGAAUCGAUCACUGCUAGGCUUCGAGUCUUUGAAACUGACCCCCGAAACUGCUAGCUGCUUGAACAUUCAUAGUGACGACAACAAUAUACAUACAUACAUACAUACAUACAUGUAAAUUAAUUGGUUUAUUAAAAAUAAUUAGCGAAUGAAACCAUGAUAGUGAAACGUCGAUAAAAGUUGAAGCAGAGCUUAAACAGAGAAGCUAACAUGGCAUAACAGAGUGUUAAGAUUUUGAACCACGAGUAGGCCACCAAGAAAAGUGAUGGAGCCAAAAUGAGAAUCAAAUGUUGAUAUUAUACAAAAGAAUCUGAUUAGUACCAUAACUUCCCAGGAUUACUAAUCGAAAACUAAUACACAAAUAUUUUGUCUGAAAAAGCCAAUUAAAGAGCAAUAUAAAAAAAGCCAAUAAUUAAUGCAAAUUAAAUUCUAGAAAAAUUGUUCAGCCAAAGACUGCAAAAUCUUCAUGCAUGUGACUAAUUGACUAUGCCAUUGUGCUGCAUUUGAGGAAGGAACCAAAGAAACACAUAACCGUUAAAUUCUACAUGAAAUUAUGUUGAAAUCUUACACGCAUAAAAAUUCAUUGGUCAUCUUCAACUACUAGAUCUUCAUUAUUAACUGGCACAUCUGUUUUCUCGAUAAUUUUGUCUUGCACAUCACGAAUGGUAUAUAUCCACCGGUGUCACCUCAGGAAAUUUCUCAGUUACUGGAGAUCAAUUUAUACAUCCACAAGCACUGAUUUACACAACAAUUAUCUCCCAAAACCUAAUGUAAAUUUCAAAAAGACUAAUUUGAUUGCCUAAACCAUAACAAAUUUCUCAACAAUCUGCUCCAAAUAGGAUCCAAAUGUUUCGAUAUGCGUGCACCGAAAAACGGUCUUAGAAAGAGUGAUUUUGAUUUUUCAUUCAACAAGAGUGAGAGUGAUACAAACAGAUUGUUUUUACUGAAACAUAGAACGAAAUGAGAAGGAAAUAGAAUAUAGAAGAGUGAAAAUAGAUCAAUUUGAGGGAGUUUAUGCCGUCAAAAUAAAUAUGCAGUGUUCUAGAAACCAAUAAACUUCCAAAUUCAACUUAAUUUGCACUAAAAUUAUAAUCAUUCCAUGCUGUAUCUUAAUCCAACUAUAUUUAAAAGUAAGGGACUUCAUAACUGAUAACUCCCUCAUCUCAAAUUUCCUAUAGACAAGUGGAACUUUUACUGUCUUUUGGCAUCUCAAAUUAAGAUUAGCUCUAUAUAAACAUGAGAAGUGUUUACAUUGGCUGAGGAAGCUCCUUCUUGUUUCCACAAAGGUAAAUAUAUUUGGAAUUCUUGACCUUCUGGAGGACUCUAUACCUUCAGGCUUAUGAGGGGAAGAUGCCAGCAGUCUUCAGCUAACCCAAUUGAACACACCCUCCUCUCCUCUAUUGACAAAAAAGAUUGCACUGCGGGGAUCUCGUAAUCAGGCUUUGGUGUGGGGCUGAAUCCAAUUAAGGCUUUAGAUUUAUAGAAACCCAUGGUCUAAUUCAACCCAAGAACUAGUUUACAAAUAGAAAAUUUCUCAAAUUCAUACAGUUAGCCUAGUUAUUAUUCUCUUCCAACGUGAGAUAAUAUCCUCAACAAGAUUCCCAUCUUACGGCGCUGUUCAGAUAUGGUACAUAUAAUGGUAGGCAAUCUGUGUGUGGGGCUGAAUCCAAUUUAGUGUAAAUCAUUUUUUGGCCACUCACCACAACACCAUCAAGGCAAAUUUUGAGGUAACUUGGGUCCUGCAUGUCUAUGGUGCAAGUCAUUUCUCUUAACAAAUUGUCUACCUAUACUAUUUACUUUGAAGUAAAUUGAAGUUUGAUUCAACAUAGAGAGAUUUGAGUACCAUCGUAUAUCUACUGCAAACACGCAUCAAAAUUGAUUAACAGAUUAUUUAUUACAAGUAGACAACGGAUGAAAUUAUUUUAUUUUCAAAUUACGAGAGGAAAAAAGACUAUUUAUGAAUGCAAUGUAUAUUCAUUCUUCUCUUAAUCCACAGGUAAUUAAAGUUUCAAAUAGAUGUGCACAUGUACUGGCCUAAAGUCUACCAAGCUUCUAAGUUAGUCUACUCAAAACAAACUUUUCAACAUUCACAUUUUGAUAAAUUGGUUACUGAGUUUCCAAUUAGUAAUUGACCUGUGGUCAUUAAUACACGCACCCGCUUAUAUGCUUGUGGUACAGUCACACCGAAUCUGUUAUAGACUAAUUAAAUACAAUAUGUUUCUUUUACUAGCUAAAUGAUUGGAUCUUCAUUAAUGACCGAAGAAGAAAUUAUAACAACCCAUGCAAGUAUUAGCACUUCUCCUAAAGCUAAUAUUAAUGAAACAAAACAACUUCAGGUAUUUCCCAAUAAGCCACUAGAUCAGGAUCACGUCCACAAUUCAAUAUUCCACAUGAUUUUUCCAUUUCAUGAAUUAGUAGGUCUGCAAUUACUAGAUUAAAAGGUAAUAAAAUUAAUUACUUAACAUGCAUUCUAAAUCAUCCUUAAAUUUGAUAUGUUGGGUUCCAGCUGUAGGCAAAACUUUGGAUAAGUACAGAAAAAUAAAAUAAAAAAGAGUAAAAACGAAAAAGGAAGAAAAUAUCGAUCAAACCUCUUGUUGAGGAGAAAUCAAACGGAGGGGCGGCGCUGGUUUUUUUAUCUAACCCUUGAAGCCCCGACGCGCUAUUUUUUUUUUUUGGGUUACGUAUGAAUUAUUUUCCACAAAGAACUUAAACUCGGGAAGAGAAAGACCAGGAGACAUACAUAGCCAAAGGCAUCGACUCAAAGUCCUGGUGCCGCAACGUGAUCCAAUCCUUGUCCCUGAUGAUAUAACGUAGUCACACUUGUCAUCUCAAGAAUCAUUGGACAAGGCAUACUAACCGUCAUAUACAUGUGGGGUCCAUUUUGAAAACAUUAGGUGGAGUAUGUUAUUUUUUUUUUAUUUUAAAUUUAUAAAUGUAAAAUCUUAAUUUAUAAAGCUGAAUGGGUAUUACAAAUGGGGAUCUGGAUACCUUGCCACAGUUGUAAGGGUGUGUUUGAAAUUAAGGUUGGGCAGCUGUAUUUUAAAAAUUAUAAUACUAAAGUGUUUGGUAAACACUAACUCAUGUAGUUUGGAAAAUACAUUAAAAUAUAAUAAUUUUGUCAAAAUUAUUAUUUUAAAUUUAUAUUUAUUACAUAUUAUUAACUUUUAUUUCAUAAUUACAGUUUUUUUCCUACAGCAGUUGUAAUUUAAAAGGUACAUCGCCUCAAUUCUAAACACAUCCUAAGGUGCCACUAAUUUUUUCUUUUGUGACAUUAAAUUUCAUUUGACCACUUAUAUUAUUUUUUAUUUAUAAGUUUUUGUUCUUUGGCUGGUGACCUUUUAAAUUGUAGUUUUAUUUAUUUAAGAUUAUUUAAUUUUUUAAAAGAAUAAUAUAAUAAUAAGCAAAUGACUAAAUAAUAUUUAUUUUUUUAAGACUCACUACUAAUUAAACAAUAUAAAUUUGAAACAAUCUGAGCUUAUGUGUUUACGAUUUUAACUCUUCAUUUUUUUUGAGUUUUUGAUAAAUAUUAGAGAGUAUAAUGUUAAUAAUCAAUUAGACAAAUCUUUACGGUUGAGACUAUUUUUUUCAUUAAAUCUGACGAUGAAUACCUGAAAUAAUUUAUAAAAAAAAAUUGGUGGUACCUUAUAACUAUUGUAAGGUAGCUAGAUCUAGGUAUAUGAAUAGAAAACAAUCAAUCUAGCUACUAAGAAAAAAGGGUGGGCAAACUCAAUCUAACCUAAUGGACCCAACCCAACCCAAUCGAACCCAACUUAAUUUUUACAGGUUGAGUGAGUUAUUAUGAGUUAAUUGGGUCAAUUUUUUUUAACCCAAUUAACAAUUGGGUCGGGUUCGGUUAAUUAGUGGGUUGUGUUAGUUAUGAUGAUCACAUUUAACCCAACCCAACCCAACCCAUAUAAAUAAUAAUAAUAAUAAUAAUUCUCAAUUUACAAAAUCCUAAAAAUCUAAAUGACUAAUCUAUUUUUAUCCUCUUUUUAUUCUUUUAUAAAAAAGACUAUUUUUUUCUUGAAUUUACUAUCGACUCUACUAUCAAAACUAAAAUCACUCUCUUAAAUCUUAAUUCUCAGUCAACUAAGGUAUUUCUCUGAUUUAUUCAUUCUAUAUUCUUUACUUUUUUCAAACAGUAGACCAUGAAUAGAAUUUUCAUGCGAUAAUAUAUUUAUAUUUGAUUUCAAUAAGUUUUAUUAAAAGUUUCAUAUCCUUUUCUUUAUUUAAUUUUUAAUUUUGAUUCAAUUUUCAAAUCUUCAACCCAACCCAACCCAGCUCGAUGAUUUAAGGGUUGGGUUGGUUGAGUUGAAUAUGUUUUAUUUAAUGAGUAGAGCUAUUGGCACCCCCUACAUUAUUCUUACAAAACUCCACUUCAAAUAAAAUUACAAUUAAGGACAAUUGAAAUUUAAACACAUAUAUAUUUUUUUUCUAGCAAAUUACUUAAUUCAUAAUCAAUCUUUUCAAAAAAAAAUUCUUUAUGUUACUUCCUAUUUAACUAAAAUAAAUUGUACAAAUUUAGAAUAAUAUAUUGUUUUCUUUUGAUUUCUUAUUGAUUAAAUAUUUUUAUACUUAAAAUUGCUUUGCAAUUAUAAUUUCAAAUAUGUGUUAUUUCAGUUAAUGAUUAAUACUAAAAAACUUAUCACCUAUAUAACUUUUUAAUUUGUGUGUAGAUUAAUAGUAAAAUUAAAAAUAAUUAAAAAUAGCACAGUAAUACUUUAAGUUUUAAUAAUCGAACAAAUGAAAUGAAAAUUGAGAACUUAAAAAAGUGUAUCUAAAAAAAAAGACAUUUUCGAAAAUAAAAUGAAUAUAACUAAAAAAGGAGUUUAUGAGGAGAUAAGAGGGGUGCCAAUAGUCCAACUCUUAGUUAAUUGGGUUGGAUUAUUUUUAUUUCAACUCAAUCAAUAAUGGGUUGGGUUGGGUUUUCAUAAACCAUAUCCAACUCAACCCAUGCCCACCCCUAGUACUAAGAAGUAAAGUGGGUCUACAUUUGGCUAUUAAUAAUUUGUUCAUUACUCUUGCCAUAAGCCAAUUCUCAAUAUUUAUAUAAAAUUUUAAUGGCUAUUAGUGAGUGUACGAUCCUGGAGUCCGAAUAUAUAAAAAUGAAAAGGCCAUGGCUAAUUUAAAUCAACUCCAACAUAGAGCACAAAUCACAACCACACACGCAAAGUGAUAAAUAUUUAAAAAAAUACAUUAUAACUUUAAUCAUGUGACUAUGAAAACAUGUUAUACCUUAAAACGGUUUCAACAUAACGAAACCCUAUAAAUUUAAUGCAAAUUUUUAUUUAAUAUACUGUUCUCAAAAUCAUAACUAAUUAAACCAUCGGUUCUUUUUUGGAAAAUCAUAAAUUACUACAAUGAAAAAGACAAAAAUAAACGAAUCUGGAAAUAAGUACAAGAAGCGCUAUAUAUCUAUCAUUGGUUUGCUCCCAGAAUCUGGGGAGUGCUUUUCAAGUCUUUUCUUCAAUAAAGCCGACAAUAGUUAGCAGCUAAACUAAAAGGACAUAGAUACCUGCCAUUUCAUGAUAUCCACGGACAUUAACCAUGCAGAACCAAACACUUUCCAAACGAAAAAGGCUUGGAUUCCACUUUAUCAAUAGCAAUUACAAUUAUUACAUGAAAAAUGCUUGGUGCAGAGAGAUGUGAAAAAAAAAUGAGAGAAAUAAAGAAGAAAAGGGAAGAGAGAGAGUGGGAGAUAGAGAGAAAGACAAACUUCUCUCAUUUUUCUCUCAUCUUUCCUUACACUAAUCACAACUCUUAAGAUAAAAUAAGUUUCUUUAAAACAUCACAAUUAGAAGCAUCUAUCCUUUGUUAUUUUAGAAGGGACAUAUACGUUGUCAUAUGCAUAAAUAAAACAACUCAUUUUUACGUUUUUUUUUUAAACAGAGGCACUUAAGCAUAUAUAUAUGCCCUAAGCAGUUGCAUGGAAUAUCAAGUCCCAAGUAAAAUCACACCAGAUCCUCCGUCGGACUUGGCUGCAGGUCUUGGAUGAGCCGAUCACCUUCAACUCCAACGUCAACUUCAACUUCAACUUGAUCAUCAGGAGGAGUUGCCACGGCAGUGCGUCGCUUGCAGCAGCGCUUAAACAGAGAAAUUAACAUUACGUGAAAAAGUGAUAGGAUUAUGAGACACAAAUAAACCACCAAGAAAAGGAAAGGAGCCAAAAUGAGAGAGGCGAUUGUGGAUAUUGCCAGCAGACAAGGGAGAUGGUCUCCACAACUCACGGACAGAGGGCUGCUUACACUGAGAGGAACUCUGAUGGCUGUGAGGAGAAAGAGCAGUAAUAUCAGGACGGCAAGACCUAGGAAGGGGAAUUGGAGCUUUAAAAUUGGGUACAAAAGUAUGUGGUUGGCUCCAUCCUGGAGGGACCAAGACUGACCAUCUUGAGAUUUCAGGAAGAAAAAGAAAACUACAAGAUUCAUUAAUGGUGGAAACAAAAAUCUCACAUCGACAGGACAAUUCAUUUCUGGAAGUUUAAUGUCGAAAGAAAAUUUCAUACUUUUGCAAUGGAAGAAGAUUUGAGUGCUCAGCUAACCGUUAGAAAGGGCUGCUAGUUGAGCUCUUGGGGGAUUUAUGGGAUGGCAACAUUCCUCACGGCCUCAUUUUCAUAAAACAAAGGGGAUAGUAAAAACAAGGAAAAGACAAAAGAGAUGAUCAAAUCUCUGAGACACACUCACACACACAAUUGCCUUUCAACCAAGUCAACUAAUUUCAAAUUGUCCCACAAGACCAAAACCCUUCUGAAACUGAAAUUCCAGAUCUACCCCUUUGAUUAAACUUUAGAAUUUACUUUUAAAAGACGCUUAGCAAAACGCAUGAUCAACUUUUUUAAAAAAAAGAAAAAGUUCAAUUGGUCAUGAACUUAUACAUAAGAGUGUUGAUACAAGUCUUUUUUUAAAAAAAAAGCACCAAAAAAAUUAAAAAAAGAAAAGUGGGAGUGCUGAUACAACACAAGGGAAUACAAAACCAUUAGAUGAUGGGGAAAAAAAAAUGUUUGUCCUCACGAGAUAGAGGGUAAUUCUGGCAUUUUGAAAAUUAACGAAGUUGCGCAGAAGUUUCUUGUAUCUCGGGGAUCGUUGCUCUCUUGCUUAAGCUUUGAAAAACAAAGAAGCAUUGUAAUUAGUAGUUUGUUAAUUUUUUUAUAUUGAGGCAAAGUUUUCCUUUUUGUUUGAAAAAAUUUCCAAUAGCCCCCACCAUCGUCCUUGUAAUUUUCUUGCAUGUUAUAAGCGCCAAAUUAAUGUUAUUAUUUUUGUGGAAAUAAAAUUAAUAUUCCAUUCAUUCGAUGGAAGCUUUGGCACUGGCGAGCAGUAAUAAAACAUAAUCUCGGAUUCUUAAUAAUUUUUUUUCUUUCAAUUUUUAAUUUCUUCUUCACUCUAAAAGAUUAAAUUUUCAAAAAAAAAUAUUAAAUUUUAAAAAUUUCAAAGAAACAUUACUUUAAGUGAGCUUUAAAAUUUUAAACUAUAUGAGAAAGGAAUUAGUUGUUGGUUAAGGCCUUUGCAAUGAGAUAUCUCAUUAGUUUAGAUCCAGCAUUGACGAGAGUUGUGUUGAUCAUUUUAAAGAUCUUUUAUUAUGUAUUUAUUUAUUAUAUUAGAUGGGUAUGAGUUAAUUACAAUAUAUGUCAUGAAAAUCAUUUUUACCCAUAAAGGGUCUUCCGCCAUAGUUCUUUCUUUCUUUGGCGUUAUAAACAUUCAGAAAUCCAUUUGUGAUAUUCAUGGAUAAAGAAAAUGCAUAUUAUUUGAUCCAAUUAAUUAAAAGAGCAUACUUUUCAUAUUCGUGCACUAAGGGGGAACGUUUGAUCUAAUUUGUUGAUCUAUAAAAAUUCACGGUCUAACUAAACCCAAAAACUAGCCUAAAAAUUAAAAAUUCUUCAAAUUACUAUUCUCUCUCAAUGUGAGAUAAUAUCCUCAACAAGAUUCCCUCUUAGGGUGUCGUUCGGAGAUGAUACACGUAGUGGUAGGCAAUUGUGGGGCUGAAUCCAAUUUUGUUACCGCCACUUUCAGGCUGGUUCAGAUUGGAUAUAUUGAUGCAGCAAUGAAUCCGACGGUUGGGAUAGCAGAGCUGAGGAGACAGCCAGAUGCUGGACCUAUUACCUUGCUGGGCUUCUCUCCCAUUUUAAACUAGUAGCUUCAUAGACAUAUUUGUAAUGGAAAUGUUGGUCUUCUUAAUUAAGCCAGACCUUGCUCCUAGUUUUUCUAGUCCAAGUUAUAGCAAGAAAUGACAGGAGUCGCUCUAACCCAUCCCAAUCCUACACAAGAGAAAAUAAAAGAUAAAUUAAUAAUAAAGGAGCGAUGAUAUGCUUACUUAGUUGAGAUAUUUAUUUUGUAUUCUAACUAAUGUGUCACCAAUAGAAAUGUAUUGUUUAGAUUAAAAAUAAUAAAAUUUAAUAAUUAUCUGUCACUUGAAUCAAUCAGACAGUGACAUAUCAUUUCCCAUAUCAGUUGAAAUAUAAAUUAAGUAUUUCAAUUAAAUAAGUGUAGUAUUGUUGAUAACAAAGUUGUCUCAAAUAUUGAAGGGUUCAUCGGUGGGGUGCAAAUCAUUUUUCAUAAUCAAUUGUCUACUUUACUAAUUACUUCAAAACAAGUUGAAAUUUUAUUCAUCAUAGAGAGAUUUGAGUACGAUCGUACAUGUACUAUAAACACACAUCAAAAUUGAUUAAUUGAUUAUGUAUUACAAGCAGAUUAUUGUAUUUUUAAAUUAUGAGAGGAAAAAAGAAAACCUAUGCACAAAAGAUAUAUAAAUGAAUGAUACAUCUUCCAAUAAAGAGAUGCAUGUAACGAAUUAGAACUACUUAUGAGACACAAAAUCUUUUUAAUUAUCCUUCACGGUUAGAUUUAUUCCACAUCUUCCUUUUUUUUCAUUGUACUUCUAUUUUUAUUUAUUUAAUGUAGAUUUUAAUUCUCCAAUGGUGGGGACAGAUACUCCAUAAGUGACUUGUUGAUACUUUUUUUCGUACAUGAGUCAAUCAAGCGCAAAAGAUAGAGAUGUACCUGCAUACACAAUAAUAAACAAAUAAAACAGUGAGAUAGGACUAGAAAAAUUGGCUUUCGAGGAUCCCACUUUGAUACUUAAGUCAAUGAGGUGUCUUUUUAAUUAAAAUCCGAGAGGUUUUUUUUAAUUUUCUCAAGUUCUCAUACCGUUUUUUAAUUCACUUCCUCCUUUGAGAUCCUAACCCCCUCAAGAUGGUAAAAGUAACUAAAUCCAUAUCAACACACGAGUCAACAAGCUUUUGGUAAAAAUAUAGACAAGACGCCCAAAAGCUGAGGUGUCAAAAAGAGAUAGGAAAAAGGUCUCGUCUUUCAAUUUUUCUCCUUGUAACUUCCUGUCUCUUUUUUUUUUAUUUGCCUCGAAAGGAAAAAACUGGUCAUGGUUAAAUGGUGAAUACACGAACGUUUUUUGAGGGACUCAGCUUGAUCUGAAUUCAUUCUUCUGUAAUUUUUACUUUUUAUUUGCAUAAUAGGAUCGCCUGAGUUCACGCUGGUUAAAUGUAGCAGCGUGGCAACAAAAUUUGGCACGGAUGCAUCCUGCUUUUAUGAAUAAAUGAUACUAUACUAAAAUUAAUGAACAAAAUAUUAAAAAUUUUUAUUUAAUAAUUUUUAAACAACAUUAAAAGAAAAGCAAAAAAAAAAAAAUUACUCUUUUUGUGGUAGUCGACUGUUGACGUGAAGGACCGAAAAUCUUGAUGUUUGCCGCCAGAAGAUGAUGCGAAAGUCCGUUAAUCUGACGUGACGUCAUCGUUUUUGUGAUGCCACGUAAUCACCCAUGUUGUUUUGUGCGGACCUCAGAGCUGAGCUUGUCUUUCAUCUCCUCAAUAAGGCAAACGUGAUCAACUGUCACGUGCAUGCGGGGUCCAUUAGAAGAAGAAGAAGAGCGUGGUUCUUCUUCCAGUUCUGAUUUUUGAUUAUGUACGACAAAUAUAAUUAUAUGGAACGAUGAAUUUUUUUCAGUUAUGAUAUUCUCACUUUAAUAAAAUAAAAAUAUUAUAAAAAAUAAAAACUUUAAUAUAUUAAAAAUUAUAUUUUUUAAUUUAUUAAAAUUUGUUUGAUUUUUUAAGUGACAAUAUUUUUAUUAAAAAAUAAUGAAUAAAACUAAUAUUUUGAUAUGACAAAUAUAAUAAUAAAUGCGAACCAUAUUAUAGGGAAAAAUUAUGUUAUAACAGUGGUACAAUAUUACUGUUACAACUAGCCAUUAAAUUUAUAAUUAUGUAGUUAUAUUAGUAAAAUUUAAUAAGCUAAAAACAACAGUGAUACUGUAUCACUGUUGCAAGGCACCAUAUUAUAUGUACAGGCUCUCCAAUGACAGCGUCGAUAAUGGCAUGACUGAGAACACCGGCCCACGUAAACUGACAAUCAAUAGUUAGUUCUUCAAUUGUCAAAAGUAAUUCACAUAUAGGGACCUGUCUAUGGUACAGAUUCUGUAACAAACAUCUCCCGUCAUCCCACCAUCCGAUUUUCUAUUGUUUAGUUUCUCACUCCACAUCCAACGGCUGAUGCUGCAGUCUGUAGCUUACAGAAGCUGUAAGCUAGUCGAGUCCCACAAAUAGGUUAUUGUAACGCGUGUCGUUCUAAUAUCCCUCGUCCCACUAGAGCUCUAUCGUUCAUCAAUUUCGAAAAAGUAUGUUGAUGCUCAAUUAGCGGAGACUUCAAAUGAUCGAAUUUUGAAAAUUUAAUAUUCACAAUCCACAGUAGGGACAUCAUCUUGCGAACAGGAGUCAAAAAUGGACGGCAAAAAUGAACAUUGAUUACAUGUCCCCCGGACUGACUUACAAGAUUUCGAGUACAUUAUGAAGAUUAAAAGAUUUGAUAUUGGGGAAAUAAAAAUCUCAAAUCAAAAAGGUUCAUAAUGAAUGUUGUUAAGUCAUCCUGGUUAAGGUCUUCUCGGGAUUGGGAAGCCCCAUACGACUUUUAUAUAAAGCCCAUUGGAGCCGCCUGCUAAACAAAGUAAUGCCCGUAUUCAAGCAAAAACACACACACACAAAAAAAAAAAAAAAAGGGGGGGUUAAGAGUACGAAAGCACCAUUAUGAUUUAUGCCUUUCCCCGCCCCUCACACCAUUCAUGUAGCAUUUGGAUCAUUUCACAUUUGAGCAUUGUUUAUGAUUAAUGGCUAAGAUUUGUCCCUCCUAUGUCUUUAAUUUGUUGACCAUUUUACCAAUAAGGUGCCCCACGUGAUGAGAGGAGAUAAAAGAGAUGAAUUGUAAAUUAAUUAAAGCUUGCGAAAUAAUUAAAACAAGUCUAAAGCAUAAAAUCAUGCACAAUCAAUUCUAACAUCGAGAAUAGAAAAUGCAACUUUGAUUCAACCCUUGUUUUUAAUUAUAUAAAUUAUGUACUGUCAAAAGGGCAAAACUAACGUGGGUUCUUUCUUUUUUUCUUUUUCAAGAUCAAUUACAAUGGAAUCUUAUUAUUUGUUAUAAAAACAAAAAAAUUAAAAAUUUUUAAAUUUUUACACAUUAGUCCUAUACCCAAAAAUUUUCAAAUGCAUUAAUGCUUUUGGAAGCCACGAUUUGUUUAGAAUUCAAACUCCUAUAAAUUCAAGCACUUACUCUCUUUAUACACGCAAACAUCAGUAAAUUAAAAGAAAAGGUUUUUGAGUUGUGUGAUUGAAUUUGAGGCGCAAUAACUUUAAUAGGAAAUAAAGGCAAUUGUUUGCUUUCUUUUCUGUUUUGUAAAACUCCUAAUUUAAUAACCCGGUUAUGACACAAUUAAUUAUUCUAAUUGACUUAUAUUUUAAUUCAUAGAUAUGUGCUGAAUUGGCAUCUCUAUUGUUUUGCAUGUACGAUAUUAGCCAGAGAGAAUAAAGAAUAGAAAAUAUUUAUUUUUUAGUUUAUUUUUUCUAAGAAAAUAUUUAAAUUAUUUUCAAAUAGAGUAAUUGUUUGGAAUUUUUUAGUUUUGUAAAACUCCUAAUUUAAUAACCCGGUUAUGACACAAUUAAUUAUACUAAUUGACUUAUAUUUUAAUUCAUAGAUAUGUGUUGAAUUGGCAUCUCUAUUGUUGUGCAUGUACGAUAUUAGCCAGAGAGAAUAAAAAAUAGAAAAUAUUUAUUUUUUAGUUUAUUUUUACUAAGAAAAUAUUUAAAUUAUUUUCAAAUAGAGUAACUGUUUAGAAUUUUUUUUUACCCUUCUCUUCAUUAAGUUAAUGAAAGAUCUCAAUCGUAUGGAUGUAUGCUAAUGACUAUUUAAACUACUGGGGUGAAGUAGCAAAUAUCAAUUUAUUUAAGUGUGCAAUUAAAUUGAUUAUUUUUAUUUAAAGACAAAAACUCAACCAAAAAUAAAAACCCUAUUUUUUUUCUUAAUUCAUGAAUGCUAUAAUCAAGAAGAGAUUGAAAGUGGUUUGGAAUGGGAGAAGGGGUAGAGAGAGCACUUAACAAUUUUUUUUUUUAAAGUAUCGAUGCAGGGGUUUAUUAAGAAAGUACAACAAAUUAGGAUUAUUUUAGGAAUUAAGAAGAGUAUGUAGAGAAAAGGGGUUUAAAAAGAAUGUUAGAGGUGUGCCAAUAGUCCAUGUUAAAUAAAUUUUAUGUUACGAAAAAAAAUUAACUACAUAGAAUAUCAAAUUAAAUUUAUUUUCUUAUUUUGUACAUUACAUUUACUUGAGAUAGUAAAAUCUCGUGUUGGAAUAAAAAAGGUUAUGAGAUUUGAACCUUAGUCACAUGGGUGAGAAGAAAAUUAGUUGUCGUUAUGUUAAAUUAAAAAAAAUUAUAUUAUAUUUAUCAUUAAUUAUGGUUCGUAAAUAAUAUACAUAGUUUAACUAUAUAAUAAAUUAGUUAAUUUUUUAAUUAAUAAGUAAAUUUAUUAAUUUAAAUAGAUAUUAAUAAAUGUAAGAAUAAGUCAUUUAAUUAGAAAUCUAGUUCAAUAAUGUAAAAAAAAUUAGAAUAUUAGGGAUUUAUAUAUCGUAAUUUUAAAACUCCUGAUAUUUCUUAUUUUUUUAUGAAAAAAAGAGCUUUUAAUGUUAAUAACUUAAAAUCACAUCUAAGCCUUUAUAAAACUCCUCGUUACAUCUAAAGGUGAAUUUGAAGAAGACAAUAAAUGGGGCACAAACCCAUGGGUGACGUAGCCGGACCCCUGUAAAAAAAAAAAAAACAGCCUGCUUUCAUCGCAAUUACGUCAAGGGAGCAGAUUAUCUUAUCCGCAAGAAAUUUUAGUCAAGAAUAAGUAAUAUUCUACAUUUCUACUAGGUAUAAGAGUGGGAUCUCUUUCAGAGGAACAGAACAGCACUUACUCAUUACAAAAUUCAAACCAAAUCAAUAUAUCUGUCACCAUUUCACGUAAUGUGUGCAAAUCAGUGCUUUCACUUUUGUAGACAUCAAUUCGGAUUAUCGGGGUCGACACUAUAUAUCACUUUUUCUAGGUUUAGAAUUAUUCGCUCAAUUUUGAAGGACCUUUAGAACAAAAAUGAUGUUAAAAUCAAAAAGAGAAAUGUAGAAUAGAAGUAUCCUUUUAUAUGACAUCGCGGACCCGCACGUGAGUUACUCUUUGAACUCUUUUGGAUGCGUGUCAGCUUUUGAUUAAUUUCUACAACGCAUCAGCUUUAAAUAAUAUUGGAAAUUGCCUUAUCAUCUUUGUAUUUUGUCGUGAGUUUGUGGCAAAAAUGUCAUAAACUAAGCUACGAGCAUGCGUAAGGCCUUAGGGGUACCCUUUUAUCCUAUCAAUGUGACCGCAAUAAUCUCUCGGAACCUUUAAAUCAGUGUGGGGACAAAUGAGAUACGAAGGAAUUAAGCAUCUUUGAAAGAAAAUAUAUAUAUAUAUAUAUUUGAUGUAUUAAUUCUUUUGGAUUUUUAGCAACUUGCAUUGCCCAAAUCAUUAUCUCAAUUUUCUCAUCAAUUUACCCCCCUCGUUAACAAUAUAAGCUUUCGCACACGGUCCAAGUUAUUGAUGAUUGACCAGCAUACAUAUCUGUUUUCUUGAAAACUUUUUCUGAAUGAUGGAUUUGAUCCUACAACGCAUCAGUUCAUUACCCUUCCCCAUAAGCUACAUGGUUUUAUCAUUUGAUGAUGACAUUUUAAUAUGUAAUUUCGUCCAAGACAUUCCUUUGCGACUGAUACUACACAAUCCCUAAUUGUAUUCCCAUCAUACAAGGGUCACCCACCCUUAAAAGAGAAAGAAAAAGGGAAAAAAAUAUUAUGAAACUUAUUAAGAAGUUUACUAGUAGAAAAUCUCGGGGAAAAUACUUCGAAAAGCAUGAAUUCUUUUGCAAGCGCAGCUCAUAUAACAACUUUAAAACAUUUUAAGGAGAACAAUUUCCUUGCAAAAAAUAUGAAUGACCGUACAGAAACAUGGAAAGUUCCACCAAACAGUGCAAUUUACUGAUGUUAGAAGAUGCAAUCAAUCAAUUUCCCUGACUUCCAAGUUAUUAAUGGAGGAGACAAAUUAAAAUUUCACAUGCAUAAUAAACCAAUUAUUCCACAGGAACAAUUAAAAUUUCAAAUAGAUGUAUUUAUGAAAAUGCAUAGAGCCUACCAAACUUCUUAAUUAAUCUGCUCAAAUUGGAACAUUUGACAGCCACUUUUUGAUAAAUUGGGUUAAUUCAAAUUCAAUUACAAUCCCUUUACUAUUAAAAAGAUUCUCCUACUUUCAACGCAUUUUUUUUCUCUUAGAAUUGAUACACACACACAUAUAUAUAUAAACACAUAUUAUCCUCACGGGAUGGAGGGAAAUCCUACGCUUAAUCCUAACUUCCAAACAUAAUCUUAAUGACUAAGAUUUGUCUUUGUUGACCUCUGAUUCAGUGUUAACCAAUAAGGCUUCCCACAUGAUGAAAGGGGAUAAAAGAGAUUAAUUGUAAAUAAAUAAAAGCUUGCAUAUUAAAAAGCUGUCCAAAACAUCCGAUAAAAGAGAUAAGGUUCAGAAUGUCUCAAUUAAAUAGAAAUGACUCAAAACUCAAUUAAAUAGAAAUGACUUUGAUUUGUCUAACAAUUAUUUAGCCUUCUGUCCAGUUGAAAAGUCAAGAACACUAUGUAAGCUUAAUUAUAUGGAGACAAUCAUCCCACCAUACUCAUAAUCCUUAAGCGCGUGUAGAGAAAAAAUAUAUAAAAAUCUUUGAAAUUAUGAAUGCAUUGUUUCUUUUUAUUAUUACAAACAUGAUUUUAAAGACUUAAAUUUUUUUUCAUAAUCUUGGCAAUCUUAAUUUGGUGCAGACUUUUAUUAUUUAUAAUGUAUGAUUAAGGUAUAAUUAUUUGUAUAUUGUUAUCUACUGAUUUGUUAAAAUUAACAAAUUUAUAUGAGAGAGAUUUUAAUAUUUCUUUGGAGAUUUAUCAAUUGAUGAUUGAUAAAAAUAAAAAUCAUAAAAUAAUAAUCUAAAUCAUGCAUGACUAAUAAUAUAUAAUAUCACAAAAUUGUUAAACGGCAAGUAAAAUCUAUAAACAAAGAUUGUAGAUUUUGAGGUAGCUNNNNNNNNNNNNNNNNNNNNNNNNNNNNNNNNNNNNNNNNNNNNNNNNNNNNNNNNNNNNNNNNNNNNNNNNNNNNNNNNNNNNNNNNNNNNNNNNNNNNNNNNNNNNNNNNNNNNNNNNNNNNNNNNNNNNNNNNNNACAUAGUUAUUUGAUAUUUAUAUCCCUAUAAAUAAAAAAAUGAUUAUGUUUUAUAAUUUAGAAAAUAAGUAUAUUUACUAUGGAUAUUUUUAAAAUAUCUUAUUUACUUCUCAUUCGGAUAAAAAUUAUAAAAUUUACUUUUCUAUUUAAAUAUAAAUGUCUAAAAUAAAGAGGGCAAAGCACUAAUCCAUGGAAAUACAAAACCAGUAGAUGGUGGGGAAAUAUAUAUAUAUAUAUAUAUAUAUAUAUAUAUAUAUAUAUAAUCCUCACGAGAUGGAGGGUAAUUCUGGCAUUUUGAAAAUUAAGGAAGUUGCACAGAAGUUUCAUGUCUCUCGAGGAUUGAGAAAGCAACUUAUAUUAUUAGCUAAUUAAUUUUAUGAGUCAGUUUAACAAUUUACGGCACAAAUAAAAUAGUUUUUUAAGCACUACAUAAAUAUAUAUGUUGUAAUUUCAUCUCAAAGCAACAUGCGCAUGAAGUGGUAACGAAAUACAACCAAAAAAGUUGUUAAGCGAUAAUUCUCAUGUUGAAAUUAGAAUUUGUUAAUUGGCCUAAGCACUGUUUAAUAUUUACUUUUAAAAAGGAUAUGGCAUUAAAUUCACUUGCUAAGAUAUUGGAGUAGUGUUGAUGCAAUUUUCUGUCAUGCCUGCAGAUUCAACUCGCUAAGAUUUCGGUUAUGCCUUCAGGUUCAAGUAUUGUUGCUGAUUUAUGCGAGCUGUUGGGAUAAUUGAGCAUGGCUUUAGAUUCAAUUUGAGCAAAUAUAUUUUACAGAUAAUCAUUUUUAUUUAACACAGGUGAACAUUUCAGUAACGCGUACGUGGCUUUCUAAUUCUACACGUCCCUUCUUAUAUUAUAAAUAAUUACAGUUAUAAACCAAAAAAAAAAAAAAUGCAUGUACAGCAACUACAAAUACGUAUUAGACGCCCGCAUUAUUAUUAAUAUUUUAAUGGGGGAAAAAAUGACAUGCAGAGAAGAGGCAGCCGCCUAAUACUUUUGACUUGAAAACAAAUCUCGUGCACACCGUGACAUAUCUGUUGCAUUUCAAUCUAAGGAAUAAUUCAAUAUGCACACCGUGAAUCAUCGCAAAAAUAAUUCAAUAAAUAUGCUUUCGAUGGCUAAAAAAUACCGACAUUCACAUUAAUCUCUGAGGGCCCAGCUUUAAGAAGAAAUCUGAUUAGUGUGGAAAUAUGAGACGUGAAGGAAUCAAACGUAUUUCAAAAUAAAACAUUUAAAGGGACACGUCAUGAGAGAGCCAAGUAACAUAGAAAAGAGCUAUAACAUCAAAUGUCCCCAAAACCUUAUUAACUUUCUUUCCUUGCCCAGAAGCAAAAACAUUAUUCUCCUUUAACAAACAGCUACAAGAACUUGGAACAUCCCAAAACAUUAUUCUCUAUUUCCUCAUCUUUUUAUUAUUCCUGGUAACAUUGCACUAUAAAUGAGAUAAAUGCAUUUAUCCGCACACAUAUUAAUGGAGGAGACAAAUUAAAAUUUCCCAUGCAUAAUAAACUAAUUACCCACAGGUACAAUUAAAGUUUCAAAUAGACAUAUUUAUGAAAAUGCCUAGAGCCUACCAAACUUCUUAGUUAAUCUGCUCACAAUAGAACAUUUGACAACCACUUUUUGAUCAAUUGGGUUAUUAAUCGCCUUUGUGUUCUUUGAAACCUCAUUCUUGGAUUUGGUUGCUGAGUUUCCAAUUAUUAAUUGAACUCUAGUCAUUGAUACAUAUGAAUGCUUAUGGUACCGUAAGAUGGAAUCUGUCAUAGACUGAUUAAUUAUUUCAUGUUUCUUUUACUGGCUAAUUGGUUUUUUAAACAUAUAUAUAUAUAUAUAAAUUAUCUAACACUAUGGAAGAAGAGUAUCACAAAAAAACUCUUUAGAUUUUAUUUUUUAAAUAUCUAUUUACUUACCUAUGCGGUAAAUAGAAAAGUGAAAAAAUAAACUCUCCCCUAAAAAACUCUUCAAAUAAUGCAAGAUAAUAUUAUUUUAAUUAAAUCUUUUUCUUUACCACAUUUAAUUACUCUUCAUUUUAUCACUCCAACUAUUUUAGUCAAAUCUUUACUGCUAAGUAAUUUUAUGUUGAUUUUAAAUGUCGUUGUCAUUGUUGUUGUUAUAUUUUAAAUAUGUUUAUCUUUUAGUAAUUCUAUUGAUAUGCCCUUAAUAUGUUUUUAGAUUUUAUGUUGAUUUCACACUCCUGUAAGGUCCAUUUUGAAAAUUUUUUACUACGUUUGUGACCAUUAUUAUUAGGUUGAAUAUGUCAUUUUUUUAAUCUUAAAUUUUAAAAAUAAACGCAAAAUCUGAAUGCACAAAGCUGAUGGAUUUGGCGCAUAUAGAAAUUAGUUUUUCGAUAUUUUGGCUGUGUUUUAUUCUUAUAGAUAAAUAAUCAAAUCCUACAUGUAUAUUGGUCAAUUUGGCUUUAGUUACAUGACAUAAUUUUUUUUUUUUAAUAUAUAUGGAGUUGAACUAAGAAGAAAGAAUCUAUUUGCGAAUAUUCAAAUGCCACGUGCUGGUUCAUUGGUCCAUUUAGCUUUAGUUCAUCGUCCGUGGGUAGGUGACAUACUUGUUACUUACCUGCAUGCACCCCAAAAUCGCUAAAUCGUACCAAUUUUUUUUCCAUGUAUCCAUUUGCGAGUAGGAAACAGUUAAUCUCACAACCGAUAAUUAAAGUGGGUCUGCAUUUAGCACACGCUUUAAGCUCUUUCUAUUAUUUUGUUAAUUUUUUUAUAAUUAAUACUUAGUUCAUUGGUCCUGCCAUAAGAUUUUUGCAUUGGUACAGCGCGCGAUUGACUUUAAGCUCUUUCUAGUUUGUUUUUUUUUUUUUUUUUGUUUUUUGUUUUAAUGAAACAAAAUCAAAAUCAAAAUAAUGAAAGAGGUAAAGGCCAUUGGACUCGUUGCCGAGAGCAAAUGGCGCAUUUCAACGUCAUUCACGCGUACAGCAACAUUAUUGAAGAGCUUUUGGAUAAAACUGCGCCCUUCUUGUACUUCAAAAAUCCUUUGAUCAAGUUAGCCUUGCUUUAAUUUGGCUAUUGAUUACAUAUUAUUUCCAAUUUCUUCUAGAAAACCGUUGGUUUUCGGCAUAGUUAAGAGAUUAGAAAACGAAAAUCAAAAUUUGGAUGGAUGGAUGAUAGGAGAUUUCUUGGCUCGUUCCCGAAAGUAAAGGGAAUGCUGUGAAAGUCAUAAGUAGUCACUUUCACUCGUUUAUCAAUUUGAUUCAAUUUCUCAAAAGUAAUCCACAAAGAGAUUGUAAUACGUUUUGUCAUAAUCUCUCGUCUCACUAAUUGUUCAUGGUUACUGAUGGAAUUUUCACAAUUCCACUCAUACAGACUUCCCGUGGAAGACAUCAACUUGCAAACAGGAAAUAAUAAUAAUAAUAAUAAGAAUAAUAAUGAAUUAGAGUAAGAACGCAUUGCAAACAUUAAAAUAAAAAUUAAUAAUAUGUGAUAAAUAUAAAUUUUAAAUAAUAAUUUUGACAAAAUUAUUAAAAAGAUAAUAGAUUUUCUAUCAUACAAAUGAAAAAUUGUAGCAACAUAUUUUCUUAACUACAGCAAUUAGUAUUUAUUAAACAUUUUAGUGUUGGGAAAAAUUUAAUUAGUAGAAAAUCUUGGGAAAAAUACUUCAAAAUCCAUCAAUUGUGCAUGAAAAGAAACAACCAUUUUUAAUCUUUUGCAAGCAUAGCUCGUAUAUCAACUUUAAACAUUUAAGGAAAACAUUUUCCUUGCAAAAAUAUAAGCGACUCUACAAAAGCCUGAAGAGUUCCCCUAAUCAGUGCAGCUUACUGAUGUUAAGAGACACAUUCAAUCAAUUUUCCUGACUUCCAACCUUCAAUUUAAUGCAAUCACGGUCAUUAGCCUCCUAUCCUUACCUUAGGGUAAGAAUUUCUAUUUAUUGUAUAUUUAACAGCAGAGCUAGACUCUAUCGUUAAAAAAUAAUUAUUUUCAUACUAAAGACUAGUUUUAAACUAAAGCUGAAAUCUGUUUAUUUUAAAUAUAUCUUUUAUGGACCUUUUGGUCUUCUUUAAGCGUGAGCUUUAUUUGCAACAGAAGUCCAUGAUUGAAAAAAACCAAACUGUAUGUGAUUUAUUUUUACUGUUCUUUCACUACCACAUGAUUUAUUUGCAUCUCAAUAUAGAUGCAAUGUUUUUCAGCAUUACCCAAGUCAUUCUCUCAAUUUUCUUGGUCCAUUUGGCUUUAGUUACAUGACAUAAUUUUUUAGAUAUGGAGUUUAAUUAAGAAGAAAGAAUCUAUUUGCGAAUAUUCAAAUGCUACGUGCUAGUUCAUUGCUCCAUUUGGCAAAUGGAUACAUGGAAAAAAAUUGGUACGAUUCAGCGAUUUGGAGAUCAGUGCUUUACUUUUGAAGACAUCAAAGUUAAAAGAAUAAAUAUAAUAAUAAGUCUAUGACUAAAUAAUAUUAAAUAAAAUAAAUAAAUAAUAUUUAUUUUUUAAGAUUCACUACUGAUUAUUUUAUUUUAUUUGAUAUUAUUUAAUUUUUUAAAAAAUAAUAUAAUAAUAAGUAAAUGACUAAAUAAUGCUAAAUAAUAUUUUUUUUAAGACUCAUUAUUGAUUAAACGAUAUAAAUUUGAAACAAAUCAAACUUAUAUGUUUAAGAUUUUAACUCUUUUAACUUUUUUGAGUUUUCAAUAAAUAUUAGGGAGUAUAAUCUUAAUAAUCAAUAAGACAAAUCUUUACCAUUGAAAUUAUUUUUCAUUAAAUCCAACGGUGAAUGUCUAAAAUAAUUAAAAAAAUUUGAUAGUAACUGACAUCUAUUGUAAGGUAGCUAGAUCCAGGUAUAUGAAUAUAAAACAGCCAAUCCGACUACCCAGAGGUAAAGUGAGUCUGCAUUUGGCUAUUAAUAAUUUGUUUAUUACUAUUGCCAUAUGCCAAUUCUCAAUAUUUAUAUAAAAUUUUAAUGGCUAUUAGUAAGAGUAAGGUACUAGAGACUAGAGCUGGCAAAAUUUAACACGACCCGAUUACCCAACACGGACACGACAUAAAUAAAUGGGUAUGAGUAGUCAAAUUUAAUACGAUUAUUAAAUGGGUCGGGUCCGGGUCAACACGAUUUUUUUCCGUGUCGGGUUUGGGUUAAAAUUCUUAACCCAUUUACCCGAUCAAUGACCCGAUUAUAUUUUCUAUUUUAAAAUAAUUUACAUAUUCUUAUAAUUAAAACUCAAAUAUUAGAGAUGAUUUUCUUUUUUUUUCUUUAAAAGGGUGAAUAUAAACACAGUGUUUUAUUUAUAAAAUUUUACAUACAUUUAGAGUUUCAAUAGUGUAAAUGUGUAAUAUAUUGGUAGAUAUGUAUAUUUUAUAAUAUUGAUAAAUUAUGUAUGUAUGUAUGUAAGUAUGUAGUUAUGUACAUACGUAUGUAUGAUAGUGUGUAAAUAUUUGAUGUAACUUUUGUUCAAUAUAUAUAUAUUAAACGGGUUAUUGGGUAACCCGAUUAUUUUUCCGUGUCGGGUUUGGGUCUCAAUAUUUUGACACGAUUAUUAAAUGGGUCGGGUUUGGGUCGAUCUAAAUUUAACACGACACGAAUACGACUCGAUGACCCGUUUUGUCAGCUCUACUAGAGACUGGAUAUAUAAAAAUGAAAAACAGAAUAAAUCUGACACAAAAUUUUAUUUAAUAUAAUAUACCCCUGUCCAUAUCAUAACCAAUUAAAUCACCGCUUCUUUUUUGGAAAAUUAUAAAUAUUAAAAUUAAAAAGACAAGAAUAAACAAAUCUAGAAAAAAGCACAAAGAAGCACUACGUAUCUAACAUUGGAUUGACCCCCGGAUUCAGAGAAGUGCUUUUCAAGUCUUUUCUGUGAUGAAGCCACCAAUAGUUGAGCAGCUAAACUAAAAGGACAAAAGAUACCUGCCAGUUCAUGAUAUCCACGGACAUUGGCCAUGCAAAACCAAUCUCUUUCCAGACGAAAAAGACUUAGAUUCCACUUUAUAAAUAGUAAUUAUAAAUAUUACAUUUAAUAUGAGGGUUUUGAUAGAUAUUUAUCAAAACAGCUUCAGGUUCCCAAUAAGCCACCAGAGGAACAAAUCCACAAGCCAAUAUUCCAAAAGAUUUUUGCUUUUCAUGAAUUAAUACUAUUAAUUUAAUGGGUCUGCCAUCGCUCCCUUAUCUAUGUCUUAAUUAUAAUUAUGUGACUAGAACUUGAACAAAGAUUGACUUGUCGAUGUGUUGUCCGGCCGAAUCCACUUGUUGGGCAGUGAGGGUAAUUGCUUCCGGUGGAAAAAGAAAAAAAAAGCUUAAAUUUAAUGUUAAUUUUGGGAUAAUUAAUUUCAGGAGUAAUUUUUUAAAGAGAUGAAUCAAUUUUAUAAAUUGUCUUUUUGCAGUGGGGAUAAAUUAAUAUUUUCUAUUAAUUAUUUUAAAUCAGAGUCAUCACCUAGAAAAAUUAUUCUGUAGAGGAUAAAGAAUAAGAACAAGAUUGCAAGAGAAGAAAGACUCCAUUUUAUUUUAGGAGUGAGAAAACUGAAAAAAAAAAACCAGAAAAACAAAACAAGACAACAGAGUAAGUGGGUUCAAGAAGCAUUUUUUUUUUCUAUACGACAUUGUCCACACGAACUUGAGGACCCUUUGAACUCUUUUAAUGCGUGCCAGCUUUUGCUUGAUUUGUAUACCGAAUUUCUAAAACGUCAUCAGCUUUAAAUAAUAUUAAAAAGAAGAAGGUACCAUUUGCCUUAUCGUCUUUGUAAUUAGUUGUGGGUUUGUAACAAAUUUAAACUACGAGUAUGCGUGAGGGCAAUAAUCUCCGCACCAUUUAAUCACUGUGGAGAUACAUGAGAUGUGAAGGAAGGAAUUAAGUAUCUUCAAGAGAAAAUAUUUACUGUUUUGAUUCUUUUGGAUUUUCAGCCACUUGCAUUACCAAAAUCAUUAUCUCAAUUUCUCAUCAAUUGACCCCUUUGUUAAGAAUAAGGUUAUUAAGAAUUAAAUUAGUAGAAAAAUCUUGGGAAAAAUACUUCAAAAUCCAUCAAUUGCGUAUGAAAAGAAACAACCAUGUUUAAUCUUUUGCAAGCAUAGCUCAUAUAACGAUUUUAAACAUUUAAGCAAAACAUUUUCCUUGCAAAAUAUAUGGAUGACUCUACAAAAACCUCAAAACCAUCAAGAUUUUCGCUGUUUCACUACCACAUGAGAAAAAAACAAAUGGUAUUUUCAAAUUAAUUAUGAAAAGAAAAAAAAGUUGUUCAGAAAAUAUAUGUGAAUAAAUUAUGCAUCUUCCAAUAAAUAGAUGCGUCUAACAAAUAUAAUUGAUAUAAUAAUGGAUACAAUCAUAUUAUAUGUAUAAGCUUUGUGUGCUAAUAUCACUAGUGUCAGUGACAAAAACGACCAACAUACACAAUAAUCUCUAUUAAAUUUAGAUGGAUCUAAAUUACCAAUUUUGUAACUUAAUUAGACCCAAUUAAUACACAUACAUACAUACAUACAUACAUAAAUAAAUAUGUAAGCUCAUAGUACAAUCGUUUUUGCGCUAUUCAUUAGUUGUUUUUAUUUAUAUUUUUAGUUAGUCAAUCUACCUUUUAUAGAACUGGGAAACAAAUUGUAGUUUAGGGAAUAAAUUUAUAUUUAAAAAAAAAUUAUUCUGUAGAGGAUAAAGAAUAAGAACAAGAUUGCAACUUGCAAGAGAAGAAAGAUUCCAUUUUAUUUUAGGAGUGAGAAAACUGAAAAAAGAAACAAAACAAGACAACAGAGUAAGUGGGUUCAAGAAGCUUUUUUUUUUCCUCUAAACGACAUGGGGCCUUUGUGAGGAUAUCCAAAAAGCAGUACGUAGGUUCUGGUGGGGGACAAAACAGGAGAAAAAGAGUAUCAUUGGGCGAGGUUGCUGCCUGCUCGUGUGGAGAUAUGAGACGUGAAGGAAUAUAACAUUAAAAAUAAAACAUUUAAGGGACACGUGAUGAAUCAUCUUGUGGCAGCAAUUCAUCAAGAUUUUCGAUCGUUCGUGCCAACUCCCACAUGAGCAAAAAAGCAAACGGUAUGUCAUUAACCAGGAGCUGGCUAGGUUACAGAUUCUGUAACAUACAGAUCCAACUUAGCCACCUCCUGAUUGGUUAGCUAGCUACCAAACAAACCAUCUCAAUAUAGAUGCAAUGAUUUUCAGCAACUUGCAUUAGCCAAGCCAUUCUCUCAAUUUUCUUUAUGCUUUUAGUGAUCAAUUUACACCUCACUUACCAACUAAGGUUUUUUUUUUCUAAUUUUCUUAAUUUGGAAUUUAAUAAAGCAGAAAGAAUCUUGAAAACUCCUUCAUUUGCAACAGAAGUCCAAAGGGGUCGGUGACACAGAAUGUGAACUAUUUUCACACGUACGAGAGAGCCAAGUUACCAAGCAAAAAGCUAUAACGUCACAGUUUAACUUUCUUUCCUUGCCCAGAAGCAAAAACAUUAUUCUCCAUUAACAAACCGCUACAAGAACUUGGAACAUCCCAAAACAUUAUUCUCUAUUUCCUCAUCCUUUUAUUAUUCAUGGUAACAUUGCACUAUAAAUGAGAUAAAUGCAUUUAUCUGCACCCAUAUCAAUUGAGGAGAGUCUGGUGGUGGGUAUGGGUUGGGUUUUAAGUCAAUUCAAACCAAACCAUAAAAAUUUAAGCUCAACUCAAACGAGUCAAACCAACCCAAAUAUUUUUAACCUGGCCCAAACUAACCUAUUUAGGUUUGGUUUGAAUUUUAUAAUAAAAAUAUUUUUAUUUUAAUAAAUUUAACUAUAUAAAAUUAUAAUUAUUAUUAAUUAUUAAAUUAAUAUUAAAAUAUGAAAAAAUAUAGCGGAUAAAAAUUAUGAAUAAUGGAUUUUACAAUAACUAUGUUCUUAAAUAUUAACCAUAUUACAACAUAAAUUCUAACAAUGUCAAUACAAAUUAAAGUAAGAUAAGAUAUCCCAACUCAAGUAUCAAAGCAAUCCAUCAAAAUUAAAUUAUUUAAUUUUAUAAAUUUAAAUCUUCUGAGAUAAAUCUAAAAUUUAAUGUAAUUAAAAAAAGCGCCAAAAUUUUAAAUGCAGUAAGAAAAAUUAAACAUGAAAUCUAAUUAGGUUUAAAUUUAAUUAAAAAAUAACAAUAGAAUCAUAUUUUAUUUGAUAAAAUCUUAUAAUCAAUUACAUUUUUAAUUUUAGUAAGUUACAAUACAAAUAGGACUAUAAAAUUAUAUUAGAGGAUUUCAUAAAAAUAUUGUUUGAGUAAUUUAUUAAAAUGUUAAUUUAGUCUUGUAACUCAAGUUGAGACUGUAAAAAAUUGUUAUAUAAUAGUGUAUAGUACAACCAAUUGCAUAUGUAUUUGCCAUGUGUAGCACUUCUAUUAUUAUUAUAUAAUAAUAAUUAGUAGUGGUAUAAUUACUAUAUAAUAAUAGUUAUUAGUAGUAUAAUUAUUAUAUAAUAAUAAUUUUAAUAAAAAAUAUUAUUAAAAUAUUGAUUUAACCUUUUAUUUUUUAAUUUAUUUUUCAUUGAUAUGUUACUUUGAAUUUGUUCAUGACCCAUGGGUAAACCAUACCCAAUCCAUUGUGAAAUGGUUUCUUGCAUAAAAACCCAAAUUUAACCCAUUACCUGAAUUAUCCAACCCAUACCAUUUUAUUUGGUUUGAGUUUAAGUAAGCCCAUGGGUUAUGGGUUGUGGGUUUAUACCCACCCCUAGAGGAGACAAAUUAAAAUUUCCCAUACAUAAUAAACCAAUUAUUCCACAGGCACAAUUAAAAUUUCAAAUAGAUGUAUUUAUGAAAAUGCCUAGAGCCUACCAAACUUCUUAAUUAAUCUGCUCAAAUUGGAACAUUUGACAGCCACUUUUUGAUAAAUUGGGUUAUUUAACGCCUAUUAUACUUUGAAACCUCACUCUUGGAAUUGGUUGCUGAGUUUCCAGUUACUAAUUGAACUAUAGUCAUUAACACACACGUAUAUUUACGCUUAUGGUACAGUCGGAUGGAAUCUGUCGUAGACUAAUUAAUUACGACAUGUUUCUUCUGCUAGCUAGUUGGUUUUUUAAACGUAUAUAUGAAUCAUCUAUAACACUAUGUAACAAUACAAAUAGGGGUGGCAAAAACGAGUAAACAAAUUGAAUUCGAAUCGAAUCGUAAACGAAUUGAACUAAAAUUCUAUUGAUUCGGAUUCGAUUCAUUUAAUAAAUGAAUCGAAAUAUCAGGAUUUGAAUUCGAUUCGUUUAUUAAAUGAACAUUCAGUUUGAUCUGUUUAAUAUAAUUAAUAAACGAAACGAAUCGAAUCUGAAUUCGUUUGCUAUUUGUUUAUUCUUAUGAAUCCAUAAUUAAUCGAAUCGGAUUUGGAUUCAUUUACAAUUCAUUUAUAAAAUACAAUAUUAACCUUCAAAUUUUUUUAAAAAAAUUAAAUAAAUUUAAAGACAAAAAGUAACUCAAUUAAACGAAUUUUAAACGAAUGGACCAUAUUCGAUUCCUUUAUGAUCCAUUUAUUAAAUGAAUCCUAAAUGAAUAAACAAAUUAAUAUUUUCAAACGAGAAUUUAAUUUAUUUAAUUAGCGAAUCAAAUCGAAUUUAUCCAUUUAUUAAAUAAAUUAAUUUUUUUAAAUCUAAAUCUAUUUAAUUUAAAUCGAAUCGAAUCGAAUAUACGAAUUCUAACCCAAAUUGCCACCCUUAAAUACAAAUAAUCGAGAUUAAACAAGAUUAAAUUAAACGGAAGACUUAUGAAGCUUGAAAGUCACAAAGCUUUUCUAUUAUAAUUAAUACUGCACAGAAGGCAAAUUCAAUUUAACUUCUUAGAUCUCCUAAAGCUGUAUGAUUGGAUUGGAUCUUAAUUAAUAAUAACUGCAGGAGGAAUUAUAAGAACCCACCCAAGACGUAUUAGAUACUUCUCACGAAGUAUUAACUAUUAAGUCUACCAACAUACAAAAGAAUAUUUCACGUGCCUGCAGCAGGGCCAUUUUUGGAAAGCUUUUAGUACGGUUAUCCGUUUGCGACCAUUAUUAUUAGGUUAAGUGUGUUAUUCUUUAUCUUAAAUUUUAAAGAUAAGAGUUAGAAUAUUGGCACCCUCCUGUUAUAGUCUUAAAACUCAUUUUUUAAAUAUACUCUAUUAAAUAAUUUGAAACAUCAGAUAACUUUUAUGGAGACCCUCUUUUAUUCCACAAAUAUCCUUAUUUCACUUUUUCUCUGAACAAACUCCAUUCAUGAUGUCUCUUUUCUUAAUUUCUUUAGGUACAUGAACAAAAAUUUAUAUAUUUAAUACUAAUUGUGCAUCUUAUAAAAAAGAUACUAGCUAAUUUCUGUUUGGGAUUGAUUAUUUUUAUGGCAGUUUGUCUAUUGUUUAACUUUACAUAGACUUAAAAUUCAAAAUAAGAAAAAAUUGAAAUUUGAAUGUCUUGAGUGCAUUUAAAUGCUUACAAUAAGUCAUGAGAUAUUUUCAUCUUCAUCUAUUUUUAUUCAAAAAAAAUUUCUAGGGUUGGACCAUUUCUUUACGCAUCAAAACAGGAUACAAUUGACAUUUUUUAAGAUAAUUAAAAAUAAUGAAUAGUCCAGUGAAAAUUAAUGGAUUUACUUUAGUUAGUGUAAAUUAGUUUUGCCAAGGGUAAAUAUAAUUCAAGCUCAUCAAACUCUUUAAAAGAGAAAGAAUAAAUCUGCAACUAUAAAUGUGGUCUUCAAAUUUCAUUUGCACUUUGGCAUUGGAUGAGGUACAUGGGGUUUUUUUUUCGAUUAGGGAUAAAUUUGCAAACAAAAAUAAGAGGGGUUUUAAGAGGAUAUUGGAGGUGUGCCAAUAGCACCACUCCAAAGAUAAAUGCAAAGUCUUCAUGCAACAGAAAUAGAAAUAAAUUUUUCGCUUUUUUUACUGUGUUUUAUUCUUAUCGAUAAAAUACCAAAUGAUUGAGUCCAAUCAUGAAUAUCCGACUAAGGUGGGCGUCAUUUUAUUCUUAUAGUGCGUGAUCGUUUUUAACCAUUUAAUGAUUAAACUACAGAGUUUUAUCAUUUAAUGCUGAAAUUUAAAUAUGUAAUUUUUUCCAUGACAUUUCUUUGCGAUUGAUAGUACACAAUCCAUAAUUGUUUUCCCAUCAUAUAAGGGUCAUCCACCCUUAUGAGAAGAAGAAAAAAAGAAAGAGUUCAGCUACGUUGGAGCAUCUCUAAAUGCAAAGCAACCCCCACAACCAUUCGAUGGAUAUUGUUACAAUUGGAAAUGCUCCAAUGUAGUCGCUGCCAAAAAGAAAUUAUGAAACUUAUUAGGAACUUAAUUAGUAGAAAAUCUUGGGGAAAAUGCUUCGAAAAGCAUAAAUUGUAUAUGAAAAGAAACAACCUUGUUUAAUCUUUUGCAAGCAUAGCUCAUAUAACGACUUUAAACAUUUAAGCAAAACAUGUUUCUUGCAAAAACAUGAAAAGUUCCACCAAACAGUGCAGUUUACUGAUGUUAAAAAACACAUUCAAUCAGUUUCCCUAACUUCCAACAUUCAAUUUAAUGAAAUCACAGUCAUUAGCCUCCUACUCUUACAAUAGGAUAAGAAUUUCUAUUUAUUGUAUAUUUAACUUCAGUGCUAGACUCUAGUGCUACAGAGAUUGUCCGCAAAAGUAAAACAGAUCAUUCUUGUUAAUUUCCCUGGAUGAUCAGUUUCUUUGGUAAAAUAACUCUAGCACUUGCAGCCCCUGGGACUUCUUAAAAGAGAAAAUACAUAAUGGUGAAGUUAGGACCAUAAAAAAUACUCUUGGAAUUGAGCAACAUCAUGACAACCACAUUGCUUUCCAUAACAAUGACUAGUGGCAUGAUCAAAACAAGAGCAUAGAAAACAAUCUCUCAGCCAUUUAUAAGUCAUCAAUCAGUGUGAAUAUAUGAGAUACGAAGGAAGCAUGCACCUUUAAGAUAACAAAAACACAUAUAUAUCUUAAUAAAUACAAUAGUUCAUUCUCAUUGGAGUUUCAGAAACUAGCAUUAUCGAGAUUAUGCUCUCAAUCUCUGUGCUUAGUCAUCGACAUACAACCAUGCCAAAAGCUAGCCCUUCCCAACUAAGUCCAAACGGAUGCCAAAAAGUGAACAUUGUCCCACAGACAAAAAGUGAAUUGCUACCAAAAGUAAUACACACCAAACAAUCAACACAUGAAAUACAGGACCUUUAGACAGGGUAAAUAGGGCUGAAGAAGAAACUAAAAACCCAUAGAAGCACUACGUUCUUCUCCUAAUACUAUUAAUGGACCAAAAAAACAUCAAAAAACACUUAAUAUACAAUUAGAGGAAGAAAUCCAUACCAAUGACAAGCUAAAUAUGACAUUUUUCUAGAAUUAAUAAUUCUGCAAACAAAAAAACACAUUAAUUAUCUGCAUUUUAAAUAAUCCUAAAAAGGAACAUAUCAUUUUCAUUUAUGUCAUAAAAAGAACAUACAAACACUGAUUUUUAAUCUAUUUUUAUUUCCAAGCAAAAACAACAUUCUUCUAUUCUUUCUCCAACAAGAAAACAAGUUAUGUUACAGUAGUCACUAGGCAGUAGGUAAAACACUUGGUAACUAAAUAUAUAGAAAUAAACCAAAAAGAGUUUUUAAAAACAAAAAAAAAUUGAAAAUAAAAAAUGAUUAAAAAAGAAAUGAAAAUAUCAAACCCCUUCUUCAGAACAAUUCAAACAGGGAGUUACUGGUUCUUAAUCCAACAGUAAGUAAUAUUCCACUGAAACCCCUCCACCAAUCUGAAAACAUCACAGAAAACGAGCAACGCCACAUUUAACUGUCUUUAAGUUGUAAAAAAGCUUCAAGCUUUGCAGAUGUGAGGAUAUAAUGAGAAACCAAUCAUAGAACAUGCCACGAGCAAGGGCACAAGCAGAGGAAAGAUCUUCAAUGCCUCAGUGUGAUGAUAAUCAUCAUGAAACAAUAUCAACAGAUGUGAUUUAGGGAUACAUCUCAUAUAACAACCUUCAAAUGAUAUUAAUAUACAGCGAUAGAUCGAUAUAAAAUAAAUAACUUCAUAAAGAAAGGGUUUACAAUAGGGGGAAUGAAAAGAAUAUUGAGGUAAAAGGCUGAGCUCUGGUUACCGUUCUUUCAUUUGUAUGUAAAGCCUCUCAAAUUCUUUAGUCACAUCGUAAUAGAUUCUCCUAUAUGCAUAAUGAAUAAUGAUGUCAAAAGAAACCCCUGAACUUAGAAUUACUUCCACCUCUUUAUCUUCUUAGUUAUAAUAAGGCAUGAGUGAGCUUUGGUAUAUUUAUCUCGCAACUCCAAAACCUGGUAAGUCUCUCGCAAAACCUGAAUUUAGAUGAAUGGACUUCAAACGAAAGGAUUUUCUUACAAAAGCUAAAAAAAUAUAACGGCAUGGUGAGAAUGGGAAAAUGAAAAUAGAAAGCAAAAGAAAAAGUUUCCAUCCGAUAAGACAAGUACAAAAUAAUCCAAGUUCUUAUUUGCCAUGCCAAUAUUAUUCAUGAAGAACUAAUCUGAUUUCUUUUCCAGAUAAGGUUAGUAACAAUUAAUCUGUAAAUAACUGAACCAACUUGGUUACUACGACAUUACUCUUUCGCUUCCGCACUCAUUUUCUGCACAGUUGCGGUUCAUCAACGGCCGCGUUCACCAAAACGAGUUCACUCUCCCCACUUCACUUAUUUCCCCACCGUUAUGUCUCUCCAAGUGCAGCAGCAAGACAUGAACUCCUAUCAUUAUAAGCAAUAUAAAAAGCCCUCCUAAAAAUCCACCACCUGUUUGGCCAGAGAAACUCCAUUACUCAUUUCCACACUCUCAAUUUUCAGCCCUUUCAUCAAACAAAAGCAUUACUUACCCAUGUUUAGACAUAACUGACUUCAGCACAUAAAUUACGACAAGCUGGUCAAUUCACGUAAACAAGGAAAAAUUAACUCAAUCAAGUGAAGUAGGCACAAAAUGACCUCAAUGAGACAUCAGAGACCUCUAAAAUCAAAUCAAAUUCAGUUAAACAAAGAAUCACUGAUCAAAGAUAAGCAAAAGAAAAAAAGCAAUGAAUAACAGAAAGAAAUUUCUUAUAAAAAUUCAAUAAAAUUAAAAAAAAAAGCUAAUCAUCUUUUCUGGUUAAGUGAUUUCGUCAGCAAAUAAGAGAAAAUAGAAAUUCUGGAAUAUACCUAGGGUUUCUAGCUUUGGGAAUUUACCUAAUGAGAAAUCAGUCUCUCUGUUUCUAGAUUUGUAACUAUCAUGGCCGAGCGACCACGAUCAGGUGAGAUAAUCGGAUUUUGCACCGGCGACGAUGCAAAUGUUUGGGUUUGGGGUUGGGUUUCGGUUUGACGAUAGACCAAGGAAUGUUAGGGCUUUGGGUGAUUUAAGGAUUUUAUUUAAUUCAAGUAAAGUGAAAAUAAUUGAAGUACCCCUAAGUUGGUUACGCAUUUAAUGUCCAGAAUAGUUAAUUAAAUUUCUGCUCGUGUAUUGAUGGUAUGCAUGAGUUCCUAUCUCAACCGUUAGUGCAGAGACAAACAAAAAACAGGAUAAAGUUCGACGCAAAAUUUUAUUAGUAUACAAACGUAAGUACACUAUUGAAUAUGAAUAUGCUUUAAACAACUGCCUUUUUUCCUGGGAUAAUCACAUUAUAUAUAAAAUAAUACAACAAAAGAAUAGAAGUACAAGUAGAAAGGCAGUAUCUAGGUUGUCUCUGCUACUCGGCUUCCAGUUCCACCCAAAAACUGCUCAAACAUCUUCGUUCAGGUAACCAAUCGCAGACUCUGUUAUUGCUUUAACUAAUUUAUGGCAUUACCAUAAUUUCCAGAACACCUUGCGCUUGUUCAAUGGGUUGUUCAACUUGAGGAGGAGCCAGCAGAUGUGCGUUGACAGAGGUGACAAUGACGACAGUGAGACGUCGAAGCCCGUAGAAGAAGUGCUGAAACAGGGAAGCUAACAUUGCAUAACAGAGUGAUAAGAUUAUGAGGCACAAAUAGGCUACCAAGAACAGAGACGGAGCCAAAAUGACAGAGGCGACUGCUGAGACAGCCAACAGAACGGAGAGUUCUCCACAACUCACGGAAAUGGGUCGGCUCACUUUGAGAGGGACUCUGAUGGGUGUGAGGAGGAAGACCAGUAAUGGGACGACGACGGCAGGAAUCAGGAACCACAACUGAAGCUUUAACAUUGGGUACAAAAGUAUCUUACUCGUACCAUCUUGGACGUCCCAAGAGUUGCCAUCCUGAGCCUUGAGGAACAGAAAAAAGAUUAUAAGAUUCAGCAAUGGAAGAACUAGAAACCUCAAAUCGAUUGAAAAAUUCAUGCUUGUGAGUAUAAGACUUGGCCGAGAUGAUUGAGUUUAAUUAUUAUGAAUAAGAUUUGGCAAUUUAUAGGGUGUUGAAUGAAGCUGCUGGUGUUGAAAUUGACUCAAAAAAUUGUUCAAAGCCUGCACGUUGAUUGGGAGAGACAUAAAUUCUUAAUUUUUGUUCUUUUUUAUGCUUGUCGAUUGUGUCCGCUGAAGUUUGCCAAAUGACAUCUGCAAGGUGAACAGUAAUAUCCAAUUGAUGCCGCUCUAUUUUCUUCUACAGUAAAGUUAAAAAGUGCAUUUGCUUCUCCUAUUGGGAGUGUCGUGUUUAUAUUUUCUUCUACAAAAACAUUAAGUGAAUUUUUUGAGUCAAUUUCACCAGAACAAUUUUUUGAAAUUGACUCAAAAAAUUUUGAUUAAUAGUAAGACGCAGGUUGUCUUACAUAUGUGGUGAAAUUGACUCAAAAUUUUUUGAAAUUGACUCAAAAAAUUUUGAGUCAAUAUUAAUAUUUCGAUUCAUACAAGUUUUAAUUAAGUGAUCUUAAUAUUAUAUAUUUUUGUAGUAAAAUACUGUGAUUCUUGGAUUUGCCUAAGCGGACCUAAUUGUGAUUCUUACAAUACAACAGUAUUUUUUGUACUUGUCUUAUCUGGAAAAGAAAUCAGAUUAGUUCUUCAUGAAUAAUAUUGGCAUGGCAAAUAAGAACUUGGAUUAUUUUGUACUUGUCUUAUCGGAUGGAAACUUUUUCUUUUGCUUUCUAUUUUCAUUUUCCCAUUCUCACCAUGCCGUUAUAUUUUUUUAGCUUUUGUAAGAAAAUCCUUUCGUUUGAAGUCCAUUCAUCUAAAUUCAGGUUUUGCGAGAGACUUACCAGGUUUUGGAGUUGCGAGAUAACAUGGGGGUAAAUACCUUUCUAUAUCUCAUUAAAUAUACCAGCUCACUCAUGCCUUAUUAUAACUAAGAAUUUAAAGAAGUGGAAGUAAUUCUAAGUUCAGGGGUUUCUUUUGACAUCAUUAUUCAUUAUGCAUAUAGGAGAAUCUAUUAUGCCAUGACUAAAGAAUUUGAGAGACUUUACAUACAAAUGAAAGAAUGGUAACCAGAGCUCAGUCUUUUACCUCAAUAUUCUUUUCAUUCCCCCUAUUGUAAACCCUUUCUUUAUGAAGUUAUUUAUUUUAUAUCGAUCUAUCGCUGUAUAUUAAUAUCAUUUGAAGGUUGUUAUAUGAGAAGUAUCACUAAAUCACAUCUGUUGAUAUUGUUUCAUGAUGAUUAUCAUCACACUGAAGCAUUGAAGAUCUUUCCUCUGCUUGUGCCCUUGCUCGUUGCAUGUUCUAUGAUUGGUUUCUCAUUAUAUCCUCACAUCUGCAAAGCUUGAAGCUUUUUUAUAACUUAAAGACAGUUAAAUGUGGUGUUGCUCGUUUUCUGUGAUGUUUUCAGAUUGGUGGAGGAAGUUUUGAGAAUUUACAAACGCGAGGUCCAACAAAAAAUUUUGGAAACUGUUGACAUCUCCGCUGAACGAGUCAGAAAACUUUUAAUUUAACUAUUUUGCAGGUGUACUGGUUGCUUUUAUGUGAAAUUUUCAUUGUUGGCCUUUAGUUCGUUCGAAGAAGUAAGAUCUGACGUUUGACCACAAGGUUCAUUAUAUCAGCUUUUUUAACUCUGUUUUUUUAUUUCAUUCUUGUCUAUUGGUUAUAAUACAGUGGUGGCUUGGGGAGUUACUGCAACACCCCAAAUUUAUCCUUGGUUGAAUUUAUCUAUUUAUUUUAUAACUGCGUAUGUUUAUUUUAUUAUUAUUGUCGUUGUUUUAAUUGCUCUAAGCUUCCCCUGUUGUUUUUUUUUUUAAUCUAUAAAUAUUAUAAGGUGUCUUUAUUCUUUGGUUAAGUUCUGUAACAAACAAAAUCAACGUUCGGUAAUAAUAAUAAAAAAAAAGAAGAGGGAGAAAGUAAUUCCUUUUGUGAAGAACCCAUUUUGGUACUAAAGGUAGGUUGAUAACCCACAGCGAAAGGCAUUCUACUCAAUAAGGCGGAUACCUCGGAAUAGCAGAGAGAGAACGAGAAAAAUAAAAAAAUAAAAAAAGAGAGGAGAGGAAGAUAAAGAAAUGGAGGGAAAGAGAGCAAUUGGGUUUUAGAGAGAAUAGUUGUGCAUUUAAGGGAGCUGAGAACAACAGCAAGUAUGAAAUUUCUGGGAAACCAACAUGAGUUUGGCUGGAUUUUCUCAUAACUCUAAUCCUUUAGACCUGGUUUGGGUAAAUUUCUGUGCAUGCAUGGUUCAAUUUUCAAGUCUUGUUACUUUUAUUAAUGUUUUUUUUUCACUUACUUUUCUUAAUUGUUUCCUUUCUGCUGCUGCAACUCACAGCAAGUUUAGGAUUAUGUUAAAUUUGGGAUUCUUAAAUUAUUGGCAGUAUGGUUGGUUAAUUUUUGUAUUACCAAUAGGAAGUGGAGUUAGAGAAGAAGAGAAGUCUUUGGAGAACUAGGAGCUGUUGUUGCAGGAUUAAAGGAGGUGUUUAUAUGCAAUUGAGUGCUUUUGUUACUCAAAACUGAAAAAUCAGGUUGUUUUUCUUGCUUGAUCAUGUAAAUAUUUUUUUUUUUUGGGUCCUUAUAAGUUGUUUUGCUGAGAUUUAAUGUGCUAAUGGCUUAAUUGCUUCCUUUAAUAAUUAAUGCAGUGGGUGUAUGGGUAGCCAUUUAAUUACAUGACUAUGUGGCUAAAAUAAACAAUUGACAUGUUAGAAUUAUCAACAGGAUUGCGAGUUUUAAUUGAAGACCGUGUAUUGUUAUUACUUGAAUCAGUUAUGAUAGUUAAUUUGGUUGAUACAUUCAUGAAUGAGAAUUAAACUUUAACGGUGAUAUAGCCAAGUUUGGAAUAGGAAGUGUAGCUGAAUUGUGUUUAUGUAUCCUGCAAUGGUAUGGUGUUUUUUUUGCAGUUUUAAGUUUGUGGAUGUGUUGUUAAACUGGGGAUGUGCUGAGGCUCUGUUAUCUAUAACUAUUGUUAUUGAGAAGCAUCAUGUGUCUGAUGUGUCAUUGUAAGGAAACUUACAUUGAUGCUAUUGAAUGAAUUAAUAAUUUUUAUUCCUGAAGUUGAGGUUUGAGAAGGUUGAUUGGUGAUAGACGGAUUUCCUGUCCCGCGGUGAAGCCCGCAAAAGAAAUUAUGGGCGAUGGCCCCUGGGAAUAAUGCCCCAAAAGUUCGCUAUGCUGGAUUGACCUAUGUCAGAUUUCUAUCCCGCGGUGAAAGUCUACAAAAGAAAUCAUGGGCGGUGGCCCUGGGAAUAAUGCCCCAAAAAUAUGUAGGGUAUUUCUUUUCAAGGCCAGUGCUACGUUACGUUAAUCGUAACGUACGCCACACACAACAACAGUAGCGGAUCCCACCAUAAGUACUGUUGUUGUGUGUGGAUGUACGUUACGAUAAUCGUAACAUAGCGGGAUCCUCUUUUCAAAAUUAAUGUUGGGGGAAAAAGUUUGAUGAGGAUUUACGGCUUACUGACUUGUCAGGCAUGUUUUUAUUUUGUAUUAUUGAAAGAGUAAUUUUAGGAUUUCUUUAGACGUAACUACGGAAAGCAUGAGCGCCACUAUAUUUGUACGUGUGUAUGUUGUUAUGAUCUUGUCCUAUGACAUUUAUGUUGAAUACCAACUUUCAAACUUAAAAAGUUUAAGAAAUAAAUAGGGUCUGGCUACGGUGCAACUAUUGUAUCGUGUCGCAGUUGCAUUCAGCCAUUCGAUGUACUUGAAUGGAUGGGGUCUACUGGCAUUUAACGACUGGAUGCAACUAUGAUACGGUACCACAGUUGUACCACAGGCUUUCCCAAAUAAAUAUUAUAUAUAUACAUAUAAAUGGUUUAUGUUAGAAAUGCACCGAAGUUGUCCGAAGUAUUUGGGUUUUAAAAAAAAUAAAUAUAUAAUAUUAAAAAAAUACAAAAUUUGGGUACUCGGAUUAAAACCCAGCCUAGUGUUGGGCUUAAAAAACCCAACCCGGAUAUUUAAAAAUUGCAUCCGGCUCGGAUUCAAGCAUUGCAAUACUCAAACUCGGACUGGGUUUUGCCAACCCUAUAUGCCGGUGUUUUUGGUCACGCCACUAGUGAUAUUGACACGAAAAGCUUGUACAUAAAAUAUGGUUGACAUUUAUUAUUAUAUCACUUUGUUUCAUAUGGUUAUACUUGUUGUGCAUAAUCCCAUUUUGAUCACACUAACAUGAAAACAAAGGUAGGUUAAUUACACGUAAUUAUAGUUUAGUCUUGGUGUAUUUCUUUCUAACACUAGUUUAAUUUGUAUCUUGUGAGUAAUUCUAAUUUGUUACAUGCAUCUAUUUAUUGGAACAUAUAUCAUUCGUUCAUAUAUAUUUUGUGCGCAGUGUACACAAUAUAUAUAAACUUUGAAAAGGUAAGUUUGAAAAUACCUUUAUAGGAAAAAAAAAGUAUCAAAUCUUUUAGCAAGGGAAAAUGAUAAAGGUACCGAGGUUUUUAAAACCCGAGAAGACCGAAACGACAACGUUAAUUGUGUUUUAAAAUUUUAAUGAGUCUCACGUGUUUUUCACGUGAUAUACAGUAAAAGCAAAAUAAAAAAUAGAAAAAUUCAGCCCAAAAUCCUCAACUCCAUUAUCUUCCAAAUUGGUUCCGCAAAUAUUAUUGAUGACGUGUAUCGAACCGAUAACAUUUCAUCGUCAAGGACCUCAACCACUAUGAAAAGCCCCCGACUCACCGCGUUUAAAAAUCACUCUAAUUCGUGCAUACUUCACUUUAUUGAGUUAAUAGUUAAUUUUCCUUGUUUAUAUGAAUUGGAAAAAUUCUACGGUACAUUAGAGGGUCCGUGUCAUAAUCUAAUGUGGAACCAUCAACUAAUAAUAAUUAGACAUGUGGCUAUUAAUUUGAAUCCUAAAAAUUUUCCUUUUUUUCCAUCCUCUUUCCUCCAUUUUUAAGAAUUUUUGUUUUCCUUCUUCUCUCUCAUCCCUCUUGAAUUUCCUAAUUUAAUAAAAUAGAAGACAAAGCAUCAAUAAUCAUUAAACCUUGCUCAAGUCUAUUUAGAAAUUGGAAUGAGGACCAGAAUUGCGUGCAAGCAAAAGGAAUUAGACAUACUCUACAAAGAAGAGAUUUUUAGAAAAGAGCCAUCUUCAGAUCUUCUUAUCAAAUCGUGUUUAUAAGAACACAUUGACUUUGAUUUACAAAAAAAAAAAUCCCCUUUUAUCCUCUUUCCUUAAUUUUGAAUACUUUGUUUCCCUUCUUCUCUUUCCCUUCUCCCGAAUUUCCAAAACUGAAAUUAUUUAGUUUCUCUCACAUUCGAUCAGACUUGGUUUCUCGUCAUGUGGUGUAUAAUCUAUCUUCAACAGCUGCCAUAUUUUUUUUUUCCUAUUUGUCUAUAAUCUUGAAAUUUUGUUUUUUUGCUUUUUAAACUAUCAUUUUAAAAUGUUGACAUUUUGCAGAAGUUGGAUCUCUUUUUCCAGACAAUCUAAGUUGUCAUGCGUCAUUCUACUUCAUCAAAGUAACAAUAAACAAAACAUCAGUGGACGCUAGAAAAUAUGGUGAAAUCUCUCAAAAUUCUAAUAAUAAAAAACAAGUGUUGAAAGUAUUGAUAACCCCAAAAUAUACACAAAUUAUGUGAAUUAAAAUGACUGAAUUUUCAGAGAGCAUAUCCUUACAAUUAACAAAUCUAAUGGAACAAAAAAAAAAUUAAAAUUUAUAUUUUAAUCCCUUCUUCUUCUUUGCUGCCAAAAUCAGGCCAUAAAUAUUUUCCUGGCCAGUGGCCAAGGAGAGAUUUAAACACUUUCAAGCUUCACGCAUCUAUUUUCCUUCUCAAUCUGGUUUGAGCACUCUGUUUCAAUGUGGCAGAUUUGCACAUUUCUCAUAGACAUAUAACCAGUUAUAAUGUGGCGCAUGGGCCACAUAUAUGAGUCCCAUAUUUUCACCUCAAAAUAUAGUUUCUUCCCAAGCUCGCCUUCCAAUAGCUUCAAGCACUCUGUGAACUCUGUCCUUUGUUCAUCCAGAUACUUGCACAAAUUUUUACCAUGAAAAUUAGACCAAAACUUGGCUCGGAUGAUUGCUGGUAAGGAUCAGAAGGCGACAAUUAAUGGAAACUUAGUUCCAAAUUGUAUCAAUAAACUUAGUAUAGUGAGAGAUUCACUACUACUAAUGGGUUUGUUUUUUGUGAAUUAGAUCCCGUAUGUUCUAAUAAACAGGAUCUGAUUGAAGAAGAUGUUUUUUUAUUUAUGGAAAUCUCUUCUUUGUAGAGUAUAUUUAAUUCUUUUUGCUUGCAUGCAAUUCUCACCCACAUCAUAAUUUCCAAACGGACUUGGCCAUGCAUUAAUGAUUAUUAAUGUUUUGUGUUCUAUUUUGUUAAAUUGGGAAAUUCGAGACGGAUGAAAGAGAAGAAUGAAAAUAAAUACUUUUAAAAGUGGAGGAAAGAUGAUGGAAAGAUUAAAAUUAAUAGCCACAUAUCCAAUUAUUGGUUGGUGGUUACAAUUUAACUUAUUUGACAAUGGAACAUCUGAUGUGCUGUAUGUGAAUUGGGUAAAACUUGUCUUACAAAUAAUGUAACAAACAUCCAAUAAAUAUAAAUCAUUGAUUUUGAUAUUUCUUAAAUUUAAUGGAUGAAAAUAAUUUUAACAUGAAAUGAGGGAUGGGUGUAAAAAUAAUUUGUAAAAAAAUUUAUUUUUAAUCACAUAUUUACUUUUUUUUUUCAAAUAAGUCCUCGAUAAUUUUGUAUAACUAAAUAGUUUUGUAGUUCAUCUCUCUUACAUCUAUUUUAAAAUUUCAUAAAACUUUUACUGUAUUUUUAUAAAAGUCUAAAUGAUUAUUGUAUUAAUAAAUAUUUACAACUUUUGAAUAUAUUUUUCUGCCUUUAUAAUUUCUUGUCUCUAUUGAGACAUAUACUAAAUUUUUCUUCUAACACACACACACACACACAAACACUCACUCACACACAUUGAUGCUGCGUUUACUUUUUGGAUUGGAGCGGGAAUCCUGAGGAGUGGGAAUCCUUAGAUUAGGAGUGUGGAGUGGGAGUGGGAGUAGGGUGUUUACUUAGACUAAAUGAAAGUAUGGAUUGUUAAUCAGAAUCCUAAUUAUUUGUUUACUUUGUCUUGGAUUGGGAGUAAAUUAUUUUAAAUUACAAUUUUAUCCUUAUGUACAGAAUUAUAAUUUGUAAUUAAAAAAUUAAUAAAAAAUAUAUUUGGAAAAUAAAAUAAAUAUUUUAUUAUAUUUAUAAAUUAAUAAUAAUUACUAAUAUUCUUAAUUAUGUAAAUCAUAAUUUUUUAUUAAUUUUAAUUUAAAUUAUGUGAAUAAAAAUUAUUAAUAAUAGCAACACAAAUGAAAUAUUAUUAUUGAUAAUAUAGUACAAAAUUAAUAUUUUUUAGAAUAAAAUUUUAUUAUUACUAAUUAAAUAAAUAAUUAAUAUUUAUUAAAAUUAAUGUUUAAUAUUAUUAAUUUAAAUAUAAUAUUUAUUUAUUUUUAUUUUAUUAAAUUUAAUAAAAUAAAUAUGAUAUAAUUAUUAUUUUUAAUAAAUAUGAUAUUAUUUAUUUUAUUAAAUAUGAUAUUAUUUAUUUUAUUAAAUAUUAUUUAUUUAUUUAUUUUUAUAAGGAUAAAAUGGGAAGAGGGGGGAGUGGAUUCCCACUCCCACCUCCCCCCAUGGGAGUGGGAAUCCCACUCCCCACUCCAAAAUUGGGUGGGACCCACGAAUUCUCACUCUCACUCCUUCCUUUUUUAAGGUAAGUAAACACUAGAGUGGGAGGAAUCCACACUCCACACUCCCACUCCAGAAAGUAAACACUACCUCAAUCUACUUUCCCAUCCUAAUAUAUACCAUCAAUGUUGCCACAUAGAUUUUGUAAUUUAAAUUUAUUAUCCUAAAUUAUGAGAGAUAUUACAUAAGUUAAAUAUCUCAUGAAUCUAACGAAUUAUUAGAAACAUGAAAUAAUGAAUAAAUUAUCAGAACCUCUAAUAAUUUCAUAAAACAUAGAAACCAAUAAAUUACCAACUUCUAACUAUAGGUAAAGAGAAUUUUUUUUUUUUUAUGAAAGAUUUCAACCUUUUUGAUCUGAUCAAUGAUUUAGAAAUGUGGAGAAAUAAUAAAUUAAAUUGAAUGUCAUUAUAUUUAUUAAAUAAAUUAAGAAACCCAAAUUUAUCUAUAAAUGAUAUAGAAGGUGUAAAUAAACUAUUAGAAAUUAAUAAUUUCAUUGAAGAAAAUAUAAAAUAAAUUAAAAAGUUAAGAUAUUAACUGAGUAAAGAAUUUAAUAAAGGUAAACAAUUAAUAAAAGGCUUCAAUAUUGAAAAUCAUGAUAUAUUAAAGUAAGAGAUCAUUAAUAUAAUUAAUAAAAACUCAAUAGAUAUAAGAUUAAACAAGUUAAAGAUUCAAUUAAAUAAAUAAAAAAUUAUUGAGCAAUUUAGUACUAAAUUUGCUAUAAAUAUAAAUAGAAAAUUUAAAAAAAAAUUAAAGUUCUAACCGUAUUGUUGCCUGGCUGCAGCCUGAACUCUAAAGCAAAACUUAACAUCUUAUUGAUGUUUUUAAUAAUUAUUAUCUUUUCUAAGGAUUUAAAAACUUAUAGCUGUAACGUACAAUUGAUGUAAGAUUAGCUUCGCCCAUAAUUAAAUAUCAUUAUGUUAAAUGAAAUUACAAUUUUACCAUAGACCGACAUAGAAAUGUUCCAUGUUUCCUUUACUUUCUAUUUUUGCUUUUUCACCCAUUAGAGGGUUGAAAUUAAAGUCAGCUUAAUUAAUCGAACCAUUAUUGAUUAUUAUAUCCAGUAAAGUUGCAUGAUACGAUAUUGAUUCUACAUGACUUAAUUCUCAUGAUACAAUUGUACGUUCUAAAUAGUAUCGGAUUGGAUUCAGCACUUACAGAUACAGAUGAAUCUCUUCGUGGCGGGGCUUUGAUGUUGUAAUAUGCAAUGAAAGAAACAAAUCAAAAGUAACUCAACCAAGUUUUAAAAAGACUUAUCAAAAGAAUGAGCAAUAAUUUCUGGUUUGAUGCAAGUGUUCUUAAUUAUUCAGUAAAUAAUGGAGGAACUUUUGUCAACUCUCAUAAAUUUAUGUUCUAUUGAACAAGUUUCUGCAAGUUAAAGGAAUUCUAAUUGUUGUUGUUGUUGUUGUUGUUUUUUGGGUUUAUGUGUUAUUCACCCAAUUUUGAAGGACUAUUAGUGUUGAAACUUCCUUGUGUCAAUAAGGUGCUUUUGUGGUUCUAGUCUUUAGGAAGUUUGUUGGUAAUGAUAUUAAGAUUGUGUUUACCUAGUCUUUAGGUUGUAGUUACUGGAAAUGGUUGCAGUAUUUGCUGGAUAAUGGCUGCUAUUAUUUUGUUAAGUUUGUUCAUGUAACGCCUAUAAAAGGCAACUUAUUGUGAAUAAAAUAUGCAGUACUUUCAUCCAUUUAUCCUUGCUUUGAGUGUACUAUUUCAUAUUCACUUAUAACAGUGGUAUCAAAGCUUGAAUUAGAAAAGUGGGAUUGACAGAGUUAGUAACAACAGUUUACUUUUUCACUUGUGUUGGAGCAGCAUAAAUUCAUGGCUUUUGAGAAUUUUGUUCAACUUGCAAUUCCCCGCUUUGAUGGUCACUAUGACCAUUGGAGCAUGUUGAUGGAGAAUUUUUUAAGGUCCAGGGAGUAUUGGCAGGUUGUUUCAACUAAAAUAACUGAACCACCAACCAGUGUUGUUUUGACAGAUGCUCAGAAAAUAGAGCUUGAAGGGCAACGAUUAAAGGAUCUCAAGGAAAAGAAUUACUUGUUCCAAGCUAUUAAUCACUCAAUCUUAGAAACAAUUCUUAACAAAGUACCAAGGGACAGCAAGGGCGAAGCGGGUACACCUUCAGACACUUCAAGCUGAAUUUGAAUCUUUAUGAAUGAAGAUAGGAGAGUCAGUCUCAGCAUAUUUUGCAAGGACAAUGGCAAUCGCAAAUAAGAGAUGAAUUUAUGGCGAACAACUCGAAGAUGUUAUCAUAAUUGAGAAGAUUCUUCGAUCUUUGACGGAAAAAUUUAACUAUAUUGUUUGUGCAAUUGAGGAAUCAAGGGAUAUUGACACACUUUUGAUUGAUGAAUUGGAAAGCACUUUGCUAGUCCAUGAGCAGAAAGUAAUCCGGUAGGAUAAGGAAGAACAUGCAUUACAGGCAGCAGAAAAUCCCAAACCAACUGCAAGCACGGGCAGAACAUAUUAGAAGAAAAUGUUGAUGAUUCUCAAGGAAAAGGAAAGGAUUGUGAUAGUCAGGAUUCGACAGGACAUAAACCAAAGUCUAAAGACAAAUUGAAUGUUAAAUGCUUCCGUUGUCAGAAGUAUGGUCAUUACCGCUCCGAGUGCCGUACUAAUUUAAAUAAGAAUCGUGGUCAGAAAUCUAACUUUGCAGAAAAGGAGGAAGAAGAAAUUUUCCUUCUUAUGACAUGUCAUACAAAGGAGAAAAGACACCAAAAUCUAUGGUACUUAGAUACCGGUUGCAGCAAUCAUAUGUGUGGGGAUAAAUAUGCUUUUUCUGACUUGGAUGAGACUUUUCAAAAUACUGUAAAAUUUAGUGGUCAUCUCCACCGUUUCUGUCAUGGGGAAAUGAAAUGUUGCAAUCCAAACCAAAUGUAAUUGUUGAGCAAAUGUAAUUGUUGAGAUUAUUGAGCAUGGCUUUAGAUUCAAUUUGAGCAAAUGUAAUUGUUCCUUUUAAGGUGAUGUAAUUGGUGUAGGGAGAGGAUUUAAUUCGAAUGAUUUAUGGUUCUAGAAAAAAACGAAUUUUCUUUAUGUUAACUUGAAACAAUAUGUGUGUAAAUUUUUACGAUGUUAGCAAUAUUUAAUAACAGAAUAGUUGAAAUAUUUUUAAAUUGCAUUGUAGUUUUUAAAAAUAUAAAAUGGAUAUACGAUUUUUUUUAUUGCAAUCUUACUACAAAAAUAAGGGUUUUUGGUAAUUGAAAAAAAAAACAAAUUAAUUAUUUUAAAAUAAAUAAUAAUAUUGACCCAAAUUUUUGACAUAAAUUAAGUUCAAAAAAUUUAUUUAGCAUAAAAUGUCACAAGCUAUUGAUUAGUAUCUAUCAUUGAUUUGUGAUCGAAUUAUGUUGUUAUGUAAGCAUAAAAUUUAUUUGCCAUGUCUGCAAAAUAUGAUAACAUGUCAUCUACCAUGUCUAAUGCCAUGUUUUCAAAAUGAGAUGUCAUGUCAUUUGCUACAUCAGAUUCCAUGUAAAUAGAGAAUUGUAACACAAUUCCUUGACUGAAAUAUUUUGUCACUAAUUAUUGAAUUUUCUGUCACUAUAUUAUUACAAGGGCUUUUUUGACAGAAUAAAAUUAUGCCAGUAGCAUGAUUUGUGACAAUUAUUCUGUCAAAAAAUCCCAAUUUUUUAGUUGUGUAUGAGAAAGGAAUUAGUUGAUGGUUAAAGCCUGUGCAAUGAGAUAUCUCACUAGUUCAGAUUCAAUAUUGACGAGAGUUGUGUUGAUUAUUUUAAAGAUCUUGUAUUGUGUAUUUAUUUAUUAUAUUAUAUGGGUAUGAGUUAAUUACAAUAUGUAUCAUGAAAACGAUAUUUACUCAUAAAGGGUCCUCGGCCAUAGUUCUUUCAUCUUUGUUUAUGUGGCAUUAUAGACAUUCGAAAAUCCAUUUAUGGUAUUCAUGAAUAAAGAAAAUGCUUCUAAUUUGAUCCAAUUAAUAAAAAGAGCGUACUUUUCAUAUUCGUGGACUAGGGAGACAUUUGAUUCAAUUCGUCGAUUUAUAGAAAUCUAUGGUCUAACUCAACUCAAAAACUAGUUCGAAAAUUAAAAUUUAUUACCCCAUUAGUCCCCACGUAAUUUUUAAAUACCUCUCUUGAGGUUUGAGGUAUUCAUUUAGAUGACGGGUUUACUUGUAUUCUCACAAGGUUUGAGGUAUUCAUUUAGAUGACGGGUUUACUUGUAUUCUCACAUACUUCCCUCUCUACUGUCUAUAUAAAUGCAUGUACGGUAUUAGUAUAUAAGGGUGAAUUCAGUAAGAGUGUUGGCUUGUGUGGGGAUCUCGUAAUCAAGCUUUUUUUCCCAAAGGAGAGAAUUUGACUGUGUUGCCAGCUUUCCCAAUAUACAAAAGGUGAGCACAGUUAAAAUUAGGUUGCGGAUUACGGCAGUAACUACUUAGAGAAACUUUUCCGUUUUAGUUGCUAAUUAGUCACUUAAAUUUAAAAAAAUUAGGGUCUCGUUAAUCGAUAACGAUAACAAACACCGGACCUAACUUAGGAGGCCACUCAACUUUUGAGGGAGUGGUUAAAACAGCUGCUCCAUGUUUAAAAGUAUGCCCUUGACGCCUAUAUUCUUUGAAAAGCUCAUUCUAGGAAUUGCCAUUUUUUUUUUUGAAAAGCUUAUUCCAAUUAUUAGUUGAACAAUUAAUAGUCAUUAAUACACACGCACGCAUACUUAUGGUACGGUUAGAUAAAACCUGUUAUAAAUUAAUUAAUUCCAACAUGUUUCUUUUACUAGCUAGUUGGUUUUUUAAACAUAUGUAUGAAUUAUCUAACGCUAAGUAACACGUAAUCCAGGUAAAACAAGAUUGAAUUAAACAGAAGACUUAUGAAGCUUGAGAGUCACAAAGCAGGCUUUUUCUCUAUUAUAAUACUGCACAGCAUGCAUGCAAAUUCAAUUUAACUUCUCAGAUCUCCUAAAGCUAUAUGAUUGGACCUUUAUUAAUAACCGAAGAAGGAAGCUUAAGAGCCCAUAGAUGUAUUAAGUACUUCUCCCCCAAUGCUUAUUUUAGUGGGAACAAAACAACUUCAGAUUCCCAAUAAGCCACCAGAGGAACAAAAUCCACAAGCCAAUAUUCCGAAAGAUUUUUGCUUUUCAUGAAUUAAUACUAUUAAUUUAAUGGGUCUGCCAUUACUCCCUUAUCUAUGUCUUAAUUAUAAUUAUAUGACUAGAACUUGAACAAAGAUUGACUUGUGGAUGUGUUGUCCGGCCGAAUCCACUUGUUGGGCAGUGAGGGUAAUUGCUUCCGGUGGAAAAAGAAAAAAAAGAGCUUAAAUUUAAUGUUAAUUUUGGGAUAAUUAUUUUCAGGAGUAAUUUUUUAAAGAGAUGAAUCAAUUUUAUAAAUUAUCUUUUUGCAGUGGGGACAAGUUAAUAUUUUCCAUUUUAUUUUAAAUCAGAGUCAUCACCUAGAAAAAUUAUUCUGCAGGGGAUAAAAAAAUAAGAACAAGGUUGCAAGAGAAAAAAAAGACUCCAUUUUAUUUUAGGAGUGAGAGAACUGAAAAAAAAGGAGCAAUGAUAUAGGCACAAACUCUUGUACAAAUUUAUUUUGUACAAACUGACGUGGCAUUAAUUCAUUAAUUGAAUGAAAAUAUAAAUUAAUAAAAAUAAAUCAUGUAGGUCAACUGAUAUUUAAUUUAAUUAAUUUUAUCACGCCAUAUCAAUUUAUAUAAAAUAAAUUUGUACAAGAAUUUAUAAGAAUUUGUGGUUGUAUUAUUAUAAAAAAAAAACAAAACAACAGAGUAAGUGGGUCCUUAUUACGACAUUGACGACACGAACUUGGGAUCGCUGUAAGUUACGUUUUAGCGUAACAGAGUAAGCGGUUGAAGUCCGUCUCAAAAAAUAGUCAACGAAAGAGAAUCUCUUCUACAGCCGGUCGUGACAAACAUAACGGCGUCGUUUACACCAUCAAAUUACGAGAGGAAUUCCAUCUCUUCCAACACAAGUACACAACCCCACCCCCCCCCCCCCCCCCCCAAAAAAAAUUCAGACCUCCACCACCGAAUUCCAGCCAAAAGCAUCAGUUAGCCGUUAAAGGAACCACACUUUAAACUCAAUUCAUCACAAAACUUCACGAAAAUUACAGUCGCAAUUAGCAACGCUAAUAAUGGCGGAUUUUGGAAACUUCCCGGACACAGACGAGGAGUCAGCAGUCGGGCAAACCCUAAGUUAAAUUUAUAUUUUCUAAUUCGAUGUUGCCUUUCGCCCCUCAUUUCCUUCGUAAACAGUUUUUCUCGCUUCCCUCCAACCAAACAGGCCUUUUGAGUUAGGGUUCAGGGUUUUUUUCCCCCUUUUCGUAAACUAUAUUCGUUUAUUUUGGUGUUAACCGAAAUGAGAAACUUACAGUUAUCGUUCAAUCAAACGCAAAAUGUGAGACUUGAAAAAGCUCUCGAAAAGCUUGAGUCUUUAUCCUCAAAUUCAAACCCUAACUCCAGUGUCACCGUCGGCGACACCAUCCCUGUUUACGAAGAUGGCGUCCUCAAGUAAUCACGCAUUCGGACUGAAUCUAUUUAUUUUCGCUUUAUUAUUUUUAUUUUUCUAAAUUAUGGAUUUAAUGAAAUACUGGGGACACGGAACCUCGGACUGUAAGGGCGAGCUUGUUGCUGCGACUGCUAUGGUGUUGUCGAACGCAUCAACAAGUUGAUCUACGUACGCGCUUUACGCUCCAGGUAAUUGGAAUUUGCUAGGCUUUAGUCUCUGUUUUAAAUCUUAUGCAUUUGUGUUGUUUGGUUCGGAAAAAUCGUUGCUUUUGUUUUAGUUCUAUUGUUUGUUCAUAGAUACAAGCCGGAGACGGGAGAUAUUGUCAUAGGACGUGUCAUAGCGGUAAAUUCAAAUUACUUAAUUAACUUCAUUAUUUGGAAGUUGAUUCAUAUCACAUUCUUGUACUGUAUUGUAUCUUCUACUUCUUCAAUUUUAAUAUCUAGAACCUUAAAAAUGUUCAUUGUUCAGGUUGCUCCAAAGAGAUGGAAAUUGGAAGUAAACUUCACCCAAGAUGCUAUUUUGAUGCUUUCUUCAAUGAACUUUCUGAUGGAUUUAAGGUAUCAUACUUUUUCUUGAAGGUUGGUCUAGUUACCCUAUUGGGUGACAUAUGCUAUAACUGGGAGGUAUCAAAAAAAUAAUUUUGUUCGUAAAUAGGGCACCAUAUGAGGCAUGGGGCUUGUCUUAUAUUUUUAUGUUUAAGAUCUGCCUAAAUGUGGAUAGUUUGGUAUUGAAUUUUCUCUUUUGCUUGCUAGAAGCGGCGAACGGCUGUGGAUGAACUCAAUAUGCGCAGUGUUUUUACAGAAAAUGACUUAGUCUGCGUAAGUGAAUUGCUAUGUAUUCUUAAUUUCUUUUAUGGUGAUUGUGCCAUCUGAGGGAGAAAACAAGUUACUUAUUUGAUGUUACCAAAAUCUGUUCUCUUUUACAGGCUGAAGUUGGUAGUUCAUAGGGUGAUGACAGUUUACAAUUUCAAGCAAGAAAUCAGAAGUAUGGCAAGGUGUGUCAUGUUUGAAAAGUUUUCAGGUGCAUCUUCUGCACUUUUUUAUCUUUACACUCACUCUUUUAUAAGGAAGAACAAUGUAGAUGUGAAGGAAUGGCCAAUACCAUCAGUACAAGAAAAAUAAUAAUAAUAAUAUUAGUAGGUAAAUUUAAUGUCCAACUAUCAAUUUCCCUUUUCCUUUUUGGCUUAGAAUUAAGCUGCCAAUUUGACUAACCUUGAGGAAUGGCAAGUUGUACUUUAAAAUUAUGCCUUGGCAUGGGCAAAUCAAUAUUUGCUUGCAGCUAACUAACUGUUGAGGAUGGGAACUUAAGAAUUCCAAAGAAGACUAGGAGUAACUUAGUGUAUUGAUAAUAACAAUGUUUAUGAUUCAUUUCUUCAUGUAGGAAACAGAAAAUUUUCAUUGUUAAAUUGUUUCUCUUUUUUACUUUAAGACCUAGCAUCAUUGCCAUCAACAUUAUUUCAUUAGCAUCAGUUUUUCAUCCUAUUCGUACCUGUAAUGUAUUGAUAUGGACAUGUACCAAUACGCCUUCAGCUCGAGAGGGGUCAACUGCUCAGAGUCGAUCCUUAUCUAGUCAAGAGACGGAAACAACAUUUUCACCACCUAGAACAGUAUGGAAUUGACUUGAUAAUUGGAUGUAAUGGAUACAUCUGGAUUGGUGAGCAUGUUGAAGCCAGAGACAAGACGGCGGUGGAUCAAGGAAGCGAUUCUGAACAACCAAUCACCAAAUAUGAUAAAAUUUCCAUGGAUCUUGAUGAACAAGAUGGAACUUGCACUCCACGAGAAGCGAGACAGAACGUUUGCAGAAUUGCAAUUUUUUUAUUUGGGAUUAGGUCUUUGGUGGUUUGGCAUUGUUUGCUUUUCCAUGUUGUACAUGUUUCUGGGAUUUGCUUCAUUCGUUCGCAGGGAGCACGGUUUAUUUCUUGUUAUCUCCAUAGGCGUGAAUGCUUAUAUUACAUGUUAUUGUUAAGAUGCAUGUACUACUUCAGUUCUGGUAACUUAUGUCCAUCAGGAUUAGGCAGUGCAUGUUUGUGUCAUCAUUCAAAGUAUCACUGCUAUUCGUUUAUAAUUCUGUUCAAUGUUGUAGCCCUUAACUCAUGUUUGUUCCUUCCUUCUGGCGAUUGAUCCUUGAAGUCUCUUUGUUGGUUCAAUUUUAGUGGUUAUGUUUGCACAGAAGAAUGUGGUCUGCAUAUUCAGUAUCAUUAAUUUGCAGUAAUGAUCAUUGUGUCCCUCUUCCUCUUAAAGCUUUUGGAAAUUCACAAUAAGCCCCGUGAGUCUGGGUCUUUCUAUAUGCAUGUGCCUCUAUUCGGGUGCAUGCUUGUCUGUGGUGUGUGAGCAUGCUUGUGAUACAAUUAUCUAAUGUCUACUAUUUCAUUGAUUGUGGAGAGGACUAGGGUGUAUGCACAUGGGUUAAUUGGCAGAAUGGUAUGUCUGACAUUGUUAUAUCCAUUCCUUCUCGAUAACAGUUGCAAAAUUUUUGUUACAAAGUUCACGGCCUUGCUAAAUCUUUCCCUACAAACGUGUACAGGUGGUCACUCACUCAAUCAUUUCCGUUAGUUACUGAUAUGGAUUCUCAACGAAGAUCAGACGCUGGUGUCACUAUCAAAUUCAAUAACACAUAGAUCCAUAAAUUAUGUUCUUGACAACAUAAUGAGUAAUUUCUGCUUCUUCAAUGCUUGUAAUGAUGAAGUUGGUGGAGCUAGUCUUUUCUUUUCAAAUGUACUAGUUCUGCUUUCCGAUUUUUCAUCUUCAUCAUUCUCACCAUGUCCAUCUCUAGUAGAGGGGGUGGACGACUCAGCAUUUUUGGCAGCAUUUCUUUUUCCAACAUUCAACCUGAUCUGCAACUUUCUUUCAGCAGGGUCGUUUGAGGCUCCAAUUUUUUAUUGGCAUGAAACUUUUGCGCCAAGUCCAAGCCUACAACAACAUGAGGAAUGUUAUUACCAGCAUCCUAUGAUGAACAAAAAAAUAAAAAAUCUAUGGUCGGGUUAGGAUGAAUACACUGACCUAGACGGCCUGGCCUCUUAUGCACAUACAUAGGCAACUGACACACAUACGUAGGCAUACAAAACUCAAUGCAUAUACAUAAAAACUGCACCAACAUCAGAUAAAUUAGACUCAAAUAACUUAAAUUAAAUUACAGUCAGUAAAAAAACAAAAUAAGUAUUACAUCCAUUAUCCAGAAAAUGAAAUGAUAAUCCUAGUGUUUUCUAAAGAAUUUUCAUGUCAUCUAUCCACUUGCUGUUUAUUACUAUUAAAAAAUUUACCAUGAACCUUCUAAUAUGAAAAUGACUCCAAAGACCAAAACACCAGAUUUUUAUACUCAAGAAUUAACCAUGCACCUAAUAAUACUUAUGGAUGCCACUGUUGCAAAAAAUAAUCCAUCAUCUUACUAUUUAAAGAUCAAACAUAUUAGAAAAAGGAAAAAUAAAACAAAACAAACAAAAACAGUUUGCCAAGUACACUGAGCAAGUAGAUAUUCCAACUUCACCAGACAUCCUAUUGUGCCCUUUUGCACUUGUUUUGGAGCUAUUAAUGUGAGGUAGUCAUGACGAAACAAUUACAACACUGACUUGGCAAAUUAUUAUAAUGAAAAUCAAUCGAUGUGAUCAAUCAAAAAAGAAAUUAAAUCUUACCCAGAUACAUCUCUAUGAAAGCGAUCUGCGACCCAUGCCAGCAGCUUGAGGAUGCAGUCAAUAGAUCCUCCUCUAGCUGCCAAGUGAAGAGGAGUGCUUCUUCUGCAAACAAACAGAAAAAGAAAUAAAUAUAGAAUAAAAAUGAAAAAGAGAAACGGACAUCAACAGGUGAAGAAUUACCAGAAUGAAUGUGAUCCCAAAGCUUCUCAAAGAUCUUGUGCCUUCUAUACGGUGAGAUUAUGGCCACAACGCCAGGAUUUGCACUUUCGGCUUAGGGUUGUUGUGUGUUGAUUGAAAGUUGUGACGGCAUAGUCAUCCAUAUACAACCAUGUCAAAAGCUAGCCCUGCCCAACUAAGUCCAAAUGGAUGACAAAAAGUGAACAUUAUCCCACAGACAAGAAACUUGGUCUUCCCUCUUAUAUUCAAAAAUGCAAUCUUGCCAAAUAACCCAAAAAGGAGCUAGAACAUCACACUGCCCGAGAACCUUAGGUUCUAUCCUUGCCCUAAAGCAAAAAAUAUUUUCCAUUAGCAAAUAGCUACAAGAAUUUGGAGCAUCCCAAAAUCAAUAACAUAAUUGAGAAUCAAUGCAUGUAUCCGCAAGCAUUUAUUUAGUAGACAACUGAUUCCCAAAACAAUUUUAAAUUUCUGACAGAAUUACUUCAUUGCCUAAAUUCUACCAAGCUUUUCAGUUAAUACGCUCAAAAUACAAUCCACGGGUGCAUUUAAAUAAAUUGGGUUAUUUAACGCCUACAAUCUUUGGAACCUCAUCGAAUUGCUACCAAAAGUAAUCCACACCAAACAAUCAACACGUGAAAUACAGGACCUUUUGACAGAGAAAAUACGGCUGACGAAGAAAUUGGAAACCCAUAGAGGCACUAUACUUCUCCUAAUACUAAUAAUGGAACAAAAUGACAUCAUAAAACACUCAAUAUGCCAUUAGAGGAAUAAAUCCAUACCAAUGACGAGCUAAAUAUGACAUUUUUCUAGAAUUAAUAAUUCUUGAAACAAAAAGCACAGUAAUUAUCUGCAUUUUAAAUAAUCCUAAAACCAGGAUAAUGACUUAUUUAUGUCAUGAAAAGAACCUACAAACGCUUAUUUUUUAAUCUUUUUUAUUUCCAAGCAAAAACAACAUUCUUCUAUUCUUUUGUCAACAACAAAACAGGUUAUGUUACAAUAAUUAUUUUCAACAUAGAACUUGAACCCUGGGAGAGAUAGAAGGAAAAGACAUAGAUGUCUGACUGAGAGAGAGUUAAGACAGUGUGAGAGGUAAAAGAACAACACGGCUUAGAAGUUAGAAUCAUCAUCCACUUAUCUCACUUAAUCGUUGGUGUAAAAGUCCUCAUAGAAGAAAGAAAUAUUAUUUUGAAGGGUAAAAUGUAAACAAAUUAAAAUUUUAGAUAAAAUUGUGACACGUUUAUAUUAAGCGUGUAUAUUAAGAUUUAAGAGAGAGUCACCAUUAUACCGCACAGGUCAGCUCCCAGUUGAACUUGCGAGUUUGGGUUUGAGUUCCAGUCCCACAGUUAGUGAAAGUAGGUAUUAGGUAAUCAUCUUUACCAGCUGAAAUAUCAAAACCUGUCUGUAUAAGCCUGCACAUUACAAUUUAAUCAUCAGCAAAGGAGGUGGCUGCAGCGAGAAACAAGACAUUAUGUAGUAAUUACAAAACAUUGAAAAUCAUCAUAUUUUAUCAGUCACAAAACCUAAGAUAGUCUCCCCAUAGCAACUAUAAAUAUUGGGGGGCAAAAAAAAGGACCACAAAGUAGAACACUCCCCUCUUUUUCCUCCAAACAUAUACAAAAUUUCAGUUCACUCCUAAGCUGAGAACCAUUCUACUUUCAAGAUUCAACCAAUGAAAUAACCAUAAUAUUCUUAUUAAAAAAAAUGAAAUAACCAUAGUACAAAAUAAUUAUCCUCUAAUUCAAAUAUUGCUUCAGAAUUUACAAUUUAUGCUAGAAUCAAUUGGUGAAACCUAGGGAAUCGGAAUGAUACAUUUAUUUAACCCAAAAGGUGAAUAUCAAGCUUAAGGUUCUUACAUAUUGAGACGAUCAAAUUUCAUUCAUUCUGAACAUGAGAUGCAACUUGAACUAUUUCAAGUUAUUCCAAAAGAAAGCAUUGAAAGAAAUUUGUUCAUCCUACGUGGUAUAAGUAGUCUCAGUUAGUAUUCUGCAUCAUCAGUUAAAUCAUUUGGAUUAUUAACAAUGAUCUUUUUUAUUAGCUGAAUUGAUAACUCUCUAAGCCACCACUGUAAAGCUAGCAUUUGGAUUAUAACUGAUAGAGAAGAAUAAAAUGAAAAAAAAACAGAGCUAAAUAGGUUGAUAUAAUGAAACUUGUCGUCAAAUGUCAGAUCCGACUUCUUCAAACGAACUAAAGUCCAGCAAUGAAAAUUUCACAUACAAGCAACUAGAAUACCUGCAAGAUAGCUUAAAUUAAAAGUUUUCUGACUCCUUCAGCAGAGAUGCCAACAAUUUCCAAAACCUUUUGUUGGACCUCACGUUUAUAAAUUCUCAAACCUUCCUCCACCAAUCUGACAACAUCAUGGAAAACAAGCAACACCACAUUUAAUUGUCUUUAAUUUAUAAAAAGCUUCAAGCACUACAGAUGCCAGGAUAUAAUGAGAAACCAAUCAUAGAACAUGUCAUGAGCAAGGGCACAAAGAGAGGAAAUAUCUCCAUUGCUUCAGUGUGAUGACAAUCAUCAUGAAACAAUAUCAACAUAUAUGAUUUAGGGAUACAUGAAAUAUAACAACCUUCGAAAUGAAAUUAAUAUACAGUGAUAGAACAAUAUAAAACAAAUAACUACAUAAAGAAAGAGCUUACACUGUUGUUUGUGUUUGUGUGUGUGUGCUUUUUUGUGUUGGGGGGGGGGGGGGGGGAGAGCUGAAGUUAAAAGCUGAACUCUGGUUACCGUUCUUCCAUUUGUAUGUAAAGUCGCUCAAAUUCCUUAGUCAUGGCAUAAUAGAUUCUCUAAUAUAUAUAAUGAAUAAUUCUUUUAAAAGAAGCCCCUGAACUUAGAAUUACUUCCACUUCUUCCAAUUCUUAGUUAUAACAAGGCAUGAAUGAGUUUUGCUAUUUUUAGUGAGAUAUAGAAAGGUAUGUACCCUCUUUUUAUCUUGCAACUUCAAAACCUGGUAAGCCUCUCUCAAAACCUGAAUUUAGACGAAUGGACUCCAAAUGAAAGGAUUUUCUUACAAAAGCUAAAAGAUUGAAUGGCAUGGUGAAAAUGGGAAAAUGAAAAUAUAAAGCAGAAGAAAAAGUUUCAAUCUGAUAAGACAAAUACAGAAAAGCCAAGUUCUUAUUUGCCAUUCCAAUAUUAUUAAUGCAGAAUUACUCUAAUUUAUUUUUCAGUUAAGGUUAGUAACAAUUUAUCUGAAAAUAACUGAACCAACUCGGUUACUACGACAUUACUCUUUCUCUUCUACUUCUGGUUCAUCAAUAGCCACGUUCACCAACACGAGUCCACUCUUCCCCCCUUGACUUAUUUCCCCAACCUUUAGGUCUCUCAAAGUGCAGCAGCAAGAAAUGAUCUUUGCAUCAGUAUAAGCAGUGUGAAGCCCUCCUAAGAAAUCGACCACCUGUUUGGCUAGAAAAACUCCAUUACUCAUUGCCACACCUUAUACUUUCACCCCUUUCAUUAAAACACAAGCAUUACUUACCCAUUUUUAGACAUAAUUUAUUUUUCUGAUAUCACAUCAUUCAGGGAGGGGGAAAAAAAAAAAAAACACACACACACACACACACAAUUAACUGACUUCAGCACAUAAAUUACAACAAGCUGUCAAUUCACAAAAAUAAGGAAAAUUAACUCAAUCAAGUGAAGUAGGCCACAAAAUGACCUCAAUAAAAUAUCAGGGACCACUAAAAUCGAACCAAAUUCAGUUAAACAAAGAAUCACUCAUCAAAGAUAGGCAAAAGGAAAAAAGAAAUGAAUAACAGAGAAAAUUGCUUAUAAAAAUUCAAUAAAAAAAUAAAAAAAGCUAAUCAUCUAUUUUUGAUUUAGUGAUUUCGUCCGCAUAUAAGACAAAAUAGAAAUUCUGAAAUAUACCUAGGGUUUCUAGCUUUGGAAAUUUACCUUACGAGAAACCAGGCUCUCUGUUGCUAGCGUUCUAACUUUACCACUAUGGCCAAGCGACGCCGAUCAGCUGGGAUGAUCGGAUUUCGCAGCGGCGACGAUGCAAAUGUUUUAUGUUUGGGUUUGACGGUAGACGAAGGAACGUUUAGUGUCUUGGGGGUAAUUUUGGGAUUCUAUUUUUUAUUUUUUUAAUUGAAGUAAAAUGACCACAAGGACCUUGCUAUGUUACAGCUUCUGCAAGUAACAUAGCCAAUGAGAAUCCUCCACUCGUGUUGGUGCUGAUGCAACCAGGGCAAGGCAACUGUUCAGAGAAUCCUCCACUCGUGUUGGUGCUGAUGCAACCAGGGCAAGGCAGCUGUUCAUGCAAAGUGAAAAUGCCGAGGCCGUUAGUUGCAGCUUCUGCAACGUAGCCUUGUCCCAAUAAUUUUAAGUAUCCCCAAGUUGUAACACAUUUAAUGUUCAGAGUAGUUAAACAAUUAAUUUUUCUUUUGCAUAAAAACAGAAUAUAAAUUUGGACACAGAAUUUUAUUAAUAAUAUAACGCUGUUCAAUUGGGCCACAUAAUACAAAGACAAUAAACAAUAAAAAAAAAAAUUUAAAAAGAAGUAAAAAUCUAGUCUGCUUUGCGCUUAUUUCCUUCGAGCAAAAGCACUUUCAGACCUUCAAAACUUCUAACUAAUUAGAAAAUGGAAAGAUGACAACAUAUUUACGAGGACCCUACAGUGGCACCAGAAAUAUAUACAUACAUAUAUAUAUAUAUAUAUAUAUAGACACACACACAGACAUCAAAUGGCCACAACUUCCAGGUUACUCUCAUGAUCGUCAGUUGAACUUGGCUGCAGGUUUUGGAUGUGGUUCGUUUCUGCUUCAAUAAUGUUCUCUUCGUCAACGUUUUCCGCAAUUUCUUGAUUCCGGUCCACACGAGUGAUCAUGAUACGUCGAAUCCAGUUGAAGCAGCGCUUAAACAGGGAAGCUAACGUUGCAUAACAGAGUGAUAAGAUUAUGAGGCAAAAAUAGGGCACCAGGAAGAGAAAUGGAGCCAAAAUGACAGACGCAACCACCGAGAUAGCCAACAGGACAGAGGGUUCUCCACAACUCACGGAAAUGGAGCGGCUCACACUGACAGUGAGUCUGAUAGGUGUGAGGAGGAAGAGCAGUAAUGGCAUGAUGACGGCAGGAAUCAAGAGCCAGAAUUCUAGCUUGAAAAUUGGAUUCAAAAGUAUCUUACUGGUACCAUCCUGGACGUCCCAUGAGUUGCCAUCCUGAUACCUGAGGAACAGGAAAAAGAUGAUAAGGUUUAGCAAAGGCGGAAACAAAUACCUCAAAUCAAUUAACAGAUCCAUGCUUAUGAGGAAGAUCAAUUUGGCAAUGGCAGGGGCUUGAAUUUUGAUUUUAUUUAUUUUCUUUUUUUUUUUUUUUCCUUUCUUUCUCUCUGCUGCUAAAGAUGCCGAGAGCUUGUGUGUGCAAAGGGUAACUGGAGGAUUUAUAGCUCCGGGGAUGUCUACGAAAGUACCCGGAAGGGUUACUAGCUCGAAAUGCUGUGUGUGUACAAAGGCUUGUCUUUUUCUUCAGAUAAAAACAAAAUAGUGCCAUGGUGGACAUGCAAGAUGACAUCACAUCUUGUUUUUCAAAUAAAAAACAAGAUUGCGCCAAGAAUCGUGUUAAGGAUUGUUGCUAGUUAUAAAUAAUCUUGUUAUGUUGUGUCACUAAAAUUAAUAAUUAAAUGGACACAAGUAAUUAGGUGUUUGAUAAAUCAUCUUAAAAAUAAGUGUGUAUCGAUGAUGGCAUUAUAAACUCAUUCUAACCCAGUUUAAGUUAAAAUAAUUUUUCAUUAAACAUUAUUUUUUUAGACUACUAUGACUUUUUUUAUUUCAGCUAAGUAUAUGAAUUUUUGUUAGGGACUAAUACUUUAUUAAGAUUAUAAAGAAUCGUGUUAAGGACCACUAUGACUAUUGAUUAUUUUAUUAAGACUUGUAUGAGAUUUUUCAAAGAUCACUAGGCUCAUAGCUUUCCAUUAGGUGUGAAUGUGAUUGACAAAUUUAUUAUUAAAGUGUUUUCUUGUAUGACAACCAAAAAGAUAUAAGGUCAAAUUGUUUUAACUAGUGCCGACCGUCAACGUGCCAACGUCACGUGUUGGCCAAGUCCUAUUAUCCUGUCCAAAAUUUGGAGAAAUUUUUUAAUUUUAUAAAAUUUUUGGGCUUUCCCUCAUCGGCUAUUUCUUUUCUUCUUUUCUGAUAAAUCUUAUGUGCUAUUCAUUAAUUGCUUUUAUUUAUAUUUUUAAACACUAUUCAACACAAGUUACUUAACAACAAAGGCAUACGCAAAAUUAAAACUUAUUCAGGAUUUAUAGCUUUUGACAAAUCACAAUUUGUCUUUGAGUCUGUGAUGCCGAUGCGGGACUACCCCUGACGAGAUAUGGCUGGAUAUAAAUAUAAAAAUUGCAUUCAGUCUUCUAGUAGGUAGGCAACGAUAUUCUGGAAGGAAAUGUUAUGCGAAUUUUGUGAUCCAAUUUGCCCUGACUUUGGGUCCCUCACCAUUUCAAUUUCAACAAACUACCAACAUACAGAUUUUGUAACUUAAUUAGACCCAAUUAAUACACAUACAUACAUACAUAAAAAUGUAUGCUCAUAGUACAAAUAAAGGCCAUUGGACUUGUUACCAACAGCAAAUGGUGCAUUUCGAUGCCAUUCACGUGUGAAGCAACAUUAUUAUUGUGUCAGUGUUUUCACUUCUGUAGACGAGGGAAGGACAUCUAAGUUUCUUGAUGAUUGACCCGCAUAGCUUUGCUUCAAUUUGGCUAUUGACUACAUAUUAAUCACUUACCUGCUUGCUAAAUCAAGGACUCUAAAUCAUACCAAUCUUUUUCCAUGUAUCUAUUUGCGAAUCUUUGACCAUAGUUAGCGAUGUUAUUUACUUUUUAUCAUAAAUUUACAAAUGCAAAAACUUAAUGCAUUUUAUUUUUUAUUUUUUCCUAAAUGGAACGAUAAUGAAUUUCCAAACCAUGCUUCCAUGCAACUUAGGGAAUCAAGGAGACAAGGACUCGGAGUGGUUUGUUCUGCACUUCCACAAAAGAAGAAGCACUGGAUUUUGCUGACAAAAAACGUCCUUGUUUAUGAUAUCUUUUGGUCUAUCUCAAUUUGGUGUUCUCUCCCUUUUUUCUCUUAAAUGUUUCUAUUCAAGUGAUGCGAUAAAAAUGGCAAACGAGUCCAAGUGUUGAUUCUUUGAUCCAAUAUUGUCAAUCUGUCCGGUUCAAGGAAGCAUAAUUGAACAUAACACGAAAUCACUUAAACUCGAAUUGUUAUAUAUCAAAGGGUAGAUUAUCAGUUAAUAUAUUGUCAAUACUCCUCCUAGAAUAAUUUUUUCAUUAUUUUUAAAUGUACUUUUGCUCAUAUUUAUUAUAAAUUAAAAUAAACCAUAUAAUAGAAAUUAAAAUAAAAAAUUUCAAAAUUAAAAAUAAGAAAUAUAAGUUUCGGUGUGAAUAAAAAUUAAUAAUAAGAUAAUUUUUCUUAUAUUUUUUUUAUUAUUUUUUAAAUAUUUUUCUUAUAAUAUAUAUACAAACACAUACAUGCAUGCAUGCAUGCACACACACACAUAUAUAAGAUAAAUUACCAAACAAAUGACUGAUUUUCUUUUAAAUUUUUGGUGCCGUGGGAGUUUUCGAAUUGUAUGAAAGCAACUUGCGAUAAGUUAUAUAUAUUAAUUUUAAUAGGGCAUGGGAGAUUGACAAUCCUCCCAUAUCAAAUCUAUUUGCAGUUCUUUUUAAUUCUUAUAUUUAUAUGCAUGAUUUUCUUUUCUUUUAUUAACAAAUCUGCGUUAAGGAGGAAAUUUUUUUUCCCCUUACAACGAUACCCUUAAGAUGCCUGCUGCAUGCAUAUUUAGUUAGCUGUUAAUGAUUUACUGUUAAAAUUUAUUUUUUGUUUUUAUUUUUUAAAUUCACUCUAGGUUUUGCAGUGGCAGGAGCAUGGAAAAGUUUGUCGGUUAAGUGAUUCGAAAUUUUUUCUCCUAUUGAUAAAUAACUAAUUAAGUUUUCUCUUUCCUUUUUUUUAAAAAAUUUUUUAAUCCGACCGAUGACUAUUUAAUUGAGUUUCACCAGUUGAAAAGGACUUAUUGGAGUGUAAUAGAUUCAAAGAAAACUUCAAAGGAUAAGUCUAUUAUUGGCAGAUUGACGAUUGGGUUGGAAUAAUCAAAGUAGAAGGAUAAACCAAUUAUCCACGGGCACAAUUAAAAUUUCAAAUAGAUAUAUAUUUAAUUAUGUAAUUGCCUAAAACCUCCCAAGCGUCUUACUUAAUCUGCUCAAAAUAGAAUAUUCUACAGCCACUUUUUUGAUAAAUUGGGUUAUUUAACGCCUAAAAAUAAGCUUCAAUAGAAUUUUCUUACCUAACCACUUAACUCAUAGAUGUAUUAGGUAGGUACUUUCUCCUAAAGCUUAUUUUAAUUGAACAAAACAACUUCACAUCAAAUUUGCAAAGUCAAUAUUCCACAAAAUUUUUCCUUCUCAUGAAUUAAUAACUCUACCAAUAUAAAAAAACAUAUUUCACCUACACGUAUGGAAAAUUUUUUUUAUUGUGUCUGUUUGUGACCAUCAUUAUUAGGUUGAGUUGAGUAUACACGUAUGGAAAAUUUUUUCUAUUGUGUCCGUUUGUGACCAUUAUUAUUAGGUUGACCAUUAUUUUUUCUAUGGUUAUUUUUUUAAUCUUAAAUUUUAAAAAUAAAUGCAAAAUCGUAGUGUAUAAAGCCGAUUUUUUUUUCCCCAUAAUGAAUUUUCAACCAUGCUUCCUUACAACUUAGGGAAUUAAGGAGUUGGGAGUGGUGUGUUCCGCACUUCCACGUCCUUGUUUAUGAGAUCUUUUGGUCCAAUAUGUCAAUUUCAUAUUGUCUCCCUCUCUCUUUUUCUUUUUUUCUUUUUUUUUUUGUCUAUUUAAGGUUUCUAUUCAAGUAAUGCGGUGACAAUAGCAAACAAGUCCGAGUGUUGAUUGUUUGAUCCAAUAUUGUCAAUCUGUCCGGUUGGAAGCAUAAUCUACUCCUCGAAAAUAUAAUUUUACAUUUUUCAGAUAAUCACGAGAUUCCUCUCUCCAUAAAUCUUAUGUUAAUUUGCACACCACAUUACCUUUUCUCAUACCCAAUAUAAUGCACAAAUAAAUCAAUCUCUUUUGAUAUGAAUAUGCAUAGCGACGUUGUUAUGAUCAAGUUAAAAGUUCUAUGAUAAAGAAGAGUUCGCUCUAAUUUCACGUAAAAAAUUGAAUUCAUAAUAAAACUGUUCCAAAUUUUAAAUUAAUGACGAACUUGCUCCAAAAAUUUAGUUUGCUAUAGGGUGAACAUGAUUUUUCUUGCUCAUAAUAUGGCAGCACAAGAGCUAUUCAUCUAUUGCUAUACGUACUAUAAGUGGGCCAGCGGAGGUUCGGAGUGCACACACGUGGCGCACCAACGAGCGGCGUUGCAAAGCACUGAUAUCAUAUCACUCGUGGCCCAUCAGCUACACGAGGGAAUUGUAAGAGAGAUUGUAACAUCUUUCAAGUUUUUUUUUUUUUUUGGUUUGAUAUUCUGGACGAAAACGGUUUACCGUUUAUUGAGAAAACGGCUAACCGUUUAAGUCCAGAGAGCAUGUUUUCUGUUCUGGGUAAAACAGCGUACCGUUUAUGGAGAAAACAGCUAACCGUUUAACUCCAGAGAGCAUGUUUUAUGGUCUAGAGAAAACGGCUCACCGAUUAUUGAGAAAACGGUUAACCAUUUAUGUACAAAGAGCAACGUAUUUGACAUUCUGGAAUAAAACGGCUCACCGUUUAUUGAGAAAACGGUGAACCGUUUAUUUCCAGAAAGGCGUCAACUAGAAACGGUUGACAAGCUUGAAAAUUUCAAGUGUUGAUCGUUGCAAAUUCAAACCAAAAGAGUUUUUUGAAGAAGUACCAUUUCGAAUGGUUGCAUUCUUUUGAAUUAACAUCUUCUUCAUAAAGGAAACAUAUACAAUAAGAUUAAAAUCAGAUUUGUGCAGGUUUAAUAAAUGUUCUGGAAAUACAAUCUUAUUUGCUAAAGAUUGUAUUCAGGAUUUGAUAUAUCUUGGGGGUAAUUUGCCAUUAAAACUCUAUAGCAAACCAAGAUUGGUGAGGGCAAAUAAAACCUUAAAGGAAAGUGUGUAAACACGUCUCAAAUCCUAAGAAAUUUCAUUGUUCUUUGCCUCCAUAUUCUCAUAAUUCACCAACAAUCUUUAAGGUUUUAUUUUGUGCAAAUGGAGGUUGAGAAGAGUUUGACAUCAUUUCUGAAUCCUAGUGUCCAUCUCGAUCGUUUUGAUGGAACUAAUUUCACUCGUUGGAAGGGAAAAUUGUUCUUUCUCCUUACUGUUCUUAAAGUGGCAUAUGUUCUUGAUCCGAAAUUGGAACCAUUUCCAGAACCAAGAGAAGAUGAUACCGAAGUUGUUAAGGCUGCAAGGAAACGUCGUGAAGAUGAUGAAUUGAUAUGCCGGGGUCACAUACUCAAUACGCUUUCUGACAGAUUAUAUGAUCUCUACAAUUCUAUGACUUCUCCGGUGGAAAUUUGGAAUGCUCUUGAAUACAAAUACAAAACGGAGAAAGAAGGUACUGACAAAUUCCUUGUAUCUAAAUAUUUUGAAUUUAUUAUGGUAGACACAAAAUCCAUUCUUGAUCAAAUACAUGAGUUACAAAUUAUUGUUGCUAAGCUUCGAGAGUUAAAAGUUGAAAUUUCUGAAUCAUUUCAAGUUGGGGCUAUUAUUGCUAAAUUGCCUCAAAGUUGGAAUGAUUAUAGAAAGAAACUCCUUCAUAGUAAAGAGAACAUAACUUUAGAAGAAUUGCAAAAACACUUGGUAAUUGAAGAAGAGACUAGGUCUCGUGAAUCCAAGGAUAAGCAUGAUUCUACUAAAGUUAAUGUUGUUGAAGCUAGUAAAUUCUCAAAGAAUUUUAAAGUCAAGAAUGACAAGAAAUUCAAGAAGUCCAGCACACAAAAGUUUUCUGGAAAUUGUUUCUUUUGUGGUAAGAAAGGCCAUCGCCAAAGUGAUUGUAGAUUCAAGAAGAAAAAGGAAGAAGUGAAUUCCCAUAAAGCUAAUGUUAUUGAAAACAAAUCUGAAGAGAUUUGUGCUAUGGUUUCUGAAAUGCAAAUUGGCAUGAUUACCGAAACCAAUAUGGCUGAAACUAAGUCCUAUGAUUGGUGGCUUGAUUCGGGUGCAACAAUUCAUGUUUGUAAUGAUAAGAAAUUUUUCUUAUCAUACAAAGAAGAAACGGAAGGACAAAUGGUUCUCAUGGGGAACAAUAAUGCAGCCAUAGUAGCAGGGAAAGGAGUAGUUGAGAUCAACUUCACUUCUGGAAAGAAAGUCACAUUGUAUAAUGUCUUUCAUGUACCUUCCGUUAGGAAGAAUCUUAUUUCUGCUAGUUGUAUGUGUAAGCAUGGGCUUAAGAUUGUGCUUGAGGGUAAUACUUGUAUUGUGUCAAAGAAUGGAUUAUUUGUUGGGAAAAGGGUAUUCUUGUGAUGGAAUGUACAAACUCAGCAUUAAUAAUAAUAAUAUCAACUUAGCUUAUAUUGUUGAGUCUUGUGAUGUUUGGCAUGCUAGAUUAGCACAUUUGAACUUUAGAUCUUUGAAAUACAUGUCUAAGCAUGGUUUGAUUAAUUGCAAUGAUGUUAAAGGUCAUAAGUGUGAAAUCUGCAUCCAAGCUAAAAUAACUAAGAAACCUUUUCCUAAAGCUGAACGAAAUACUCAAAUAUUGGAUUUGAUACAUACUGAUAUUUGUGAGUAUAAUGGCAUUUUAACAAGAGGAGGUAAGAGAUACUUCAUCACUUUUAUUGAUGAUUGUUCUAGAUACACUUAUGUGUAUUUACUUAGAACAAAAAGUGAAGCUUUUGAUAAAUUUAAAAUUUUCAAAGCUGAAGUUGAGAACCAAAAAGAUAAGAAAAUCAAAAUGGUUCCUAGUGAUAGAGGUGGUGAAUAUUUCUCAAUUGAAUUUAAUAAAUAUUGUGAAGAAGUUGGAAUUAUUCACCAAAGAUCAGCUCCAUUUACUCCUCAACAAAAUGGUUUGGCUGAGAGGAAGAAUAGGAUCUUCACGGAUAUGAUAAAUUCCAUGAUCCUUAAUGCAAAACUACCAAAUAAUUUGUGGGGGGAAGCAUUACUCACUGCAUGUCAUAUUCAUAACAGAAUUACAUCUUUGAAAACACAUAUAUCUCCUUAUGAAAUUUGGAAAGGAAGAAAACCAAACUUGAUGUAUUUAAGGGUCUGGGGUUGUUUAGCUUUUUAUAAAAUACAUGACCCUAAGUCAUCAAAGUUGAGUGCUAGAGGUAUAAAAAGUGUUUUCGUAGGAUAUGCUGAAAAUUCCAAGGCUUAUAGGUUGUUAGAUUUAGAUUCUAAUGUGAUUGUGGAAUCUAGAGAUGUUGAAUUUAUUGAGAAUAAAUUUCAACAUGAUUCUAAUAUUGAAUCAGAAUCAAUUAUUGAUCAACCAUGUGUUAAUACUCUUGUUACCUCCACUAAUAAUAAUAAAAGGAAAGAGUCUACGACAUCUUUCGAACCAAGGAGGAGUCAACGUGAAAAGAAAGAUAAGAGUUUAGCUCCGGAUUUUAUUUCAUCACAAGCACUACUCUUCUUGGUUGAAGGGGAUAGAAAGAAUGUACUUAACAAAGUACCAUUGUUGUUAAAUAUUGAAAAAGAUCCAAAGACAUUUAGCGAGGCUAUGUCUUCUAGAGACGCUUCUUUUUGGAGAGAGGCAGUAAAUGAUGAAAUGGAUUCGAUUAUGUCGAAUCAAACAUGGGUCUUGGUUGAUCUUCCUCCAGGAUCUCAACCAAUUAGCAGCAAAUGGGUAUUUAGAAGAAAGUACAAUAAUGAUGGUUCUUUGCAAACUUUUAAGGCUAGAUUAGUAGCCAAAGGGUUUAAGCAAAGAAAUGGUAUUGACUAUUUCGAUACAUAUGCUCUGGUAGCUAGGUUAACUUCUAUAAGAGUGCUAUUUGCAAUUGCUUCAUUGAACAAUUUAUAUGUGCAUCAAAUGGAUGUUAAAACAGCUUUUCUUAAUGGUGAUCUUGAUGAAGAAAUCUAUAUGGAACAACCUGAGGGAUUUGUUUUGCCUGGAAAUGAGAAAAAGGUAUGCAAGUUAAUCAAAUCUCUUUAUGGCUUAAAGCAAGCACCAAAACAAUGGCACGAGAAGUUUGAUUCGGUAAUUUUAUCACAUGGUUUUAAGCAUAAUAAUGCUGAUAAAUGUGUAUAUUUUAAAUAUACGAAUGAUUUUGGUGUGAUUAUAUGCUUGUAUGUUGAUGACUUGCUUAUCUUUGGAACAAAUAUACAAGGAGUAGAUGAUACAAAGAAGUAUUUAACUUCACAAUUUAAGAUGAAAGAUCUUGGUGAAGUAGAUACUAUCUUAGGUAUCAAAGUGAAUAAACAUAGUGGGGGUUACUCGUUGUGUCAAUCUCAUUAUAUAGAGAAAGUGCUUCUUAAAUUCAAUUAUUUGAAAUUUAAAGAAGCUAAUACCCCAUAUGAUUCUAGUAUUAAAUUACUAGAGAAUUCAGGCCGAAUAGUAGCUCAACUAGAAUAUGCUAGUGCUAUUGGUAGCUUGAUGUAUGCUAUGCAUUGUACGAGGCCUGAUAUAGCAUUUGCAGUUUGCAAAAUGUCAAGAUUCACGAGUAACCCUAGUGUUGAACACUGGAAAGCAAUUGGUAGGAUACUUGGUUAUCUUAAAAGGACCGUUAAUUUGGGUUUGUUUUAUAAUGAUUAUCCUGAAGUACUGGAAGGAUAUUCAGAUGCUAGUUGGGUAACCAAUACAAGAGACAAUAAAUCCACUUAUGGUUGGAUUUCUACAAUCGCUGGAGGAGCGGUUUCUUGGGCUUCAAAGAAACAAACGUGCAUAACUCAUUCAACAAUGGAAAGUGAGUUUAUAGCACUUGCAGCUGCAGGCAAAGAAGCAGAAUGACUGAGAAAUUUGUUGUUUGAUAUAAUGUUGUGGCCACAACCGAUGCCAUCUAUUUCUUUGUACUGCGAUAGUGAAGCUACAUUGUCUAGAGCUUAUAAUAAAGUGUAUAAUGGAAAGUCUAGACAUAUUAGCUUAAGACAUGAAUAUGUGAAACAAUUAAUAGCAGAUGGUGUUAUUAAUAUUGUUUAUGUUAGGACUAAUAAAAACCUAGCAGAUCCUUUAACAAAAGGUCUUUCAAGAGACUUAGUUAAGGAUACAUCUUUUGGAAUGAGAUUGAAACCUUUACACAAUAAAGUCACCAACGACGGUAACCCAACUAUGUAGUAGUUAUACCGCUACUCCAUAGUUAAAUGGGUAAUAACAAGUUGUUGUUAUGUGACUGGAUUGGCACCGAGUAAUAAAUAAUCCCAUUCGAGAUAUUCGGUGCAAAUAGCUACGAGGUUGAGGUUGAGUAUUUAUUCUUAAUGAAGUUCAAGUCUUAUAGUAGCUAAAGACAUGAUUUGAAACUUCACCUAAGUGAACAUAAGAAAUGGUGCUGUUUCUAACAAGGUCCUGGUUUAAUCUUGUAAAUGUUCAUGAAUCCAAGAUAGAGCACAAGGCCGGAAUAGUGCUAACUAUUGGAACACAACUUUGAAAUCUGGGAUAACUUAUAUGUGAUGUAUCUCCGGUAUUUACUUAAGAGACAAAGUUUAAUGCUUAGCACACUAUUGUCUUGUAAAUGCUUUGAAAUACACUCACUAAUUAAAGGUUAAAAUCGAAAGAUACAUUUUUGUAUGUAUAAGUUUAUUAUUAAUAAAUCUGAAAAAUAUUACAAUCUAGUGGGGAUUGUAAGAGAGAUUGUAACAUCUUUCAAGUUUUUUUUUGGUUUGAUAUUCUGGACGAAAACGGUUUGCCGUUUAUUGAGAAAACGGCUAACCGUUUAAGUCCAGAGAGCAUGUUUUCUGUUCUGGGUAAAACAGCGUACCGUUUAUGGAGAAAACGGCUAACCGUUUAACUCCAGAGAGCAUGUUUUAUGGUCUAGAGAAAACGGCUCACCGGUUAUUGAGAAAACGGUUAACCGUUUAUGUACAAAGAGCAACGUAUUUGACAUUCUGGAAUAAAACGGCUCACCGUUUAUUGAGAAAACGGUGAACCGUUUAUUUCCAGAAAGGCGUCAACUAGAAACGGUUGACAAGCUUGAAAAUUUCAAGUGUUGAUCGUUGCAAAUUCAAACCAAAAGAGUUUUUUGAAGAAGUACCAUUUCGAAUGGUUGCAUUCUUUUGAAUUAACAUCUUCUUCAUAAAGGGAAAGAUAUACAAUUAGAAAUAUCAUCAGAUUUUGCAAGUUUCAUAUAUGUUCUGGAAAUACAAUCUUAUUUGCUAGAGAUUGUAUUCAGGAUUUGAUAUAUCUUGGGGGUAAUUUGCCAUUAAUACUCUAUAGCAAACCAAGAUUGGAGAGGGCAAAUAAAACCUUAAAGGAAAGUGUGCAAACACGUCUCAAAUCCUAAGAAAUUUUCUUUGUUCUUUGCCUCCAUAUUCUUAAUAUUCUCUAACAGGAAUAGUCCCAAAGCCGAAGGAGGUGGCUGAGAAAUGUAACAGCAACUAUAUUACAUUUUACAUGUUAUUAGGUUUAUCGGUUUCUUUAACUUUAAUACAGAUGGCCGGCUAGAGAGUGAGACCCACAUGACUAACUGAGGAUUAUUCCAAAUUAGAGUUAAUUAUAAUAAUACAGUCUUUAAUUCAACAAUGUUAAUUGUUAAUAGAUAAUGUUAGGUCUGAGUCACUUUGUUGAGUUUUUCAGGGAACUUUGAUAUGGAGAAAGAUGUGCAGUUGCUGGCCCUGAUUAAUUAAAUUAUAUACUACUAAAUAUUUCCUUCCCCCACCUCCAAAUUGCAUAUAUGAUAACCAAACUACUAAUUAAUAAUAAUUAUAAACGAAAACAUUGACAAUUUUAAAGGCUGUCAUUUUCUUCGAUCAAAUUACCUCAGCCGGAAAAAAAUUGAUUUGGAAAUUAAAAUAUAUAGUCAAUACUCCUCGAAAAAUAAUUUUACAGUAUUUCCAUUAUUUUUAAAUAUACUUUUGUUCAUAUUUAUUAUAAAUUAAAUAAAUCAUAUAAAUAGAAAUUAAAAUUAAAAAUUUGAGAAUUAAAAAAAAAUAAGUUUCGGUGUGAAUAAAAAAUAAUAAUAAGAUAACUCUUUCUUGUACUUUUUGUUAUUUUUUAAAUAUUUUUCUUAUAACACACACACACACACACACACACACACACACACACACACACAUAUAUAUAUAUAUAUAUAUAUAUAUAUAUAUAAUUUUCAAGAUAAAUUACCAAACAAAUGACUUAUUUUCUUCUAAAUUUUUGGUGCCGUGGGAGUUUUUGAAUUGUAUAAAACAACAAGUUAUAUGUGAUAUAUAUAUAUAUAUAUAUAUAUAUAUAUAUAUAUAUAUAUAUAUAUAUAUAGAUUUUAAUAGGGCAUGGGAAAUUGACAAUCCUCCCAUAUCAAAUCUAUUUGCAGUUCUUUUUAAUUCUUAUAUUUAUAUGCAUGAUUUUCUUUUCUUUUCUUUUAUUAGCAAAUCUGCGUUAAGGGAAGGAAUUUUUUUUUUUUUUUUCACUUACAACGAUACCCUUAAGAUGCCUGCUGCUUACAUAUUUAGUUAAGAGUAAGCGCAAGGCCUUAGGACAACCUUUUUAUCCUAUCAAUGUGACCGCAAUAAUCUCUCAGAACCCGUAAAUCAGUACGGAGAUAUAAGAGAUGUGAAGGAAUUAAGCAUCUUUAAAAAAGAAAAAAUAUUUAAUGCAUUAGUUCUUUUGGAUUUUCAGCAACUUGCAUUGCCCAAAUCAUUAUCUCAAUUUACCCCCCUCGUUAACAAUAUAAGCUUUCGCACACGAUCCAAAGUUAUUGAUGAUUGACCAGCAUACAUAUCUGUUUUCUUGAAAACUUUUUCUGAAUGAUGGAUUUGAUCCUACAACGCAUCAGUUCAUUACCCUUCCCCAUAAGCUACAUGGUUUUAUCAUUUGAUGAUGACAUUUUAAUAUGUAAUUUCUUUCUUCCAAGACAUUCCUUUGCGACUGAUACUACACAAUCCAUAAUUGCAUUCCCAUCAUACAAGGGUCAUCCACCCUUAAAAAGAGGAAGGGGGGAAAAAGUAUAUGAAACUUAUUAAAUGUUUAAUUAGUAGAAAAUCUUGGGGAAAAUACUUGAAAAAGCAUAAAUUGUGUAUGACAAGAAACAACCAUGCAUGUUUAAUCUUUUGCAAGCAUAGCUCAUAUAACAACUUUAAACAUUUUCCUUGCAAAAAUAUGAAUGAAUCUACAAACACCUGAAAAGUUCAACCAAUCAGCGCAGUUUACUGAUGUUAAAAGAGACAUUCAAUCAAUUUGCCGGACUUCCAAACUUCAAUUUAAUGCAAUCACAGUCAUCACCCUUCUAUCCUUACAAUAGGAUUAGAAUUUCUAUUUAUUGUAUAUUUAACUGCAGUUCUAGACUCUGUCUGCAAAAGUAAAACAGAUAAUUCUUGUUAAUUUCCCUGGAUGAUCAGUAUGCUCUCAAUCUCUAUGCUUAGUCAUAGAUAUACAACCAUGUCAAAAGCUAGCCCUUCCCAACUAAGUCCAAACGGAUGACAAAAAGUGAACCUUGUCCCACUGACAAGAAACUUGGUCUUCCCUCUUAUCUUCAAAAAUGCAAUCUUGCCGAGUAACCCAAAAAGGAGCUAGAGCCAGAGAACCUUAGCUUUCUAUCCUUGCCCGAAAGCAAAACCAUUUUUCAUUAGCAAAGAGCUACAAGAACUUGGAGCAUCCUAAAACCAAUAACAUAAUUGAGAAUCAAUGCAUGUAUCCGUAAGCAUAGUACCCAAACCAAUUUUAAAUUUCUGAUAGGCUUACUUAAUUGCCCAAAUUCUACCAAGCUUUUCAGUUAACCUGCUCAAAAUACAAUCCGCAGGUACAUUUAAAUAAAUUGGGUUAUUUAACGCCUAUAAUCUUUGAAACCUCAUCAAAUUGCUACCAGAAGUAAUCCAUACCAAACAAUCAACACAUGAAAUACAGGACCUUCAGACAGAAGAAAGAUGGCCGAAGAAGAAAUUAAAAACCCAUAGAAGCACUAAAUACUUCUCCUAUUACUAAUAAUGGAACAAAACAACAUCAAAAUACGCUCAAUAUACCACUAGAGGAAUAAAUCCACACCAAUGACAAGCUAAAUAUGACAUCUUUCUAGAAUUAAUAAUUCUGCAACCAAAAAAGCACAGUAAUUAUCUGCAUUUUAAAUAAUCCUAAAAACAGGACAAUGACUUAUUUAUGUCAUAUAAAGGACCUACAAACACUUAUCUUUUUAUCUAUUUUAUUUCCAAGCAAAAACAACAUUUUUCUAUUCUUUCUUCAACUGGAAAACAGGUUAUGUUACGGUAGUCACUAGACAGUAGGCAAAACACUUGAUAACUAAAUAUAUAAAAAGAAAUAAAAAAGAGUUAAAAAAAAUUACAAAAGUUAAAAUCGAAAAAACAAAAAGAUUAAAAAUGAAACUGCUUGUGAAAAAUGAAAAUAUCAAACCCCCUUCUUCAGAACAAUUCAAAGAGGGAGUUGCUGGUUCUUAAUGCAACAGUAAGUAACAUGCCACUGAAACCCCAACCUUUAAACAUAGAACUUGAACUCAGGAAGAGAUAAAAGAAAAAGACAUAGAUGACUGACUGAGUCCGACUGAAAGAGAGUUAAAAAGAAAUAAAAAAGAGUUAAAAAAGAAAUAAAAAAGAGUUAAAAAAAUUACAAAAGUUAAAAUCGAAAAUACAAAAAGAUUAAAAAUGAAACUGCUUGUGAAAAAUGAAAAUAUCAAACCCCCUUAUUCAGAACAAUUCAAAGAGGGAGUUGCUGGUUCUUAAUGCAACAGUAAGUAACAUGCCACUGAAACCCCAACCUUUAAACAUAGAACUUGAACUCAGGAAGAGAUAAAAGAAAAAGACAUAGAUGACUGACUGAGUCCGACUGAAAGAGAGUCGCCAAUAUACCGUACUGGUCAGCUCCCAGUUGAAUUUGCAAGGUUGGGUUCGAGUCCCAGUCCCACAGGUAGUGAAAGUAGGUAGGUAUCGUAAGUUCCUACUAACCAGCUGGAGUAUCAAAACCUGUUUGUAUAAGCCUGCACAAUACAAGUUAAUCAUCAGCAAAUGAGGGGGCUGCAGCGAGAAACACAGAUCAUGUAUUAAUUAUAAAACAUGUAAAAUUAACGUAUAAUAUAAGUCAUAAAACCCUUUUUCUUUAGAGAUAAUCUCCCCAUAGCAACUAUAAAUAUGGAAAAAAAAAAUGACCAAAGAGUAGAACAGUCCCCUCCUUUUCUCCAAACAAAUACAACCAUUUCAGUUCACACCUAAGCUGAGAACCAUUCUAGUUUCAAUUUUCAACCAAUGAAACAACCAUAGUAUUCUUAUAUAAAAAAAAUGAAAUAACCAUAGAAUAAAAUAAUUAUACUCUAAUUCAAAUAUUGCUUCAGAAUAUAGACUCAAUUGGUCAAACCUAUGGAAUUGGAAUGAUGCAUUUAUUUAACCCAAAAGGUGAAAAUCAAGCUUAAGGUUCUUACAUAUCGAAAUGAUAAAAUUUCAUUCAUUCUGAACACGAGAUGCAACUUUUCAAGUUAUUCCAAGAGAAAACAUUAAAAGAAAUUUGUCCAUCCGACGUAGGCUAAAUCAUACGGAUUAUUAACAUUGAUAUUUUUUAUUAGCUGAAUUGAUAACUUUUGCACCCUAACUUAAGGGCACAUGUGAUAAGAAAUUUUUUUCUACAUCAGGCGCAAGUAUAAGCUUUUAACAAUUAAGCUUUGACUGUUUGCUUACAAGAUCAAACAUAUACUAAUAGAGAUGAAUAAAAUCCAGCACUUCAAGAAAAAUUUGACAUUAUAUCCCCUAAAAUGUGGAUAUUAUCCAAUAUAUCAAACCAGCAAUUUUUAUACUCAGCUGCUUAAAACUUCAAAAACAAAAAAUAAAAUAAAAUAAAAUAAAUAAAAUAUAAUAAAACAUAACCUUCUCAAGUCAACUCUACUAACCUUCUCAAGUCAACUGUACUAUGACAAUUGGUUAAUACGACAUUUGGGGCCUCCAGGACCCUAUUACUACAACACUAACAGAUAUAAGUGCAUCCUACCAACGUAGCUUAGUCAUUCUAAAUACAUGUAUUAAAAAGCAUAAUAUCUACAAAAAGGUAGCUUACUAAGUUUACUAGGCCAGCAAUGCCAAAGCACAACCAGAACAGUAACAAAAAUAGACGAAGACGGUUCUUUAUUACAGAACACAACUUUCAAAAGAUGCAAUCUCCAUGUUAAACCCCAAAUCAAAAUCAAUCCUCCACUGACCACAAUACUUUUCACCAUCAUUGCCCAAACCUGAAAAGUAAGGGGUGAGCUAACGCACAGUAUGUAGUUACACACAACAAAGGAUCGUUUUAUUUUUUUAUCUUUUAUUGUUUUUAAACACCCAAAUAAUUCACACAACUUUGGUACAUUUCUAACAUAGACCAUUUAUAUGUAUAUAAAUAUAUAUAAAAUAUUUAUUUCUUAAACUUUUUAAGUUUGAAAGUUGGUGUUCAACAGAAAUGUCAUAAGACAAGAUCAUAACAACAUACACACAUACAAAUAUCAUGUUGCUCGGUAGUUACGUGUAAAGAAAUCCUAAAAUUACUCUUUCAAUAAUACAAAAUAAAAACAUGCCUGACAAGUCAGUAAGAUGUAAAUCCUCAGCAAACAUUUUCCCCCAAUAUUAAUUUUGAAAAGAUAUACCCUACAUGCUUUUGGAGCAUUAUUCCCAAGGCCACCGCCCAUGAUUUCUUUUGUAGACUUUCACCGCGGGAUAGAAAUCUGACAAAGGUCAAUCCAGCACAGCAUACUUUUGGGGCAUUAUUCCCAGGGGCCAUCGCCCAUAAUUUCUUUUGCGGGCUUCACCGCGGGACAGGAACAUGUCUAUCACCAAUCAACCUUCUCAAACCUCAGCUUAAAUAAAAGGAAUAAAAAUGAUUAAUUCAUUCAAUUGCAUCAAUGUAAGUUUCCUUACUAUGACACACCUAGGAAUGGCAAUGGGCACCGCCCGCAGCGGGUUUGUCAUUACUAAACCCAAACCUGUACAAAAUUUAAAUUACCAUCCGCAGCGGGUUUUAACAAUUACCAAACCCGCAAUGGUAUCCGGCGGAUUUUUUACGGGUUUCCGUAUUUAAAAUCAAAAAUGUUUAAUAUAUAAAUUUAUAAUAAUAACCUCAAAUUCCAUAUAACAUACUCAAUUUUAUAUUUAAAUAAUGUAAAUGAAAAAUUAAAAUUUCCACAUCAAUUCAACAUAAAUUCUCAAAUUAAGUAUAAAUUACACAAAUCCAUUUAAAAAACACAAACUAGUAUCUAAAAAUAAUAAUUACAUUUCAUAUUAUCAUUUAAAACAAGCUCCAAGAAAAGAUAUUCAUUUCAUUCACCACCAUAAGCACGCAUCCAACACAAUGCUUAUAAUAAUAAUUAAGAUUAAUAUUUUCAAAUACUAAUUCGAAGGAAAAUGCCUUUAGUUUUCUUUAGAUUAUGACUUUAGAAUAGGAUAUAGGCCACAUACACACAUACACAACUUUGAUCCUUUGGCUAUUUGGUAAUUUAAUUAAUGACAUUAUUUUCUUUAUACAUUUUUAGAUUAAAAUUAAAUUAAAAAUAUUUGAAAAAAAUAUUGCGGGUUUGGUGGAUAUCCAUGCGGGUAUCCACCGGAUAUAAGGUUAAUACCAAACCCACCCGCAUCCAUGUGCGGGUUUUAAUUUAUAAUACUAAACCCGCCCGCAACGGGUAAAAUUACCCGCAACGGGCGGGUUUUGGCGGGUGGGUUUGUGCGGGUUUACGGGUUUGCGGGUACAAUUGCCAUCCCUAGACACACCAGACCCAUGAUACUUCUCAAUAACAAUAGUUAUAGAUAACAGAAUCUCAGCACAUCCCAAGUUUCACAACACAUCCACAAACUUAAACCGCAAACAAAGCACCAUAUCAUUGCAGGAUACAUAAACACAAUUCAGCUACACUUCCUAUUCCAAACUUGGCUAUAUCGCCGUUAAUGUUUAAUUCUCAUUCAUGAAUGUAUCAACCAAAUUAACUAUCAUAACUGAUUCAAGUAAUAACAAUACAUGGUCUUCAAUUAAAACUCGCAAUCCUGUUGAAAAUUCUAACAUGUCAAUUUUUUAUUUUAGCCACAUAGUCAUGUAAUUAAAUGGCUACCCAUACACCCACUGCAUUAAUUAUUAAAGGAAGCAAUUAAGCCAUUAGUACAUUAAAUCUAAGCAAAACAACUUAUAAGGACCCAAAAAAAGGAAAAAAAAAAAAGAGAAAAAAAUUACAUGAUCAAGCAAGAAAAACAACCUGAUUUUUCAGUUUUGAGUAACAAAAUCACUCAAUUGCAUAUAAACACCUACCUUGAUUCUGCAACAACAGCUCCUAGUUCUCCAAAGUCUUCUCUUCUUCUCUAACUUGGCUUCCUGUUGGUAAUACAAAAAUUAACCAACCAUACUGCCAAUAAUUUAAGAAUCCCAAAUUUAACAUAGUCCUAAACUUGCUGCGAGUUGCAGCAGCAAAAAGGAAACAAUUAAGAAAAGUAAGUGAAAAAAAAAAUCCAUUAAUAAAAGUAACAAGAUUUGAAAACUGAACCAUGCAUGCACAGAAACUUACCUACACCAGGUCUAAACAAUUAGAGUUAUGAGAAAAUCCAGCCAAACUCAUGUUGGUUUCCCAGAAAUUUCAUACUUGCUGUUGUUCUCAGCUCCUUUAAAUGCACAACUAUUCUCUCUAACACCCAAUUGCUCACUUUCCCUCCAUUUCUUUAUCUUCCUCUUCUCUCUUAUUUUAUUGGUAAAUUAUCAGCCAUAUACUCUUAAAUAACAUCCGUAUCAAACGUGUGUGAAUAUUUUUCAAGUGUAUCACUCGUAUACCCUAAAUUGACAAAAUACUUCUGCCGUCCACUAAUCCGUUAACUUCCGUUUGCAAGCGCUGACAUCAUAAGGGUAAUUUAGUCUUUUAAGAUUGACAAAACUUUGAUUAAAAAAACGAAAUGUCAUCGCAUUUACUAGUAAAAAAUGACAUGUCAUAUGAUAUAUAUUAAUAAAAAUGACAUGUCAUCCCAUUUAUUAGAUAAUUGUUAAUAAUUGCUAAAAAAAAAUUACUUUACAACUGAAUCUACUCCUCCAAAAUUUAACCUAAAUUUUUUAAAAUCUACUCCUCCAAGCUCCAACUGGAAAUUUUUAUGGUAUAAUAUGUAUAAUUGUAAAUAAUAUGUUGUUAAUAAUUUUUUAUGGUAUAAUAUGAAUAUUUUUUAUGGAUAAUUGGUAAUAAUAUGUACCAUUAAUAAUUCAUUUUUUUAAUAAAAAAAUAUAUUGUUAAUAACAAAAUAAAAAAAAAUUAUGUAUUGAAAAUUUACGUUAAUUUUUGGGGUAAAUUUAUAUUUUUAUCUCAUUUUGAGUUUCAAGAGCAAAAUAGUCAAUUUGCCAUAAUUCUGUUAACUUUCUAAUGGAAGUUAACGGAUUGGUGGACGGUAGAAGUGUUUUGUCAACUUAGGGUAUACGAAUGAUACACUUGAAAAGUAUUCACAUACGUUUGAUACAGUUGUCAUUUAAAGGUAUAUGACUGGUAAUUUCCUUUAUUUAUUUAUUUUUUUCUCGUUCUCUCUCUGUUAUUCCGAGGUAUCCACUUUAUUGAGUAGAAUGCCUUCCGCUGUGGGUUAUCAACCCACCUUUAGUACCAAAAUGGGUUCUUCACAAUAAAGAAUUCCCUUCUCCCUCUUUUUUUUAUUAUUAUUCUUAUUAUUAUUACCCGAACAUUGAUUUUGUUUGUUACAGGAACUUAACCAAAGAAUAAAGACACCUUAUAAAUUGGUUGUGGGCUGGGCUUAGUUAUUGAUUAAAAAAAAAGGAAAUUAUCAGGUAUAUACCUUUAAAUGACACCCGUAUCAAACGUGCUACAAUACUUUUUAAGUGUAUCACUCGUAUACCCUAAGUUGACAAAAUACUUCUGCCGUCCACUAAUCCAUUAACUUCCGUUAGAAAGUUAACAGAAUUGUGGCAAAUUGACUAUUUCGCCCUUAAAACUCAAAAUGAGAUAAAAAUAUAAAUUUACCCCAAAGAUUAACGUAAAUUUUCAAUACACAAUUUUUUUUAUUUUGUUAUUAACAAUACAAUUUUUAUUAAAAAAAUAUGGAUUAUUAAUGGUACAUAUUAUUAACAAUUAUCUGUAAAAAAAUCCAUAUUUUACCUAAAAACUUAUUAACAACAUAUUAUUUACAAUUAUACAUAUUAUACCAUAAAAAAUUUCAGUUGGAGCUUGGAGGAAUAGAUCUUCAAAAAUUUAGGUUAAAUUUUGGAGGAGUAUAUUCGGUUGUAAAGUAGCUUUUUUUUUAAAGUAAUUAUUAACAAUUAUCCAAUAAAUGGGAUGACAUGUCAUUUUUAUCAAUAUAUAUCAUAUGACGUGCCAUGUUUUACUAGGUAAAUGAGAUGACAUAUUUUUUUAAAAAGACUAUAUUACCCUUAUGAUGUCAGCGCUUGCAAACAACAGUUAACGGAUUGGUGGACGGUAAAAGUGUUUUGUCAAGUUAGGGUAUACGAGUAAUACACUUGAAAAGUGUCGUAGCACGUUUGAUACUGGUGUCAUUUAAGGGUAUAUGGCUGAUAAUUUCUUAAAAAAAAAACAACAAAGGAAGUUUAGAGCAAUUAAAACAAUGACAAUAAUAAUAAAAUAACAUAUAUAAUUAUAAAUAAGUAGAUAAAUUAAACUUAGGAUAAAUUUGGGGUGUUACAAUAACUCCCCAAGCCACCACUGUAUUUAACUGAUAGACAAGAAUAAAAGAAAAAAAAAGAAUUAAAAAAGUUGAUAUAAGGAACCCUGUGGUCAAAUGUUAAAUCUGACUUCUUCGAACGAGUUAAAGGCCAGCAAUGAAAAUUUCACGUAAAAGCAACCGGUAUACUUGUAAAAUAGCUUAAAUUAGAAGUUUUCUCACUCGUUCAGGAGAGACACCAACAAUAUCCAAAACUUUCAAAUACAACUUAAGUUACACUAAAUCAUAAUCAUUUCAUUCUUUAUCUAAAUAUCUAAAUAUGUUUACGAGGGGAAGAUGCCAACAAUCUUCAGCUAAUCCUCUUGAACACACCCUUUUCUCCUUUGUUGACAAAUAAGAUUACUGUGGGGAUCUCAUAAUCGGGCUUUGAUCUCAAUUGAGUUUAUAAGCCUUUGUCAGUUGGGCUGAAUCCAAUUGGGAUUUUUAGAUUUAUAGAAAUCCAUGGUCUAAUUCAACCUAAGAACUAGUUCAAAAAUAAGAAAUUCCUCAAGUUUACAUUGUUAGCCUAGUCACUGUUCUCCUCCGAUGUGAGAUGAAGUAUCCUCAACAAGAUUCCCAUUGUGCGGCGCAGUUCGGAGAUGAUACAUGUAAUGGUAGGCAAUCUGUGGGGUUGAAUCCAAUUUGGUCACCGCCAUCUUCAAGCUGGUUCAAAUUGAAUAUCAUUGAUGCUGCAAUGAAUGAUGAAUCAAACGGGUGGGGAUAGCAGGACUUAGGCGGCCACAGGAUUCUGGGCCUAUUCAUUUCUCGGGCCGUCUUCGUAAUGGACCUUUUGGUCUUCUUAAUUAGGCCCGGGCUUGCUGUAAUCCCUCAAAGCAAAUGUUUUUGGCAGCUUGGGUCCUGCGUUUCAAAUAUGCAAGUCAUGUUUUGUUAAUCAAUUGUCAACUGUACCAUUUACUCUGAAAUAAAUUGAAAUUUCAUUUUCACAUAGAGAGAUUUCAGUAAAGUAGUACAUCCUCCAAACACACAUCAACAUCAAAAUUGAUUAAAUUAUUAUAUUUUCAAAUUAUGAGAGGAAGAAAAAAUUGUUUAUAGAUGCAAUGUAUAUUCAUUCUUUGCUAAAUCCACAGGUAAUUAAAAGUUUCAAAUAUAUAUAUACACGUAAUUGCCUAAAGUCCACCAAGCUUCUAAUUUAAUCAACUCAAAAUAAAGUUUUCACAACAGUCACAUUUUUUAUAAAUUGGGAUAUUAGCCCCUUUAUUCUUCGAAAGCUUAUUGUUGGAAUUGGUUGCUGAGUUUCCAAUUAUCAAUUGAACUGUAGUCAUUAACACACACCCACAUAUGCUGAUGGUACAGUCAGAUCGAAUCUGUUAUAAACUAAUUAAAUUACAAUAUGUUUCUUUUACCAGCUGUAUGAUUGACUGUUAAUUAAUGACCAGAGAAGAAAUUAUAAGUACUCCUCCAAAAGCUAAGAUUAAUGGAUCAAAACAACUUCAGAUAUUUCCCAAUAAGCCACUAAAUCAGGAUCAAAUUCACAAGUCAGUAUUCCUCAAGAUUUUUCCAUUUCAUGAACUAACAGGUCUGCCGUUACUGGAUUAAAAGCUAAUAAAAAUUAAUUCCUUAGCAUGCAUUCUAAAUCAUCCUUAAAUUUUAUAUGUUCGGUUCCAGCUGCAGGCAUAACUUCGGCUGAAGUACAGAAAAAAAAUAAAAUAAAAAUUAGAAAAGAAAGAGUAAAAAUGAAAAAGAAAGAAAAUAUCGAUCAAAACGUACGACUCUUUGACCAAACAAGUCAACUGUCACAUGCACACGGGGCCCAUUUUUGAAAACUUUUUUCUACUUGUCUGUAUACAAGUUUGCAAGCUUGAUGUAGGCAAUGAGACUAAAGGCAAGUGAGUUGCAAAGAGCCCUGAAGAGGUGAAGGCGGUGAGGUCAGGUUUUUUAUUUUAAAUUUAUGAAAGUCAAAUAUUAAUUUAUAAAGCCGAACGGGUAUCAUAUACGGGGUCCAGCUACCGGGCCCCCAGGACACCGUGCCUCCUUCAUUUGUCAUUAUCUAGUCCAGCCGUUAGAUUAUAAAGAGUGUUAUCCAACGGUUGAGAUUUUAGUCACGAACAAUGUGUGAAGCGGGCAAUUGCCCAAACCCAUUUGAGGUACAAGAGUAGUUUUAGGGAUCUGUAAAUCCUUAACCGUAUUUGGCCUGACGUGAGCGAUUUCCCUAAAGCAACCACCAGUUUCGUAAUUGUGUGUGACUAUAGCUGCUGCAGCGACGCUGAAUUAAAUUUUCGAAGACGAUUGUGGUGACUUGUGGAUUUGUUGUGGUCGUAUUGAAGAAAUGGAUAGGAUUGCGUAAACCAUCAUUAAAGGUUAGUGAAAUUUUAAUGUGAGAUUUGUGACGUGAAUCAUUUGUAGCUGAUAAUAUAGUUGGUGCGAAAUUAGAUUUCAUUGGUGCGAAAUUAGAUUUCAUAUGGAUAAUGGGAAGAUAUGAGAGUGCAGGGCGUAAAUUUUUAAAUUAAAUUUCUGGAAAUUUUAUGAACAGUGUAGUAAUAUAAAGGAGUUUAUUAUUAUUAUUUUUAUGUUAAUAAACACGUGUAUUGAAAUUGUACGAGGGAGGGAUUUCGGCAACAGAAAUUCAGGCUAGUGGCAGCUGAACCUGAAAUAAUUGAGUUGAAUAUUGUUGCUGCGAAUAAUGUGGUGGGAAGUUAGAUUUCCUAUAGAGAAGUAGAAAAUAGUGGAGUAAAGGAGAAAAAAUAUUGAAAAUGAUUUAGGGAUUAUACUCUAACAGCUGAACACGGCCCAUUUAAAGUUGUAUGAUUGAUGAGAAACUUGUGGUUUGCUCUAUGUGUUUGCCAUAUUUCCUUUUCUUUAUCUUCAGACUGACUAUGCCUUCGGCUGCAACUUUGUAGAAGCAUCUACGAAGUGACAAGUCAGAUGUGAAUCACACAGAAAUUUUGAAAAUGAUAUCAUAAUUUCUUGUGCUUGUAUAAUAACAAUGGGACUAAUUAGUUUAGAUGUUUUGUAUGUUUUUAAGUUAAUGUAAUAAAAAUUGAAUGUAUGUCUGGCAAUUCAACAGUAAGGGGGAAGUUAGUAAGUUGUACUAUGAACAUGUGUGGAAAGUACAAACAGGAAAAGUGAAAUUGCAGCAAGUAAUAAAAUGAAGUUAAGUGCAAGCAUUUAGAUGGUGAUGCAAGGGAAAUGGUACAUGUUUACAGCUCGUUGUACAUAUGUUUCAUUGACUGUAUGCUAAUGUAACAAAUAGCUGAUCAAUUAACAAUUGCCCAUGUCAUAACAGUUUCAGUACAAUCCAUAUUUGGCCGAAACUCUUACCGCUGGACAUGACUUCUUGCGAGUACUAUUAAGCAGCAAUGAUGACGACUCCAUAAGUAAGUUUGUCACACAGUUAUUCAUAAUUGCAUUUUCACUUACUCUUUUUGCUAUUUGAAAUUGCAGGCCUGUAAAGGUGACCGUGUCCCAACAUGCAUGAUCCCUAAUGCUGCCAUGUGCUCGCCCUUCCACAUCUGUCCAUGUUAUCUUUUUUCCUAUGAUUGAAGCCGAAGCUUAUCUAUUUCUUACAUUCAAACCGAUGCUGUCAAAGGAACUCCACCAACUAGGAUGAAAUACAAGUAUGCAACCCAAGAGGGGGGGUGAAUUGGGAUUCUAAAAAAUUAUUCAAUUUAUUAAAGAAAAUCUUAAUGCAAUUAUAAAUCAAAUUCAAAACAAUAAAUUCAAUCAUGCACAAUAUUAAAAGAGUAAGGGAAGAAAAAACAAACACAAGGAUUUUUACGUGGUUCGGCAAUCCCCGCCUACGUUCACGCCUCCAAACUCACCCGCUUGAGGAUUUCACUAUCCAAGCCUCCAAGGCUUCAAAUGCUUACAUUUGACUUCCAAGGUAUCAAUGAACCUUUACAACAAGAGAUUAUCCCCAAUCUCUUAACCCAAGUGUAUCCCAACACUUACAAUCACUCAAAAUAAAAGAUUAUAAAUUGUUUUGCCUCUCACAAUAUAUAAGAUUACACAAUGAUGCUUAAUAUGUGAAUAGAUGAAGCAAGAAUAUGUUCUAAGCUCUAUGAAGAUUGUAUUCUCGAAUAUUAGCUCAAAUGGUCGUGUUGUGAUUAAUCAUCUUUGAAUUUGAAUGAGCUUAUUUAUAUUUGGAGCCGAAAAUCUAGUCGUUACAAACUGUCGGACAGAAAACGGUUCGCCGUUAACCAUAAACGGUUAACCGUUUAGGCUGGUCAAAGUUACCGUUGGGCCAGAUUUCAAAUAAUCGGUUUGCCGUUUAGGAUUGCCCUUUCGCCGUUAACUUCCAGAGACCUGCAAAAUGAGUAUUUGUUAUCCGUUUACGCUAAACGGUUAAGGACUUGCGUGAAGUGGCUUCUCUGGAAAUUAUCGGUUAACCGUUUGAUAUAAACGGUUCGCCGUUUGUCUCCAGUAACCUGCAAAACAAAUUUAGCCUUAUCAGUUUUCGUUAAUCAGUGCCAGAGGAGGACAACCUUCAAUUUUGGACGUUAUCGGUUAACCGUUUAAAAUAAACGGUUCACCGUUAGGUUCCAGUAGCCUUCCCAUCUUGGGUGUUUUCUGUUAAGCAUAAACGGUUAGAGCUUAGGUAAUAUGUUGCUCUCUGGUUCUAAUCGGUUAACCGUUUAAAAUUAACGGUGAACCGUUUAUAACCAGAAUUGCAUUUUAAACCAGUUUUUGCAGAGAAUCUUUUUCUAAUUUUAAAGUCCAUCUUUUAUGAAGCAUGAAUGGAAUGAUUACUAAGGCUCUCGUUUAUUAAGAAAUAGCUCCAAUACUUUUAUCAAAAAAUCAUUUAAAAUUUGUUAGCAUCAAAAUCAAUAUUAUUAAUAUAUUUAUGUUAACAAUCUCCCCCUUUUUGAUGAUGACAAAUUCUAAUCAAUGUUUAGCUCCCCCUUAAUAUGUGCUCCCCCUAAAUGUAUGGCCAAAUUGAGAAAUGUGAAUAAAUUGCCCCAUUUUAAAUCCAUCUUAAAAACAAAUAUCUCCCCAUUUAAAAUUAAAAAAAAAUCUUAAAAACUUAAAAACCAUCUUAAAAACUGUAAUUAUCUCCCCCUUCAUCAUCAAAAGGAAAAAGGAAAUAAGAAAUACGCAAAUCCAUGAAAGAAAGUGCCCGGUUUUGGCAAGCGAAAAAAAAUUUUGGCAGAGUUUCCCCUUAAAAAUGAGUAAAACCAUAAAUACAAAAUGAGAUAAAACACUUCCAAAAUUAGAUCAACAUUAACUUCUGCGUUCAACAAGCCAACAACUCCAUGAACAAGACAAAAUAACACUUCAAUAUCCACAAAUAUACCAACACUCCAAUAUCCACAAAUAAACCAUUUCUACAAUAUCCAACCAAUUAGGCAAUCACAAAGCAUCAAUAAGCUAAUCAUCAAGAACAUCACACACAUAUGCAUCAAAAUCAAAAUAAUAAUAAAAAUGCUAGCAACCAGAAUGUAAAAUGUAUGUGCGAAGACAAAGCUCAGAAACUACGGAGGCGGAGAAGAUGUGCUCCCUGGAUCAUAGCCGAAAUAGCCGAGAAUAGUGCGCUGUCCAGCGAUAAGCUCCAUCUGCUGAUCAAGGCUCUGCCGCUGGAAUAUCUGAAAGUCAGAACGCAGCUGCUGGUGGUCACGGGAAAGAGUGUCCAACCGAUCAAGAAUCAGCUGCUGGCGCUUCGAAAUCCGCUGAACAUCAGAGAUCAGCUGCUGCACUGCGUCUGAAGCAGGGGGCUGAACUGGAGCUGGAGGCGGCAUAGAGGCAGAUGGCUGCUCGGGAACAGCAGAAGGCUCAGGAGCAGUAGGCGGCUCGGAAGAGGAGGGAAUAUCAGCAUCCAUCGCACGCUCCUCAGAGUCUGAGUCAGCUGGAGGCUGAGGAACAAAACGGCGACGCGGAGGAUGAGGAUGAGCGCCUAGUCUAAAGUCAGGAAGCUGGUCGGGACGAUAGACAUCAUUGAGCAUCCGAUCGUCCUCUGGAGCAAUCAAGGUAUCCCGGUUUUUGGAGUUGCUUGUCUUUAUCCACACUCCAUUCUUUCUAGAGAAUCCGAUACUGGUUACUGCCUCGGAACCAAUCCGUCGAGUCUCCAUAUGUCCAGUAUCAAGAAGUGGCACCUCAAAGCGUCGCAGUAUUUUAGUGAUGAUACUGCCGUAGGGAAGCAAGCGGUGGUUGACCACUGGAGUACUCAGCAUAUGUCGCACAAUAAUAUACCCGAGGUUAAUGGGACGGUCUGUAAGAAGGCUAUCCAAUAAGGCGACGUCUAACCUCGUAACCUCAUCCGAGUGACCCUUCCUAGGAGUCACUAUGUGCUGUAGAAUAGAGUGAAGAAUACGAACUUGGAGCGGUAAAAGUUGAGACCGAAAUGGAAGCUGACAGAUAUCAUCCGAUAAGUCUCGACGACGACAUAUAUUACGGACGCCGUGAGUAUGAGAAAAAGUAUCAAAGGAGAGGGUUUUCCUAGAAGUGUAGAUGUCAAUCCCCUCACAAGAGAUACCUAGAAAGUCAGCUAAGUCCGCAUCAUCAAAUUCUAUGGGUACACGGCCGACUUGAGUGACUAUCCUAUUUGGACGAGUAUUGGAGAUUUCCAUGUUCGAAUAAAAGACUCGCACUAAGUUUGGAUAAACUCGGUCAUCAAAAUCAAUGCCAGACUCCCAAGGCCGAAGCAUAUCCCGAAUACUUCUACCACAUACAACCAAAUUAUGGAAAUCAUCAAUGUCAACAAAGAAGGAGUCAAGUACCUUUCGACCAUUGAAGCGUUCUUCGAAUCGCUUGGCCAAGGAAGGAGUGGGGAAGUGAAUCCUUGCAAAUUCCGAGACGUCCCGAGGUGGUAUGAGAUUCCUUGGAGGCACAGAUUUACGUCUGAGAUUUCUCCGAGGAGGUUCAGCCAUGGAAACACGUAAUGAGGAGUAGAAGAUGUGAGUAGGAUGUUUAAUUUGGUUGAAGAAAGGUGGAAAUCGGAUUAAGGACAGAGAAACCCGACUCGCGACAGUUAGGGUUUAGAUUUGGGAUUUUUGAAUUUUGGGUUCGAUUUGAAGUUUUGAAUCGGUAGAAAUGUUCUAAAGGUGAUAAGAAAUGAUUUUGAGAAUUUGAUUUGGCACGGAAAUCAAGAAAAAUGAGGAUUUGAGAACAAAGAGACCUUCGGCUGCGCAACAAUGGAGGAAACGGUGAGAGGGUAACUGGAGAAGGAGAAGAAAACCUUUAAACAGUUUAUAUACUUCGCGAAAACGGUUAACCGUUUAUUGAAACGGUUAAAGGGUAACGUCCAGAGGCUGAAGAAAGGGAAACGGUGAAAGCCUAAGCGCUUAACGGCUAAGGAGUAACUGUUAGAGGACUCUCUGUUGAAAAACGGUUCACCGAUUGUGGAAAACGGUGAAAGGGUGAACGGGCAGACACAUAAUCUCGUUUCUGGAAUUAAACGGUGAUCCGUUUAUAGGAAACGGCUAACCGUUUAUUCAAUCUGUAAUUUCGCACAUUUGAUUUAAUUUUUGGCCAGCAAAUAAUAUAUUCCAAGAUCAUUUAAUUGAUCUGAAAAUAUUUUAUGAGCCAAUUUAAUGCAUGAUUCAUGGACAUGUUUUCAACCAAUCAAUUCAUAUAAUCAAGAGUUAUUAAUGCAAAUUCAUCAUUUGUCUACCAAGCUCAAGCAUUUCAUAAAUAGUAAUCAAUCAAUUCAAUACACUCAAUAGCAUGAAUAGAGAUGUUAAUGCAAAAAUUUCAUCAUCCCAAGUUCAUGCCGAAUUUUUGAAAAUUGUUCUUCGCAAAGCGGUUUUGUGAAAAUAUCGGCAAGUUGUUUUUCCGUGGAUAUAAACUCUAAUGCAAUAUCUCCCUUUUGAACAUGAUCUCUCAAGAAAUGAUGUCUUAUUUCUAUAUGCUUGGUUCGAGAAUGUUGAAUGAGAUUCUUUGAAAGGUUUAUAGCACUAGUAUUAUCACACUUAAUAGGAAUUUGUUCAAGAUUAAUGCCAUAAUCUCUAAGUGUUUGUUUCAUCCAAAGUGCUUGUGCACAACAACUUCCGGCAGCUAUAUAUUCAGCCUCAGUAGUUGAAAGUGCAACAGAAUUUUGUUUCUUGCUAAACCAUGAAACAAGAGAGUGUCCUAGAAUAUAGCAAGUUCCACUAGUGCUCUUCCUAUCCACUUUAUAACCAGCAAAAUCCGCAUCCGAAAAAUAUGUUAAAUCUAUAUGAGUUCCCCUAGGAUACCAAAUGCCAAUAUCUAUGGUUCCACUCAAAUAACGGAAAAUUCUUUUAACAGCGAGCAAAUGAGAUUCCUUGGGACAAGACUGAAAUCUUGCACACAAACAUACACUAAACAUGAUAUCGGGUCUACUUGCAGUCAAAUAGAGUAGGGAUCCGAUCAUACCUCGAUACAUUUUGAUAUCCACUUCUUUACCUUUUUCAUCUUUGUCCAGCUUGGUUGUUGUGCUCAUUGGUGUAUUCUUGGUCUUUGAAUCAUCAAUGCCGAAUCGUUUGAGUAGAUCUUUUACGUACUUAGCUUGAUUUAUGAAAAUUCCUUCCUCGCUUUGUUUGAUUUGAAGUCCAAGGAAGUAUUUCAACUCUCCCAUCAUACUCAUCUCAAAUUCUUUGCUCAUACACAAUGAAAAUUCUUUACACAACAACUCAUUAGUAGAACCAAAAAUGAUAUCAUCAACAUAAAUUUGAACAAUAAGUAUGUCUUGGUUCUUAUGCUUAACAAAAAGAGUAGUAUCCGCUUUACCUAUAGAGAAGUCAUUUUCUAGCAAGAAAUUUUUAAGUCUAUCAUACCAUGCUCUAGGUGCUUGUUUUAAUCCAUACAAGACUUUGAGCAACUUAUACACAUGAUUUGGAAAUUUUUCAUUUUCAAAACCAGGAGGUUGUUUCACAUAAACUUCCUCCAAAAUAUAUCCAUUUAAGAAAGCACUCUUGACAUCCAUUUGAUAUAAAAUAAAAUCCUUAUGACAUGCAUAUGCUAACAACAUCCUAAUGGAUUCUAACCUUGCUACAGGUGCAAAGGUUUCAUCAAAAUCAAUUCCUUCCUCUUGGUUGUAACCUUGAGCCACUAAUCUAGCUUUGUUUCUUACAACCACACCGGAUUCAUCCAUCUUAUUUCUAAACACCCAUUUAGUACCUAUUAUAGAUUGAUGUUCAGGUUUAGGAACUAGUUCCCACACAUUGUUUCUUUCAAAUUGAUUUAACUCCUCUUGCAUUGCCAUAAUCCAAGAUUCAUCAUUUUCUGCAUCCUCAAAGGAUUUUGGUUCAAUUUGAGAGAUGAAUGUAUUAUGCUCACAAGUAUUUCUAAGUGAUGAUCUAGUUGUUAUACCUCGUGAGGGAUCUCCUAAAAUUACAUCUUUAGGGUGAGAAGAGACAUACCUCCACUCCUUGGGGAGUGUUUGAGAAGUACCUUCAUUUUGCUCCACAUUUGGUUCUUCAUGAUGUUCCUCUUGAAUUCCAUGUGGUGCAUCCUCUUGAUUGUCAUUUGAUGCUUCUUCUUCUUGUUCUUCUUCUCCUACAUCAUCAUCAACAACGACUUUCUUCGUAGAGGAGGGGUUAGACUCAUCAAAUGUGACAUGCAUAGAUUCUUCCACAACUAAAGUUCUUGUGUUAUAAACUCUAUAAGCUUUGCUUGAAUUUGAAUAACCAAGAAAAAUACCAACAUCGGAUUUUGAAUCAAAUUUACCAAGAUUGUCUUUUGUGUUCAGAACAAAACAUUUGCAUCCAAAAACUUUAAAAUAGCCAAUGUUGGGUUUUCUAUCUUUCCAAAGCUCAUAUGGAGUUUUAUUAAGAUUAGGUCUAAUCAACACCCGAUUUAAAACAUAACAACCGGUGUUGACGGCUUCGGCCCAAAAAUAUUUUGGUAAUGCAUUUUCAUUUAACAUGGUCCUAGCCAUUUCUUGAAUAGACCUAUUCUUUCUCUCAACAACUCCAUUUUGUUGUGGAGUUCUAGGUGAAGAAAAUUGAUGCUCAAUGCCUAGAUUAUUGCAAAAACUCUCAAAUGCAUGAUUUUCAAAUUCUCCUCCAUGAUCACUCCUAAUGCAUACAAUACCAUGCCCUUUUUCAUUUUGUAAUUUCUUACAAAGCACUUUAAAUGCAUCAAGAGCAUCAUCCUUAUUGGCUAAGAAUAAUACCCAUGUAUAUCUAGAAUAAUCAUCCACUAUCACAAAAGCAUAAUAUUUGCCAUUUAGACUUGCAUAUCUAGAUGGCCCAAAAAGAUCUAUGUGAAGAAAUUCAAGUGGUUUUGAAGUAGAAAUAUGGUUUUUAUUCUUGAAAGAAGUUUUAAUUUGUUUUCCAAAUUGACAAGCUUCACAAAUCUUAUCCUUUUGAAAACCAAUUUUCGGAAGACCUUUAACUAAAUCAUCUUUCGAAAUUUUUGAAAUCAAAUCCAUACUUGCAUGUCCUAACCUUCUAUGCCACAACCAACAAUCAUCAUGCAAUGCCGAAAAACAUUUAUCAAGAGUAGAUGCACAUUCUAUGUCAAUGAUAUAAACAUUACCACAUCUAUUUCCAACAAAUAAGGUUUUGCCAUCACAUGAGUUCUCAAUAACACAACUAAAUUUAUCAAAGAUAACUUUAUAACCUUUGUCACAUAAUUGACUAAUGCUAAUUAAGUUGUGUUUCAAGUUUUCAACCAAACAUACAUUCUCAAUUAGAGUUGAAGAAACUUUACCAACAUUUCCAAUUCCAAGGAUUUUUCCUUUUGAGUUGUCUCCAAAGGAUACGUCUCCACCAUUUUCAAUUUUGGUAAAGCUUGAGAACCAUGCAUAGUUUCCGGUCAUGUGCCUUGAACAACCGCUGUCCAAGUACUAUUUAUUCUUCUUCUUCUUCAAGCCCUACAAGAAAAAGUCUCAAGUUUUAGGUACCCAAAGCUUUUUGGGUCCUUGAGAGUUAGCAACGGUUCCUUUUGGAACCCAAAUGCACUUGACACCAUAAUAUGCAUUCCUUUUCACGGGACAUUUAAAUUUCAUGUGACCAUUUUGAUUACAAUAAUGACAUACAAUCUUAUGAUCAUUUGUGGAGGUAGCUUUAACAAAAUAAUUCUUAUAAUACUUUUGCUUCAAAUUUGGCUUAUAUCCAAGUCCUCAUUUAUCAAAAACACAUUUUUGUGAGUUAAGCAUAUUAUCCAACAUCUUUUGCCCAUUUGUAAAUUUCAAAACAAUUUCAUUUAAUUCAUUAUUCUUUUUCUUGAGCAAUUCGUUCUCAUUUUUCAACUCAUCUAUGUGUGAUUUCAAAUGCUCAUGUAAGAUGCUAGGUUUCUCAUUUGAUAAUGCAAUUUCAUCAUGCAAUGUUUUGUUUCCUACUUCUAGGCAUACAAUUCUUGCAUUUAGAGAUUCAUUUUCAUUUUUAAGCUUUGCCAUUUCCUUUUUAAGACAUACAUUCUUUUUACCAAUUUUCAUUAACUCAUUAUGCACAUCUUGAAAAGCAUCAUAUAAUUCAUCAUAGGUAGGAUCACUUACCUCAUUGAGAUCAUCAUCUCCUCCUAUUGCCAUGAGUGCUAGGUUUGAUACUUCUUGCGAUCCUUCUUCAUCAUUUGAUUCUUCCUCACUAUCAUCCCAAGUUGCAACCAUUGCUUUCUUCUUGAGUUUGUUGAUAAGUGGGCACUCCGAUCUUAUAUGUCCAGGCUUCUUGCAUUCAUAGCAAGUGAUUGCCUCCUUCUUCUCCCUAUAGUUCUUGAAGUUUCUGAAAUUUCUUCGCUCUCCGGUUUUCUUGAAGAAUUUUCUGAACCUCCUUGCUAGCAUGGCUAGUUCUUCAUCAUCCGGUUCACUCUCCUCAUCACUCUCAUAUUUUGAGGCUUUGAGAGCAAUGCUUUUCUUCUUCUCCUCAUGUCCUCUUUCUGCAGCUAAAUCCUCUUCAUACGAAAUAAGAGAACCAAUUAAAUCAUCAAGAGGUAAAGUAUUUAAAUCUUUGGCCUCUUCAAUAGCGGUUCUUUUGGGUCUCCAUUCUUUUGGAAGAGACCUAAUGAUUUUCUUAACUUUCUCACUAUUUGAGAAGGUUUUCCCUAAGGCACCUAGGGUGUUCACUAUGUCCGUGAAUCUAGUAUACAUAGAAUACACAUUUUCAUUUUGUUCCAUUUGGAACAACUCAUAUUGACGAGUGUAUCUACUGAUUUUAGACUCUUUCACUUGAUUUGUCCCUUCAUAGACAACUUCAAGUUUGUUCCAUAUCUCUUGUGCACUUUCACAACUAGAUACUCUAUGGAAUUCUUUCUUAUCAAGGGCACAAAACAAAGCAUUCAUAGCCUUGGAGUUUAGAGACAUCUUUCUCUUUUCUAACUCACUCCAUUGACUCGAUGGUUUAGGAAUAUCAUCUCCUACUUCAUCUUUGAACGUAGGCAUGAAUGGACCAUCACAAACAACUUCCCAAAUUUCAUAAUCUAAGGCUUGCAAAUAAAUUCUCAUUCUAGUUUUCCAAUAAGCAUAGUCAUUACCAUCGAAAAAUGGUGGUCUAGUUGUGGAUUGCCCUUCUCUAAAGGUUGAGUCAUUUAGGGUUGCCAUGGAUCUUUUACUCUAGACGAUUAAGUCUUAACAAGAGAACGAGGCUCUGAUACCAAUUGAAAUACAAGUAUGCAACCCAAGAGGGGGGGUGAAUUGGGAUUCUAAAAAAUUAUUCAAUUUAUUAAAGAAAAUCUUAAUGCAAUUAUAAAUCAAAUUCAAAGCAAUAACAAUUAAGAGAAUCACAAUAUAAAAAGAUAAGGGAAGAGGGAUUCAAACACCGAGAUUUUUACGUGGUUCGGCCAACCUCGCCUACGUCCACGCCUCCAAGCUUUCCGGGCUUGAGGAUUCCACUAAGCAAGCCUCCAAGGCUUCAAAUGCUUACACUUGACUUCCAAGGUGUCAAUGAACCUUUACAACAAGAGAUUAUCCCCAAUCUCUUAACCCAAGUGUAUCCCAACACUUACAAUCACUCAAAAUAAAAGAUUAUAAAUUGUUUUGCCUCUCACAAUAUAUAAGAUUACACAAUGAUGCUUAAUAUGUGAAUAGAUGAAGCAAGAAUAUGUUCUAAGCUCUAUGAAGAUUGUAUUCUCGAAUAUUAGCUCAAAUGGUCGUGUUGUGAUUAAUCAUCUUUGAAUUUGAAUGAGCUUAUUUAUAUUUGGAGCCGAAAAUCUAGCCGUUACAAACUGUCGGACAGAAAACGGUUCGCCGUUAACCAUAAACGGUUAACCGUUUAGGCUGGUCAAAGUUACCGUUGGGCCAGAUUUCAAAUAAUCGGUUUGCCGUUUAGGGUUGCCCUUUCGCCGUUAACUUCCAGAGACCUGCAAAAUGAGUAUUUGUUAUCCGUUUACGCUAAACGGUUAAGGACUUGCGUGAAGUGGCUUCUCUGGAAAUUAUCGGUUAACCGUUUGAUAUAAACGAUUCGCCGUUUGUCUCCAGUAACCUGCAAAACAAAUUUAGCCUUAUCAGUUUUCGUUAAUCAGUGCCAGAGGAGGACAACCUUCAAUUUUGGACGUUAUCGGUUAACCGUUUAAAAUAAACGGUUCACCGUUAGGUUCCAGUAGCCUUCCCAUCUUGGGUGUUUUCUGUUAAGCAUAAACGGUUAGAGCUUAGGUAAUAUGUUGCUCUCUGAUUCUAAUCGGUUAACCGUUUAAAAUAAACGGUGAACCGUUUAUAACCAGAAUUGCAUUUUAAACCAGUUUUUGCAGAGAAUCUUUUUCUAAUUUUAAAGUCCAUCUUUUAUGAAGCAUGAAUGGAAUGAUUACUAAGGCUCUCGUUUAUUAAGAAAUAUUCUUUCUUGUUCUAGCAAUUCUAUUUUCUGGGUUAUUAAACCAAUGUAUGUAACUAAUAUAUUUUCCCAUCCUAAAAUCAUAUGAUCUAUGCAAUCUGCUAAUUCAUGUAUUUAUAUUAAAUGCAUGUUGAUUUUGAUGGUUCAUAAUGCUUCCUUUUUGUACCAGUAUACCAGAAAUUUUAUAAAUUCAUCUAUAAAUUUCAUUUUCUUUUCUAUUAAAAUUUCACCUCCUAUUGUGUCUAUAUUUCUUUCUCUGAGUUCUUCUGUUAAUUCGAGUUCUAUAUUUCUUAUAUUAUUUUUAUCGGUUUUUAAAGCCAUUAUAAGACUUUUUAUUUCUUCUUUGUUAUACACUUUUAGUGUAUAUAAGCUAUUAACUAUUGCUUGUAUUGGAUCCAUCAUUUAAUUCUAUGUCAUUUUUUCCAAAAAUUUAACAUUUAGGAUCUAUAGUUAUGGCUCUGAUACCAUCUUGCACGUAUGUGCCAAAAAAAGUACAAAUAAAAAUUAUUAAAUAAAUAGUCAAAUAUUCUCAAUGGAGUACAAAUAAAAAUUAUUAAAUAAAUAAUCAAAUAUUCUGAAUGGUUAAACUACUUCUAUUUUCUAAAUUAUCAUAUUUAUUGUUUUUAUUCCAAAAUUAAUUAACUAGAAUAAAUAUAUAGAUAUAUAUAUAUAUGAUUAAUUAAACAAAUUAUUUAUAACCAAAAAAAGUAUGUGGCGUUGACAAAGUGAUGAGAUCCUUGGCAAUUCAGCCAAGAUAUUUAAUUCUCCUUUGGACCAAUAGCCCGCACACCUUGGUUUCCAAUCUAUAUACUUUUUUCAAUUUAUAAUUCAAUUUCUUCAUUAUCUGAAUUUACAUAUGAAGGUCCAUCCUCUCUAUUUUUAUUUUCUAUAUAUGCUAAACCUAUAUCAAUUCCUUGUUCUACUGUCAUCAUAAUUAUGUUAUGCUUUAGAUUUUCUGAUUCGAUAUAGUUUAUUAUUUUCCGUUUUAUUUCUUGUGGGAGAUCUAGUGAAAAUACUGCUAACAGAUUUUCGGUUCUAACAAGGUCUCUUUUACUUAAUAAAUAUGAAUCUUGUUUAUAUGACCCUAAAUUAAAGUCUAUUAUCAUCAUAAAGUUGUUAUAUGUUAUUUUAGUAUUAGGAUCUAUCAUGCAUUCUUUACAUUCACCUAAAUAAAAUCUAUGAUUCAUUUUACAGAAAAGAACCAAAAACUUGUUUCAUCUCAAAAAUAUGCUCUUCCUCCAUAAAUCUCCUCAUCAUUGAUCACCAACAAACUUCCACCAAAGAUAAGGUUUGAGAAUUAUUGCCUAACUUAUUCUUGUUUCCUUGCCUUCCAAUCCUUUUCCAGUGACCUGCAGCCUGUGUGUCCUUAUUCCCUCAACGGCUCCUCUGCCUCAACGGGAUCAGCGGACUAGAUCGGCCUUACUGUAUGCACUUUGAUUGUUUGGCUUAGAAAUGUUGAAUAACUAUAGGUUUCUCUUUCCUUUCUAUGGGGUUAUUUGUUUUCUUGAUCAGUGAUGUUUUGAUUUAGGAAUUAAAGCUGUAGAGUUUAGUUUUUCAUUUUUCAGAGGAUUUUCAAGUUUUGGAAGAACUGAAUUUUUUGUGAAUAAUUAGCUCUGAGAGCCUUCUUCUUUUUCUUUCUUUAUUUAUAUCCGAAGUAAUCUUCGGUUUGAUUACAUUUUUGCCCUUAGAUUAUUAGGCACUUACAUCACUGCUUACAUCACUACUUAACUUUUUAUUACAUUUUUGCCCUUGUGUUAUUGGGCACUUACAUCACUGCUUACAUCACUGAAUUAUAUCUUAUCUUGGGUAUCUUUUUUAUUUUGUCUGCCACAUCUUGUCUGCCACAUCUCGGGUAUCUAUUUUGUCUGCCACAUCUUGUCUUUGUUGGUCUAUUGCUUUCUAUCGCUUUCUAUUGCUUGCCAGUCUGUUUUAUCUCCAUGAGUUGGUAAACCUGCUCCAUGGUUUUGCUGCUACUGGGAAAUCGCAUAGUACUUAUCUCGUUGAUGAAAUCUAGUAACAGGUUCGAUGGUGUAUUCCCAUCUUCAGAAGUGAUGAGGAUGUAAUUUUGGAAUUUUAUAAUAGUCCUAAAAUUUCUCUUAUACAAGUCCUUUGCUAUGCUCCAUAUGGCCUUAAUCCCUCUGGCUCUUCGUGUUCUAAUCCAAGGUUCAUUUAUGUGAGGAACAUUGGUGUAUUCUGUUCCUACUUUGACUUUGAAAUUUUUUGUGAGGUGGCCUACAGAUAUCAUGUAAAAGGCUUGAUACUCAACAUUCUGAUAAUAUUCUGGGCUUAUGGUGUAGAAUUUUAGGUAUAUGGGUCUUUUUUGGGCAAAUCUUGAGACUUCUUUAACUAAUAAGUCAUCAAGGCUGGCUAUUUCUUGAAGGUUUAUAUCUGGAUAUAUUAGGUCUAAAUACCCAUAUUUUGCUAUUUUCCCAACAAGGAGUGGAUCUGCUCCUUUUGUAACAAUCAUUCUGGGGUACAUAUUUUUUCCUGGUGCUUUAAAAAUUGUAUUAUUGUGAGAACAAGUAGAGUAUACCCAUGAAGAGAAUUGUUUAUACUCUUCUUCUUUUGGAUUUAGGGGUUUUUCCUCUUCUUCUGUAUAAGGAUUGUUUAUUUGGAUAAACUUUUUUGGAAGGUCUGAUUUUGGUGACUUAAUUUCUAUGGAUAUGGUUUUAUUUGGAGUUGGGUCAGAGAUUGGUUUAUCUCCUCCGAAAGGUCCACCACUGCUUCCUAUAUUUAUCGAGCUAAUGUUUAUUGGGCUUGUGUUUAUAGAGAGUGUCUUUGUUAGGUCGUCUAUGUAUGACUCUAACAAAUUUACUCCAACAAAUUUACUCAUUUCUCAUGGGCUUCAGAAGCCUCUUUUAAAUAGUUUAUUGCAUCAAUUAUAUCAGAUGCUUCAGUCUUGAGCCUUUGAAUUUCGGCUUCUAUUUUGCCAAGGAUUCUAUUUACUUCGGGAUUCAUUCUCCAAAUUCUAUGUUCCUGCUUAAAAAGUCUGCAAGGAAAUUGUUAGUUCCUUUAAUAUGUAUUAUCUUAAAAUUAUAAUAAGAUAGGUAAGCUUGCCAUCUAUGCAAUCUUCUGUAUUGGGGUUCAUUUGGUAAAAUUCUAGUGAUAAGAGAACUUACUUGAGAAUUAUCUGUUUCUACAAUGAACUGUUUUUGAAGUAAAAAUAAUGAAAAUUUUUUAAUUCCUUUAUAUAUUGCAAGGAGUUCUUUUUCAUGAACUGGAUAAUUUGUUUGUGCCUGGUUAAAAGUUCCACUGGUAUAUCGACAAAUUUCAUUUAUAUCAGUUUUAAGAAUUGCUCCCCAAUAUAAGUCAGAUGCAUUUGUCUGUAUUAUUAGUUUAUCUUUUUCGUUUGGUAAUCUUAAAGCUGGUAGAUUUUUAUAUUCUUGUUUUAAAUUUUUUACGGUUUCUGUAUGUUCCUCAUUCCAUCCUUUAGUAUUGUUUUUUCUUAAUAAUUUUUUAAGUAUAUUUCUCUUUUUCGCUAGAUCUUUUAUAAAUCCUUCUGCAUAAUUUAAGCAUCCCAAAAAUUUUUGUAUUUGUUGUUUAUUUUCUAAUCUAUCUGGGAACUCAGUUAUUUUUCUUCCUAUAUGGCUCUGAAGCCUGAUUCCUUGUUUAUCAAGAAUCAUUCCUAAAAAUUCUAUUUUUCUAUGUUCUAUAACUGCUUUUUUACUCGAUAAAACUAUUCCUUCUUUUAUACAUAUAUUAACAAAUUCCUUUAAAUGACUUUUAUGUUCUUCUAAUGUUUCUGAUGCUAUCAAUAUGUCAUCAACAUAGACUAUAAUAUAAUUGUAAUUUCUAAAUAUUUUAUCCAUUCUACUCUGAAAGAUUUGAGGGGCAUUUUUUAAUCCAAAAGGCAUUACUAGCCAUUCAUAAUGUCCUUGUGGGGUACUAAAAGCUGUAUAAGGAAUACUAUUUUCUUCCAUUUUUAUCUGCCAAAAUCCUGAUUUACAGUCAAAUUUUGAAUAAUAUGUUUUAUUUUUGACAAGAUUUAUUAAUACUUCUUUGUUAGGGAGAAAAUACCCAUCAAAUUUUGUGUACUUAUUUAGUUAUUUGUAAUUUAUUACCAUUCUUGUCUUUCCUCUAACCUGUUCUGCUCUUUUUCGAACCAUAAAGGCUGGACUGUUAUGAGGGCUAUUACUGCUCCUAAUGAGUUUUAAAUUUAAUAGUUCUUUUAUUUGGGUUUUAAAUUCUUCUCUAUCCUCUUCUGUAUACAUCAUGGGUUUUAAUCUUAUUAUCCUAUUUUCAAUUAACUCUAUUUUUGCCUUAGGAUGAUCUGGUUUCCAUAAUGCUAAUGGUUUUUUUUAUAAACUUGUUCAAGUUGUGACUUUAUUGUUUCUAAUUGUAUAUUGUAACUCUGUCCUUUCUGUAUUAAAUAAUGUUUUACUUAUCACCACGCUGGGCUGGCUGAACUCUAUAAGGUUUGAACUCACGAGGAACACGAAGUAUAUGGUUACAAGGAGUCUUGAGAGUAAUCAUAUAUGGAGUUUGUUGGUAAUAUACAAAUUGUUGGAGGAAAUCAUUUCCUAAAAGAAUAUCACAAUCCAUAUGAUUAUACUGAAAGACUUGGGAAAUACGAACUAUUUUACUUCCUAAUAAGAUUUCAAAAUUUAAGAUAGAUUGAUUUACUUGUUGUUUAUCUCCUGUGAUACCGACAAUUUUUAAGUGUCCAUUGUAUUCCCAUUUAUUGGAUAAAAAGGAUUUCAUAAUAGUUAUUUCGCUACAUGUGUCUAUUAAAGCACAAGUAUCGAUAGCUUGUUCUGUGAUAUGUAUUUGUAUAUAGACAGACAUAGGAUAUUUUAUAUAAACUUGUCUUAACAUGUUGCACAAACUAUUUUUUGGCCUUGUAUUAGGAAAGUUAUUUUAUUUGGUUCAAUCUUAUAAUAUUCUAAAUCAUUUAAAAAACUAUUUCCUAGAAUUAUAUGUUUUUCUGGAUCUGUAGUCAUAAAUGAAUCUAUAUAACAAGGUACUAUGAUUCUAAGUCCUUCUAUUAUUACAGGAACUUUGACUUCUUGUUUGCAUAUAUGUCUAUUUCCGUUAAAAUCAGUAUAUUCAUACGGGAUUUCUCUUUCUCUUACUAAAAGUCCUUUAUUUUUAGUGUGAUUCAUAUAAUUAUAACUUGUACCUGUAUCUAAUAGUAUAGGUAUCUUUGGAGUAUAGUCUAUUCUAUUAAAGUAUUGUCCAAGUAUUUUUACUACAUUAUUUGCUGAUACUGAUUUAAUUAAUUGUUUAUCAAUGCUUAAUCUUCUAGAGGAACUUCCUCUUAUCAAGGUUCUUCCUUUAAAGCUUAUAGGGAUAAUGGAGUUUUCAUUAUUAUUAUCUAGGAAUUAUUUUUUGUCAUCUAUUUUUAAUUCGUAGUUAAAAGGGAUUCUAUAAUCUUGACUUACUGGUUCUAUAAAAGUUGCUAUAUCUUCACAAUCCUUAUUUAUUUCAAUGUAAGGUUUAUUACCAUAUAUUUCUCCAUAAUUUGAAUUACAAAAACUAUAUAAAGCUGAAUAAUGUAUUGUCAUUAUUCUAUUUCUUUCUUUCAUUAGGUUCUUUUUUUAAUAAUUUAAAAUGUAGGCUUAGUGUUUCAUCUAUAUUCCUGUCCUUUAUAUGUACACAAUAUCUAGGAUGGCAGGUAAAUAAUAAUUUAGUAUAACACAAGUUUCCUUCUAUUGUUCCCAAGUGUCCUAUGCUAGGGUCUGUAAAUCUUUGGUCGUGUAAUGAUAAAACUAUGGGGCUAUCUAUCCCUUCUUUGAAAAGUGAUUUGAUUAAUAUUUGUAUUUCUGCAAGAUAUACAUAUUGAAUUUUUUCUUUAAUUGAUUCACUUUUUAUUUUUCUUAAUGCUAAAUCUACAGAUAUUUUAUUUAUUAGGCUAAAUCUAAUAUUUCCUUCUGCUUGUGUAAUUGUUACAGCUUUUUCUUGUUCAUAAUAUUCGUGUAAUAUUAUUCUUUUUCUUUUAAACAUAUCUCUAAAUCUAUGGAUUAUACUGUACUCUGGUUUUUCCAUAUUUAAUUUUAAAAGUUUGUUAUAUUUUUCUUUAUUAAAUGUAGCUACAAUACUAUAUCCACUUUUAUUUUCUUCUUUUUCUAUUUCUUCAAUUUCCUCUAUUUUUUCAUUCUCUAAUAAUUCUUCUUUAUUCUGAUUCAUUCUCUGAAUCUGAAUUUUUCAUUAUAUAAAUUUCUUCUCCUUCAUAAUCUGAUAAAUCAUUUAUUUCUUCUAAAUCAUCUUUUAUAUUUUCAAAAUCUUCAUUAAGAAUUCUGACUUUCUUUUUUGUACAAUCUGUACUUAUAUGUCUUAUUUCUCCACAAUUCCAACAUUUACAUUUGGAUUUAUCUAGUACUUUUCUUUGGUUUUUAUACUUCCUUUUAUAAUACUUUCUUACAGGUUUUUUAUAUUUUCUUUUGAAAUUAUUAUAUUUUUUAUAUUUAUAUUUUCUUUCCUUCUGGUAAGACUUUCUACGUUGUUUAUGAGGUAUAUAACAUCCCCAUUGAGUAGGCAUUUCCGUCUUUUCACAACAUAUUUUAGUUAUAUUUUUACUCUUUUUUAUUAAACUUCUUUGGAUGCAUAUUUCACUUAACCUUGUAUUUAAGAAUCUUAUCCUAGCUCCUAAUGUAUCAGGGAGUCUAUUAUUGCUAUUGUUAGUAUAUUUUUCAUAUUCAUUAAUGAAAUAUCCAUUCCAAGGAUAUGGUAAUUUAGAAUAGUAUAGAUUUUUAUAAAUAUUUUGGUCUUCAUGACUCAUGAAUUGUGUAUAAUAAUAUUUGCUAAAUUCGCAUGUAUAUUCUUUUACAAAACACAUAUUACAAAUUGUCAAAUUUAUUAAUUUCAUUCGAGCGUCUAACUUAUCACUUUUUGCCUCAUUUUCUGAAUUUUGUAACCAAUCUUCUCCUAAAAAUUCAUUAGCAAUGUACUCAAUUAUUCUUUCUAUGCCUAAUCCUUUAUCUCGUCCUAGUGCUAUUUUGGUCGAAUCUUUGAUUAAUUUUUGUGUAUCCUCACUUAAUCCUUUCCACCAAUUAAAUACAUUUCCUGUAAAGCUUGCUAUUAAAAUAUCAACAAAUAUAUUUAUCUUUUCUUCCUCUGUUUCUACAUUCCAAUCAUCCCUAGAUCCAUUAAAUAUAAAAAAUAAUUUCAUUUGCAUUCCCCAUUCUACCAAUGCUUUUCGAGAAUCUAUUUUACAAUCUAAGUCUAAAAAUGUACCUGCAUUGCUUAUUGGUAUUAGAUGGUCAUUAUUAGGUUGGUAUUCUUUUUUCCAAGGGGUAUUUUUAAUGGGUGGAUAAUAUUCAAAAAAUGGUCGAUUUUUCUUUUUAUUAGUCCCAUAUUUAUGGCUUGAUUCUCCUAUGUCAGGUUUUAAUUCCGGACCACCUGCAACAUUCAUUUUUAUGCAAUAUUCUUUUUCAAAUUCUUCUAAGUCGCUAAGAUUAAUAUCACUAAAUUUUUCUGUUAGUUCUUCUAGUGUGUUUUCCAUUAUUCUGAAUCGUUAGGUGUAAUUUCUUCUUUUAUUUCUAAUUUUUCUUUACCUUUUUUCUUACUUUGUAAUUCUGCUUUUAAGUUUUCUGCUUCUUCUAAAAUUUUCGGGUAUUGGGUUUUUAUAAACCAAUCAUCAUAACUUCCUAUUUGUGGUUUUACUAUUGGCUUUUUAAAGCUUGUUCCGAUUAUUCCUGACUUUAGUAUUUCGAGUUUUUCUACUUUUUUAUUUUUCUUUUGGAUCAUCUUUAUUGUAGAUAAUUCUAUUUUUAUUUUUCCGAUUUCUUGUUUAAUUUCCUUCAUUUCCUCCUUGAGAUUUAAAAGAAUUUCUUUUAAUUCUAUAAGUGUUGUUUCCAUUAAAUUUAAGGGUCCUGGUGAUAUUGUCUAUUUGGAAUGUAUGUUACGUUCAUCGUAACAUAGAGUUAGCCAUAUAUUAUUUAUGAUUUUUAAUAAACCAAUCUCCAAGCCAACGAGAUAGACACACGCAGCACGUUGUAUGCUAACAUCUCAAUCAAACAAGGCUUCCGAGAAUUGAAGUUUUGAUUGGUCUUCUUUUACCCCCACUAAAAGCACGAGGUUAAAUAAAAAUAAGGCAAUGUUGUCGGAUCAAUCCCCUGUCGAAUCUCUCACUCCACCUACUUGUUUUAAACUUUAUUUAAUUUAACAACCACCAAAUAAAAAAAGGCAAUUGUAAAUUCGUGAUUCCGUUAAACCCAGAAGCAUCCACUGUGGAGCAGCACCACCACCACCACCAGUCGAGACAGAGCAGAGACGCAGCACCACCACCACCACCAGCCGAAACGGAGCAUAGACGCAUCAGUAGCAGCAUCACCAAUUAUUCCUCAAGAGAGACGCAACAGCAGCAACAGCAGUAGUCGAUCCUUAAAAGAGAAGUCGUUGCAGCACCACUACCACCAAUCGAGAGAAGCUGGGACACGGCAGCAGUCGAUUCUGGUUGAAGAACUGUGAUGGAAAGGGAGACAGUUGUGACGAAUCGUGGUUGAAGAACUCUGACAGAGAGAGAGAUGUGAAUUUCAAUCGGGAUAAGGAGAUUAGGCUUGGGUUUUGUUUUGCAAUUUCUUUUGUGAUAUAAUUUGUGAUUCAUCUGAGAACGUGUUAAACACGUUCUCAGUUUUAUAACAAUAAAAAAGAAUAUGAAUUAUUUGUUUUAUAAUUCAUUUUUGGAUCCAGCCCACUGAACAAGAAUUACAUAUGUACUCUCAAAACGAAAAUGAAAACAGGGCCCUGAAAAUGAUACCGAACAGGCCCUAAUCUUCUUCAACUCUUUGCUCAAUCUUACUGGUUUAUCAUUGAUUUCUUGUCCCAUAACUCGACUCACGAGAUUAGAAGAGUCUUUGUUAUUAGAUCUUUAAGUUCUCCAAGCUCUUCUGAAUCUUUACCAUAAAUCAUACAUAAGUGAAUGCUUUAUUCUUAAAAUUUGUUGCCUAUUUGUGACUCUGUAACAGCACAUAAAAUAGUAGAAAGCAACAAUAAUAAACAUCAGAACCAGCAAGUAUAACAGCAGCAAACAGCAAGUUAAACAACAAAAAAUAGUAGUAAAACAUAACAAGUAAAACAACAGCAAACGAUAGUAAUAAACAGCCGAAAUAGCAAGUAAAAUGCAGUAACAAGUGAGUAAAAAGAAGCAAACAGCGAGUAAACCAGCAAAAACAGCAGCAACCAGUGAGUAUAACAGCAGCUUAAUUGUAGACUUGUAAUAUUAAGUAAGCUUAAUUGCAUUCAAUUAAGUAAAACAACAGUAAAAAUAGCAAAAACAGCAAGAACAACAAGAACAGCAAGUAAAACAACAAAAACAACAAGUAAAACAGUAGUAACCAGCAAGUAAAAUAGUAGUAAAAAACAGCAGAAAUAGCAAAAACAGCAGUAAAAAAUAACAGCAGUAAAAAAAAAAAGGCAAAGAUAACAGCAGUAUCCAGCAAGUAUAACAGCAGUAACCAGCAAAAACAGCAAGUAAAACAGCAAAAACAAUAAAAAAAUAGUAGUAACCAGCAAACAUAACAGCAAAAACAGAAAGUUAAACAGCAAUAAACAGUAAGUGAAAAAAAAAAAAGAAGCAAAUAGCAAUUGAAACAAAAAUGAAUUGCAUAUCUUGGGAACAUACUCCUAAAGCAUUAGUGGCAAUGAUAUAACAAUUCUGUUAUUAAUGCCAAAGAAAAAAAAAUAGUUAAUUAUUUAUAUCAUACAGCAUAUAAACAUCAAACAUAUUAGAAAGAGGGGAAAUAAAACAAAACAAAACAAACAAAAGCAGGACCAGCUUUGUUUGAUAAGGGCCUUGUGACUUAUAAGUGUAUCAAGCAUUACAUAGUAAUAAUUAAUAUUGGUUCUUAAGGCAUCUCUAGCUAGUUAUUAUUAAUAUUGGUUUGAUUCUCCUUUUAAGCUUUUGUGUAUAUAAAUGCAACCGGAUGAAAAAGCUCAAGUUAAUUGAAGGGAACAAGUUUCAGCCAUCAAUUAUGAUUUAAGUAUGUAUAUAUAACUGAGACUGACAUUUAAUUAACCAUCUAAUUAACAUCUUAGCAGUUCAGAUAAAAAACAUGUAACUGAAUUGCUAAGGUGUGUAUAGUAGUUAUCAAUUAAUCCAAGAUUCAUUCACUUCUUGUAAUCUUAGCUAUGUAAGAUUCAACCCAGUCAUAUAUAAUUUAUAUGUCAUAUUGCACUUCCCAUGCAAAAUCAAUAAGAAGAAAAAGAUAAAUAAGUUAUAGAGCAACAAAUUAGAGACAGUACCCAAAAUGUGUCAGUCUAACACAAGAAGUCAUAUAUAUAUAUGCUGUAUCAAUAUUACCCUCAACAGUAUAUCCAGUCAAGGUAUUAAGCCAAAAUACGACUUACAUAGUUUGGCAAAGAAAAGAUAAAAAACAUGUAACUGGGCAACUACUUAAACCAUGAUAUAUUGCAGUGGAAAUUGAACAUAGUUAAAAAAAAAAAAAAGAGAUCCCUGGCUUACAGAAUGGUCAGUAAUUGUACAGCCAUAUUCACCAGAAAUGUAGACAUAAUGUAAAAUUCGAAACGAAUGAAGUUGAAUGAACACAAAUUGCAUAUUACAAAUUGCAAACAACAAAAUAGGGCUAUGACAAAUCAAAUUAAAUCUCCAGUUGUAGCAGUGUACCCAUUGCACAUGUGCAAUUUAGCUUUAACAACCAUCUACGAGAAUAAUCUCAUUUCUCAUACACAAAGAAGGCACCAUCUCUACAACAGUUAAACCAAGUGUCAAACCAGAAACACCAUAAACUAUACACAUCUUAGCAAUCCCAGCGACAUUUUCAAUCAAAUCAAGAAUCGAAUCAAAUACCACCAUUCAGAAGCAAAUUUGAAGCAACACAACAAUGAAAAAGAACCAUAACCCACAACUCACGACAUCGCACUGAAUUGAGAUACCAAGUCAAUAAUAAUUCAUCUUAUAAGCUGGAAUCAGUUAUCCAAUGAAUCGUAACACAACUUAUAAAUUGAUUCCCAUUAACUUUAUGGCAUGAACAAUUGCAACAGCCAAGAACAUCCAAACAGCCAUAAAAAAGGAAUCAACAAGGGCAUCCAAACAGCCAAAAUAACAAAAUAAUACAUGGAAGAGAUGAGAAAGAGUACCUAAUGUGAGAAAUUGUGAAGCUAAAGAGUCGGAAAUUGCUAUGAUAACAGUGAAAGCUAAACCGAGAACUGAUGAAGCUCUCCGGCGAAUGCUAUUGUUCAAAUUCUGAACAAUUUCGUAAAGGAAGAUGGAUGAGAUAAUCCGAACGGUCUCUUGUGCUCAAACGCUGUCAGCAGCGCUCUUUAUAGCCGGUGAAAGCUGCCGGAAGUUCAUCAAUGACUUUGCUAUAGAGAUUUUGACAUUCUAUGAGUUGCAAAAUCGAAAGGAGAAUGAGGAUUAGGGUUGUUUGAUUUAGACUUCUUGAAGGGUAAACUUGGAGAUUAAAAAAUAAAUGAGGGUAGAAUAGAGAAAUAGAUCUUUUUAAUUGGGUGGAAUCCAGAUUUCCGCACUCAAUAGAGAGGAAAGUGAAUUUCUCAACUCAUGGAAAUUGGAGAAAAGUCGGAAUUUGAUUUCCAGUCAAAUUCUACCAACCGAACAGUGGAAAACUAGCAGGAACCAGAAACCCUCUCCUCUCCAGCCUUCUCUGCUGCCAACCGAACAUGGCCUUAAUGUAACUUACACCACUCACACAAAUUACUUCUUCAUAUCAUAACUAAUUAAACAACCGCUUCUUUCUUGAAGAAUCGUAAAUAUUAAAGUAAAAAGACAAAAGUAAACAAAUAUAGAAAUAUGGUCCGCACAAUAACUACACGGUAUCUAUCAUCGGUUUGCUCCCAGAAAUAGAAAAGUGCUUUUCAAGUCUUCUCUUUAAUAAAGCCACAAAUAGCAACUAACUAAAAGCUAACUGCUAUAUCCACUGAUGUUGUCACAUUGACGAUAUAAACCAAACAUUUUCCAAACCCAGAAAAAAAAAAAGGGACAUUGAUUCCACUUUAUAAAUAUAAUUAGGCAGCUGCUACUUUGAAACUGUUACAAUUGUUUCAGAUUCAGGUAUAGACAUCCAACGGUUUUGGGGACUCCUCUAUCUCAGAACUGUUUUAAGGUAGCUGAACUCAUAUAAUUAACGUAAUUACAAUAAUUAAAUUUAAUAUUAUGAUUGAUACAUAUUUAUUAAAACAAAAUGUAAAUAUAAAUAUAAAAACAACAAUUAAGAUAAAAUAAGUUUCUUUAAAACAUCACAAUGAGAAUUGAGAAGCAUCUAUUGUUAUUAUUUUAAUUUAUCUGCGAGCCCCACAUAUUCAUUUAACAAAGAAAUCAUAAAGCAUUGCCAGAAUUAAAGUUUUAUUGAAGAAGAAAAGUAAUUUAUAAAUAAUAUUCUUUUCAACUUUAGUACUGCGUGUUGAUGGGGAGACAAAAUGAAAAGUGUUGACAGGCAGAGACACACGAAUCUCAUAAAUAUUAUUAAAAAAAAUUCGUUGACAGGGAGAGACAAACGAAUAUCAUAUAUAUUAUUGAAAAAAAAAAAUCAUAGUCUGUAUCGUCUAUACAGAAUCGUAUGCAUAACUGAAAGUCUAAAACAACUGAUCUGGCUUUUAUAAAAAUAGAAGAUAAUAUUAUUACUGUGGCACCUGUACCCAGCUAUAGGAAGUGGUAGUUGCAUGGAAGCUCAAGUCACCACAAUUACACCAUAUCCCCAGAUGGACUUGGCAGCAGGUCUUGGAUGCUGCCUCAUCAGUUAGAUCAUUUGGAUUAUUAACAAUGAUAUGUUUUUAUUAGCUGAAUUGAUAACUCUCCAAGCCACGUCUGUAAGGCUAACAUUUGGAUUAUAACUGAUAGACAAGAAUAAAAAGAAAAAAACAGAGUUAAAAAAAGUUGAUAUAAUGAACCUUGUGGUCAAAUGUCAGAUCUGACUUCUUCAAACGAACUAAAGGCCAGCAAUGAAAAUUUCACAUAAAAGCAACUAGACUACCUGCAAGAUAGCUUAAAUUAAAAGUUUUCUGACUCAUUCAGCAGAGACGCCAACAAUUUCCGAAACUUUUUGUUGGACCUCACGUUUAUAAAUUCUCAAAUCUUCCUACACCAAUCUGACAACAUCACAGAAAGCAAGCAACACCACAUUUAAUUGUCUUUAAGCUACAAAAAAAGCUUCAAGCUCUGCUGAUGCCAGGAUAUAAUGAGAAACCAAUCAUAGAACAUGUCAUAAGCAAGGGCACAAGCAGAGGAAAGAUCUUCAAUGCUUCAGUGUGAUGAUAAUCACCAUGAAACAAUAUCAACAGAUAUGAUCUAGUGAUAAAUGAAAUAUAACAACCUUCAAAUGAAAUUAAUAAACAGCGACAGAACGAUAUAAAACAAAUAACUUCAUAAAGAAAGAGUUUACAUUUUUGUCGGAAAUCUGAUUACCGUUCUUUCAUUUGUAUGUAAAGUCUCUGAAAUUCCCUAGUCGUGCCCAAAUAAAUUCUCUUAUAUAUAUGAUGAAUAAUGCUGUUAAAAGAAGCCCCUGAACUUAGAAUUACUUCCACUUCUUUAAAUUCUUAGUUAUAAUAAGGCAAGAGGGAGUUUUGGUAUUUUUAGUGAGAUAUAGAAAGGUAUUUACCCUCACUUUAUCUUGCAACUUCAAAACCUGGAAAGUCUCUCUCAAAACAUGAAUUUAGACGAAUGGACUUCAACUAAAAGGAUUUUCUUACAAAAGCUAAAAAAUGCAACAGCAUAGUGAAAAUGGGAAAAUGAAAAUAUAAAGCAGAAGAAAAAGUUUCCAUCAGAUAAGACAAAUACAGAAAAUCCAAGUUCUUAUUUGCCAUGCCAAUAUUAUUCCUGCAGAAUUACUCUAAUUUAUUUUUCAGUGAAGGUUAGUAACAAUUUAUCUGUAAAUAACUGAACCAACUUGGUUAUUACGACAUUACUCUUUCUCUUCUACACUCAUUUUCUGCAUAGUUGCGGUUAAUCAACGACCACAUUCACAAACACGAGUCCACUCUCCCCGGCCCCUUCACUUAUUUCCCCAACCUUAAGGUCUCUCAAAGUGCAGCAGCAAGACAUGAACUCCGAUCAAUAUAAAGCAAUAUUAAGCCCAGCUAAAAAAUCCAACACCUAUUUGGCUAGAAAAACCCCAUAACUCAUUGCCACACUCUCUAUUUUCACCCCUUUCAUCAAAACACAAGCAUUACUUACCCAUGUCCAGACAUAAUUUCGUUUUCUGAUAUCACGUCAUUCAGGGGGGAAAAAGCAAUUAAAGGAUUUCAGUACAUAAAUUACAACAAGCUGUCAAUUCGCAAAAACAAGGAAAAUUAGCUCAAUCGAGUGAAGUAGGCCUACAAAAUGACCUCAAUGAGAUAUCAGAUACCUCAAAAAUCGAAUCAAAUUCAGUUAAACUAAGAAUCACUCAUCAAUAUGAAUAACAGAAAGAAAUUUCUCAUAAAAACUCAAUACAAAUAAAAAAAAAUUAGCUAAUCAUCCUUUUUUGGUUUAGUGACUUCGUCAGAAAAUAAGACGAAAUAGAAAUUCUGAAAUUUACUUAGGGUUUCUAGGUUUGAAAAUUUACCUUACGAGAAGCCAGGCUCUCUGUUUCUAGCUUUGUAACGUUACUAUUAUGGCCGAUCUACGCCGAUCAGCUGAGAUGAUCAGAUUUCUCGCCGGCGACGACGCAGACGUUUGGAUUUGGGUUUGACGAUAGACGAAGGAAUGUUUAGGGGUCCUGGGUGAUUUUGGGACUUAUUGAAUUGAAAGACCAAAAUAACCUUUAAAAAUUUACACAUGUAAUAUUCGGGGUAGUUAAACAGUUAAUUUUUUUUUUAACCAUAAAAACAGAAUAUAAAUCUACAUACAGAAUUUUAUUAAUAUACCCUUGUUCAUCCGGACCAUAGUACAACGACAACAACAACCCAAAAAAAAAAAAAUCUAGCCUCUGUCUGCAAGUGCUUUUUCAAGCAGAAGCCAAAGAUAGCAACUAAGCUUUCACAUCAAACUGUUCAAACUUAUUCGGGUAACAACAGACUAUAGGCCAUUGUAAUAACUAGUUCGCAAUGGAAAGAUAUAAAACUCUCAUAAUUCUACACUUUGUUAGUUUGUUACUUUAGCAGGUACUAGGACCCUACAGUGGCACCAACAAUAUCGUCUACCACAACUUCCAGGUUGUUCUCAUCAUCAUCAGUUGAGCUUGGCUGCAGGUUUUGGUUCCCGUUCAGACGGUUGAUCAUGAUCAAGAUUGUGCCAGUAAUGGGCGUUAUUAUUGCAGUGAGAUUCCGAAACCAGUUGAAAAUGUGCUGAGACAGAGAAGCUACGGUUCCAUAACGGAGUGAUGAGAUUAUGAGGCACAAAUAGGCCACGAAGAAGAGAAAUGGAGACGAAGUGACGGAGGCAACCACCGAGAUAGCCAACAAAACAGAGGUUUCUUCAAAACCCUCGGAAAUGGAGCUCCUCACAUUGAAAGCAAGUCUGAUGGGUAUGUGGCGGAAGAGCAGUACUGGCAUGGUGACGGCAGGAAUCAGGAACCGGAACUGAAGUUUUAAAAUCGGAUGCAAAAUUAUCGUACUUGUACCACCUUGGACGUCCGAAGAAUUGCCAUCCUGAGACCUGCGGAACAGAAUAAAGAUGAUAAGAUUUAGUAAUAGCAGAUAUAAAAAGCUCAAAGUGAUUGACAGAUCCAUGCUUAUGAGGAAGAUCAGGGGCCUGAAUUUUUAUUUAUUUAGUUUCUUUCUCUCUGAGGUUAAAGACGUUGGUUGAGUAUGACAAGAACUUUUGAGUUUGAGCAGGAUUUUAUAGUUGGGAAUUGCAUGGGGGAAGGUUCCUGGAAGCUGCUGCCUCUGCUUGACCAAGCCUAUUUGGUCUUUUAAUAUUGAUAAGUAAUAUUAUCAUUAAUAUUAGGUUAUUUUGGUCUUUUAACACUGAUGAGUCAUGUUAAGUGUUAUUAGGUUUUGGUCUUGAUGACUUUUCUUGAAGCUAUAUUAUAUGUAGGCAAACACAACCUUACAAUCAAUGUAUGGUACAUCCCUCACUCAUGAACAGUGUAUGAGUGGGACCCACUCACUGUUCACAUAUGUGAGGGAUAUACCAUACAUUGAUUGUAAGGUAGUGAGAUCCUUAUAUGUAUAAACUUUCCAUGACAAUAUCACCAGUGGCAUAGACCAAAAACAUCGACAUUCACGACAAUCUCUUAAGAGGAGGGAUUGUCAAUUUCCUCAUAUUAAAUUCAGAUUGAUGUAAGUUAUAGAUUUUAUAAUUUAAUAAAACGCAAUUAAUACACAUACAUAAAUGUGUGUGCUUACAUUGCAACAUUUUUUGGGCUUUCUCUUUUGGGCUAUUCAUUAGUUGUUUUUUUAGAGUAUUAAUAUAGUCAUAAAUUUGUAUAUAAAUUUAUUUUGUAUAAAUUGAUAUGGUGUGAUAAAAUUAGUUGAAUUAAAUAUCUCUUGGCUCACAUGAUUUAUUUUUUAUUAUUUUAUAUUUUCAUUCAACCAAUUUUAUUAUGUCAAAUCAGUUUGUACAAGAUAAGUUUGUACAAUAAUUUGUUACUAUAUCAUCACUCUUUUAUUUAUAUUUUGAGUAAUGAUACAGUCACAAACUUUUGUACAAACUUAUUUUGUACAAAUUGAUGUGCCAUAAUAAAAUUUGUUGAAUUAAAUAUCUCUUAGCCCACAUGAUUUAUUUUUGUUAUUUUUAUUUUCAUUCAACCAGUGAAUUAAUGUCACAUCAGUUUAUAUAAAAUAAGUUUGUACAAGAGUUUGUAGCUCUAUCACCACUCUUAUAUUUUAGUUAGUCAAUCUACUUAUAUAGAACUGGGAAAUAAAAUAGAAGUGUAGUUUAAGGAAUAAAUUUAUGGAAAAAUAAAUAAAAAGAAAAAUCAGAAUCAAGAUAAUGAAAUAACUAAAGGCUAUUGGACUCGUUGCUAAGAGCAAAUGGCGCAUUUCAUUGUCAUUAACGUGUGGAGCAAAUUUUUCAAGAGCUUUUGAAUUAAACGGCGCCCUUCUUAUAUUUCAAGUCCUUUCAUCAAGUUAGCUUCGCUUUAAUUUGGCUAUUGACUACAUAUUAUUGCCAAUUUCUUAUUAAAAAAAAAACGUUGGUUUUGGACAUAGUUAAGAGAUUAAAAAACGAAAAAUAAAAAUAUGGAUGUAUAAUCGGAGAUUUCUUGGCUCGUUGCCGAAAGUAAAAGGAGUGUUGUGAUUGGUUCAAGAAACGGAUCUGGCCUCUAUUUGAAAGUCAUAAAUAGUCACUUGGCUCGUUGGUCAGUUGAUUCAAUUUCUCAAAAGUAAUUCACAAAGAGAUUGCGACACGUGUUGUUAUAAUCUCUCGUCUCGCUAUAUCUCUCCUUCACCGUUAGUGAUCGAAUUUUCUGAAUUCACUGCAAGAGACUUCCUGCGGAAGACAUCAACUUGCAGACAGGGAAAAAAAUAAAUCAAUGAGUAAGAAAGCAUUAUGCCUUUGAACUUUUCCUUGCCAUUUUCUCUCGCAAAAUAAUUGAAUUUAAAGCUUUUAUUUUAAAUGAUAUUAAUCAAAAUGAUUAAGUUACCAUUGAAAUUGUUGAUGCGAAAAUAUGAGAUGAGUGGUGUGUAAUCAAUAACUCUUCGAGUUGGAUCGUGGCACACCAAUAGUUAUCUUUUAAAGGUCAAAUUUCAACACACAAAUAAGUCUUGUAAUGCUAAAUUAGCCUUAAAAGUUUAUGGAUUGCUUACCAUUAAAAUUAAUGUAGUUACGCGUGUACUUUCUAUUUCUUCAUAAAGUAUUUUCCCUUAUCAAAAAAUUAAUUAAAAAAAAUUAACUCUUUGACUAUGAUUAGUCCCUUGUUAUUAGGCUGCUUGGGUCCGUAUAUUAUCUUUAUCCAACCUUCGAUUAUGGGUUUGGGAUAUUUGGGUGAAUUAUUUUUAAGUCCCGGUAACUUUUCAAAAUUUCAUUAAUUUAGUAACUAAUUAAAUCAUCUUUAUAAUAAAAGCAAUUUGAUUAUUUUAUCCUUGUAACAUUAAAUUGUAAAAAAGUCUGAGAUAAUGCUUGAAUUUAUUUAAAAAAAAAUUAAAAGCAAAAACCCAUCAAUUAAUUAAAGCGAAGAACACGAUAAAGUUAACUUAAAUCAUCAUUUGAUCAUUCAUAUAAAGAUAUAGAAUACUUGUUCUAAAUUCAAAAAUUUGAGUUGCUGCUUCUUUUUUACACUUGGCUUCUCAUUCUUAUACAAUUCACGGUUUGAAUUAUCCUCGUCCACUUUUUUCACCCCACUCAUUACACAAUAAUUAUCAUCAAGCCCACAAGUUUGCAAAAAUUAUUUGAAUUGGACCAUUAGCCUACGUUUUGGCCUCGGGAUGCCCCACUCCAGCCUUUAUUUGUAAAUAUUAUUUUCCUCUUAAUGAAGUUACUACUCAAAAAGGAAAAAAAAAAAAAAGGUAACUUUUUUAUGAUCAUCUUCCUCCCUAGCAUGAUUAUUUUGUUUCAAUUUAAAAUUUAUUAAAAAAAGCGUAAUUAAAUUUUGGUUUAAAAAGGACGUUGAUGAUGAUACAUCGGUGCCAAAAGCCAUCAAAGAAAGAAAAAAAAAAAAUCCCCAUUGGUUGUGGGUGGACAGAGUUUUAAGCAUAAGAGAUUGUUUGUGUUUCAAAUGUGAGUUUAAUUAGAUAUACAUUUGUCGUUUCAUCUAAUUUUAAUGAAAGUUAAAGUUAUAAAAUACCUAAGGGGUUUUAAAAGAUAUUUAAGGUGGUGCUAAUAGUCCAACUGUGUUCGUUUUUCAUGCAGAUGAAUACUUAAAUAGGCCAUGCAUCAAGAAAAAUAAAUGCAAGAGGCAAUAGCUGAUAUUGCCAAAAGAAUCGAGAACUUUCUAAGAUGCAGAAAAUGUGACGGAUAGUGAGUAGGAAUUUGGUGGGUGGACAGAUGUAUGUUUGUAAAAUGCAGAAAAAUAAACGACCAAUGAUUCCCAUUUUCGUUUUGUUUUGUUAUGCAAGAAUUAUUUUCGACAAAGAAGCUGAAAGCCAGGAGACAUAGACAAAGGAGCGACGAAGAAAUAUUUUUGCGAAUUUUUUUUUACCACUAGCACUAGGUAGCGUGUGUUUAUUUAUUUUUUAUUUUAAAUUUAUAAAUGUAAAAUAUUAAUUUAUAAAGCUGAAUCGGUGCGUACGUAUAGAAAACAGUUAACCUGAUAACCGGUAAGUUAAAUGGGUCUGCAUUUGGCUGUUAAUAAUUUGUUCGUUGCUCCUGCAACAGGCCAAUUCUCUAUAUUCAUAUAAAGUUUUAAUGGCUAUUACUGAGUGAGUGUGUAGGGUACUGGAUAAAAAUGAAAAAAACAGAAUAAAUUUGACACAACAUUUUAUUUAAUAUACCCUUCUUCAUAUCAUAACUAAUUAAACAGCCUCUACUUUCUUGGAAAAUCAUAAAUAUUUAAAGUAAAAAGACAAAAAUAAACAAAUAUAGAAAUAUGGUCCGCACCAUAAGUAUCUUUCAUCGGUUUGCCCCCAGAAGUAGAAAAGUGCUUUUCAAGUCUCCUCUGUAAUAAAGCCACAAAUAGCAACUAACUAAAAGCUAACUGACGCCGUCACAUUGACGAUAGAGACCAAACACUUUCCAAACUCGGGAAAAAAAAAAAAAGACAUCGAUUUCACUUUAUAAAUAUAAUAAGGCAGCUGUUACUUUGGAAGUGUUGCAAUUGUUUCAGAUUUAGGUACAGACAUCCAACGAUUUUGGACUACUCUACCAUAGAAUUGAUGUAAUUACAAUUAUUAGAUUUAAUAUUAUGAUUGAUACAUAUAUAUUAAAACAAAAUGUAAAUAUAAAUAUAAAAAGAACAAUUAAGAUAAAAUAAGUUUCUUUAAACAUCACGAUGAGAAUUGAGAAGCAACUAUUGUUUGUUAUUUUAAUUUAUCUGCGGGCCGCACGUACUCAUUUACCAAAGAAAUCGUAAUGAAUUACCAGAACUAAAGCUUUAUUGAAGAAGAAAAGUAAUUUAUAUAUUAAUAUUCUUUUCAACUUUAGUACUGCGUGUUGAUGGGGAGACAAAAGUAAAAAAUUGUGAACAGAAAGAGACAUACGAAUCUCAUAAAUAUUAAAAAAAAUUCGUUGACACGGAGACACACACGAAUGUCAUAAAUAUUAUUGAAAAAAAAAACAUUCAUUGUCCGUAUCGUCUAUACGGAAUCGUGUGCAUAACUGAAACAACUGAUCUGACUUUUAUUAUUAAAUUCACUUGCUAAGAUAUUGGAGUAGUGUUGAUGCAAUUUUCUGUCAUGCCUGAAGAUUCAACUUGCCAGGAUUUCGGUUAUGCCUUCAGGUUCAAGUAUUGUUGCUGAUUAUGCGAGCUGUUGAGAUAAUUGAGCAUGGCUUUAGAUUCAAUUUCAGCAAAUGUGUGGGGAGAGGAUUUAAUCCGAAUGAUUUAUGGGUUCUGGAAAAAAAGAAAUUUUCUUUAUGUUAACUUGCAACAAUAUGUAUGUAAUUUUUUACGAUAUUAGCAAUAUUUAAUAACAGAAUAGUUGAAAUAUUUUUAAAUUGUGUUAUUUUCAAAUUAUGAGACAAAGAAAAUAAUUUUGCACAAAAGAUAUACUAACAAUACACUAAAAAUGCAUGAACGAAUAAUACAUGAAUAUUUCAAUAAAAGAAAUGUAUGUAGCACAUUUGGAACCACUCAGGAGAUACAACUCUCUUCUAAUUGUCCUUCACCUUUAAAUUUGUUCCACUGGUACAUGGAUAGACUAGUGUUGGAAAAGGAACAUGCCAAAACUAAAUUCCAAUUACAUUUUUUUUUCCUAUCAUUAAGUUUCUGUAGUUAAAUUUAAGGGUAAUUUUCGGAUACCUCCCCUGAGGUUUACCCCUGCUAUACUUAGAGAGAAUGUAUGAAUAUAUUGACAUAUAGCACCCCUGAAUGUAUAUAAGCGUUAGAGAGCCCUUUGGUUUGACAAUAAAAAUACAAUAAUGCCCUUCAUUCUACAGUACAAGAACUGACAAUUGGUCUUACAUUACAGAGUUGUCAAAUCAUCUUUUGCUUCUUGGCGCCAAGUGCAUAAGAACAUCUCUUAAUAUAUCAAUGGAACACCUAGGAGUUAAAAUGCGAACAAGAGCCUCUUCCAUUGCAGCCUGCAGUGGUAAUUUUAGCAUGAUAUUAGUCUUAUAAAAAAAAUGCAAGAGAAAACAAAUCGGAGAAUUCAAAUAUGAGACAAAACUAAAAAUCAAAUACCUGCACAAUUGAAGAAAUCAUUGUAAAUGAGGCUAGCUUUUUGCCUUCAAGACUUGCUGCAACUGAUUCACAUAGUUUCUCAACUAUCUCCUUAGCCUAAAAUGUCAGUGCUCAAGUCCAUUAGCAACUUCUUAAGAAUGAUCAGAAUAGCCAAUGAAAGAAAACUAAUAAACAUCAGAGGAAAAAGGUAAAAGAUUCAGAUACAUACAACAUUCUUGGUCAUGAGCCUAUCCUUAAGAGAUUUCAGAGCGGGUUCUAAGUCUGCCUUAUCCAAGUUUGCCUUUCCAGCAAUACUGAGUUAAAAAUAAAGACGAUUUAAUAAAUAGAACAUAUUUUUAACAAACAGAUUUAUUGAGAGAUUAAUCAAACAAAAUUGAGUCGUCAAGGAAAAAUACCUAUGGAACAUAGAUGAAAACCAGCCCGUCUUCUUAGCAUCAGGCUUGUUGUGCUUACCCACUUCUUCAUCUUCUUCGGAUUCACUAUCACUGCUGAAAACCUCUUCCUAGUCCAUCAUACUUUCACCAUGAUUUGAUGCCUCAACCUCGAUAUUACUGCCAUUUCCACCUGCAGGAUCCGUGAAGUCCAAUUUGGACUCUGGAGGCGAUUCGUCCUAAACUCUGUUCUUCUUUGUUGUCUUUUUCUUUGGGUUCGGUUUUGAACCCUUGCUAACAAUAGUAUCAGUUUUCUUACUACCUUUAUUUCUUAACUUCUGUAACUUGCAUCAAAAGCCCCAAUAUUAGAACUUGUAUUUUCUUUACCGUUAGCAAUACCUGUUACCCUAGAUUUUUCAAUCUCAACAUUGCUGACAUUAGAGUGUCCAUUCUCCAAUUUAUGGCCUCUCAUAUUAUCACUAUCCCCGUCAUCAUUUGCCGACCCACCUCCACUCCUCUUACUUCCCCUUUCAAAUCCACUCUUUUGCAGCUGUCCUCCCUGCUUCUUAAGGUUAUUCAUAGGCAUAGUAACUUGCUUUGAUUUUUUUAACUCCUCCGCCCUCGCUUCUGCCUCCUUCCUAAGUUGUCUAAACAUUUCAUCAAAAUCUGAAUAGUUAGUUCGUUUUCAUCAAAAUCGUAAAUAUCAGUCUUGUCUUUGUUCUUAUGCACUUGGCGCCAAGAAGUAAGGGAUGAUUUGACAACUCUAUAAUGUAAGACCAAUUGCCAGUUCUUGUAUUGUAGAAUGAAGGGUAUUAUUGUAUUUUUAUUGUUAAACCAAACGGCUUCCUAAUGAUUAUAUACGUUCAGGGGCGCUAUAUGUUAAUAUAUUCAUACAUUCUCUCUAAAUGUAGCAGGGAUAAACCUCAGGGGAGGUAUCCGAAAAUUACCCUUAAAUUUAAUUAUAGAAACUAAGUGAUAAUGUUAUUGUGCGAACCAUAUUCUAUAUAAUAAAUAUGCCUUCGAUGACUAAAAAAUACGACAUUCACAUUAAUCUCUGAGGGCCCAGCUUUAAGAAGAAAUCGAUUAGUGUGGAAAUAUGAGACGUGAUGGAAUCAAACGUAUUUAAAACUAAAACAUAUAAAGGGACACGUCAUGAAUCAUCUUGAGGCAGCAAACCAUCCAGAUUUUCGUUCAUCCACUACCACCCGAGCAAAAACGCAAACGGUAGGUGAUUUACUUUUAUUGCUCUUUCACUACCACAUGAUUUAUUUGCAUCUCAGUACAGAUGCAACUUGCAUUAUCCAACCAGUAGAUGGUGGGAAAAAAAAUAUAUGUUUGCCCUCACGAGAUGGAGGGUAAUUCUGGCAUUUUGAAAAUUAAGGAAGUUGCACAGAAGUUGCAACUUGCAUUAUCCAAACCAUUCUCUCAAUUUUCUUUAUGCUUUUAGUCAUACUAAUUUCACACGUAUGAGAGAGCCAAGUAACAUAGAAAAGAGCUAUAACACCAAAUGUUCCUAAAACCUUAUUAACUUUCUUUCCUUGCCCAGAAGCAAAAACAUUAUUCUCCAUUAACAAACAGCUACAAGAACUUGGAACAUCCCAAAACCUUAUUCUCUAUUUCCUCAUCUUUUUAUUAUUCCUGGUAACAUUGCACUAUAAAUGAGAUAAAUGCAUUUAUCCGCACCCAUAUUAAAAUUUCCCAUGCAUAAUAAACCAAUUACCCACAGGUACACUUAAAGUUUCAAAUAGACACAUUUAUGAAAAUGCCUAGAGCCUACCAAACUUCUUAGUUAAUCUGCUCACAAUAGAACAUUUGACAGCCACUUUUUGAUAAAUUGGGUUAUUAAUCGCCUUUGUGUUCUUUGAAACCUCAUUCUUGGAAUUGGUUGCUGAGUUUCCAAUUAUUAAUUGAACUCUAGUCAUUGAUACGUAUGAAUGCUUAUGGUUCCGUAAGAUGGAAUCUGUCAUAGACUGAUUAAUUAUUUCAUGUUUCUUUUACUGGCUAAUUGGUUUUUUAAACAUAUAUAUAAAAAUUAUCUAACACAAUGGAUAUCAUCAAAAGACUCUUUUGAUUUUACUCUUUAAAUAUCUAUUUACUUACUUAUGCAGUAAAUAGAAAAGUGAAAAAAUAAACUCUCCUUUAAAAAACUCUUCAAAUAAGAUAAGAUAAUAUUAUUUUAAUUAAAUCUUUUUCUUUACCAAAUUUAAUUACCCAUCAUUUUAUCACUCCAACUAUUUUAGUCAAAUCUUUGCUGUUACGUAAUUUUAUGUUGAUUUUAAAUGUCGUUGUCAUUGUUGUUGUUAUAUUUUAAAUAUGUUUAUCUGUUAGUAAUUCUGUUAAUAUGUUUUUAGAUUUUAUGUUGAUUUCCCGCGCCUGCAGGGUCCAUUUUGAAAAAAUUUUACUACGUUUGUGACCAUUAUUAUUAGGUUGAAUAUGUUAUUUUUUUAAUCUUAAAUUUUAAAAAUAAACGCAAAAUCUGAAUGCACAAAGCUGGUGGAUUUGGCGCAUAUAGAAAUUAGUUUUUCGAUCUUUUGGCUGUGUUUUAUUCUUAUAAUAGAUAAAAUAUCAAAUCCUACAUGUAUAUUGGUCCAUUUGGCUUCUGUUUUGGAAAAUCAUGAAUAUUACAAUGGAAAAGACAAGAAUAAACAAAUCUAGAAAAAAGCACAAGAAGCACUACGUAUCCAACAUUGGUUUGCUCCCAGAAUCAGGGAAGUGCUUUUCAAGUCUUUUCUUUAAUGAAGCCGACAAUAGUUAGCAGCUAAAGGACAAAGAUACCAUGCAGAAUCAAACACUGUUCAAACAAAAAAGUCCUGGAUUCCACUUUAUAAAUAGAAAGUACAAUUAUUUAAUUUUUGGAGAAAGUCAUAAUGGUGCUUCCUUAAUCGUUUUUUUUUUUUAAUUUUGGGGCUCGAAUAUGCGCAUUACCUUGUUUAGCAGGUGGCUUUAUGUGAAUCUGUGAUACUGCCAAGAAGCUUUGUACUUCCCAAUCCCAAUACCUUAACCACAUCCAUCAGGAACCUUUUUGAUUUGAGAUUUUUUAUUUCCGCCAAUAUUAAAUCUUUUAAUCUUUCAUUAUGUGCUCGAAAUCUUAUAUAUAUAUAUAUAUAUAUAUAUAUGUAAACGGGGACAAUUAGUUCAUGUUCAUUCUUGCCAUCCAUUUUUUACUCUUGUUUGCAAGCCCAUAUCUUCCACAGGAAGUUCACUUCGGCGGAUUGUGAAUACUUCGCCGCUAAUUAAGCGUACUAAGCAUCAACGUACUUUUUCGAAAUUGAUGAAUGAUAGAGAUCUGGCGGGACGAGGGAUAUUAUAACAACACGUGUUCCAAUAAUCUGUGUGGGAAUUACUUUUGACACUUGAUGAACUAUAGAUGGUCAGUUUAUGUAUGCUGCUGUUUUCAGUCGUGCCAUUAUCGACACUGUCAUUGGAAAGCCCGUACAUUGAACAUGGUUCGCAUUUAUUAUUAUAUCGUCAUACCGUAAUAUUAGUUUUUUUUUAAUAUUGUCACUAACAAAUCAAAAAAUAUAAAUUUUAAUACACUAACAAAUAAAAAAAUAUAUAAUUUUUAAUAUAUUAAAAUUUAUUAAGAAUAUAUCCAAACGGAUGACAAAAAGUGAACAUUGUCCCACUGACAAAAAACUUAGUCUUCCUCUUUCUGAAAAAAAAAACUUAGUCUUCCCUCUUAUUUUAAAAAAUGCAAUCUCGCCGAGUAACCCAAAAAAGAGUUAAGAGCCAGAGAACCUUAGCUUUCUAUCCUUGCCCAAAAUCAAAAACAUUUUUCAUUAGCAAAGAGCUACAAGAACUUGGAGCAUCCUAAAAUCAGUAACAUAAUUGAGAAUCAAUGCAUGUAUCCGCAACCAUUUAUUUAGUACCAAAACAUUCAAUUUUAAAUUUCUGACAGACUUGCUUAAUUGCCCAAAUUCUACUAAGUUUUUCAGUUAACCUGCUCAAAUACAAUCCACAGUUGCGUUUAAAUAAAUUGAGUUAUUUAACGCCUAUAGCCUUCGAAACCUCAUCAUAUUGCUACCAGAAUUAAUCCACACCAAACAAUCAACACAUGAAAUACAGGACCUUCAGACGGAGGAAAUACCGCUGAAGAAAAAUUAAAAACCCAUAGAAGCACUAAAUACUUCUCCUAUUACUAAUAAUGUAACAAAACAGCAUCAUUAUACGCUCAAUCUACCAUUAAAGAAAUAAAUCCAUACCAACGACAAGCUAAAUAUGACAUUUUUCUAGAAUUAAUAAUUCUGCAACCAAAAAAGCACAGCAAUUAUCUGCUUUUUAAAUAAUCCUAAAAACAGGACAAUGACUUAUUUUUGUCAUAAAAAGAACCUAUAAACACUUAUUUUUUAAUCUAUUUUAUUUCCAAGUGAAAACAACAUUCUUCUAUUCUUUCUUCAACAGGAAAACAGGUUAUGUUACAGUAGUCACUAGGCAGUAGGCAAAACACUUGAUAACUAAAUAUGUAAAAAGAAAUAAAGAAGAGUUUAAAAAAUUACAAAAAUUAAAAUAAAAAUACAAAAAAUAAAAAAUGAAAAUAUCAAACCCCUUCUUCAGAACAAUCCAAACAGGGAGUUAGCGGUUCUUAAUGUAACAGUUCUUAAAGUAACAGCAAGUAACCGGCCACUGUAACCCCAACUUUUCAACAUAGAACUUGAACUCUGGAAGAGAUAAAAGAAAAGACGUAGAUGACUGACUGAAUCCGACUGAGAGAGAGUUACCAAUAUACCGCACUGGUCAGCUCCAAGUUGAAUUUGUAAGUUUGGGUUGGAGUCCCAGUCCCACAGGUAGUGAAAGUAGGUAGUUAUCCUAACCAGCUGAAAGUAUCAAACCUGUUUGUAUAAGCCUGCACAAUACAAGUUAAUCAUCAGCAAAGGAGGAGGCUGCAGCACAUCAUGUACUAAUUAUAAAACAUGUAAAAAUAACGCAUUUUACCAGUCACAAAACCAUUUUUUCUUUAGAGAUAAUCUCCCCAUAGCAGCUAUAGAUAUGGAAAAAAAAAAAAUGACCUCAAAGUAGAGCAGUCUCCUCUUUUUCACCAAACAAAUACAACCAUUUCAAUUCACACCUGAGCUGAGAACCAUUCUAGUUUCAAUUUUCAACCAAUGAAACAACCAUAGCAUUCUUACAAAAAUUAAAAAAAAAAAAAGAAAUAACCAUAGAAUAAAAUAAUUCUACUCUAAUUCAAAUAUUGCUUCAGAAUUUAAGAUUUAUGCUAGACACAAUUGGUGUCUAGCAUAAAUCUUGGUCGCUGUAUUGUCUCUCUGCGGCUGGAUUUUUCCGUAGUAUAAAGACCUAACAAUCCAAGGAUGAAGUGGAAAAAGCAUGAUUGUUCUGAAUUACCAAUUCUUUCUAUAGAACCCUUUACUUUGUGUAUAUAACUGAAUACUGUUCUUGAUUCUUUGGAGAAACAUAUUUGUCCUCCUCCUAUACUGGAAAUGAUUAUGAUUUCUCUGGACUUUGUUACUGGAACUUUUAAUUUAUCAGGUUCCAUAAACGGGAAACACUAUCACAAUUAGAGUGUGUGUGUAUAACCAUCCUCUAACAAAGUGAGGAUCCCUAUAAAAAACCAAAAAAAAAAAAAAACAGAUUUUAUUCUCAUUUUGUUAAAGUGAAGAUGUCACUAGAAUACAAAAAAACACAUAUUUCAAUACAUUAAAAAUUGUAUCUGUUAGUGUAUUGAAUUUUUUUUUUUUAUUUACUGUAGUGCCAGACUCUUUCUACAAAAGUGAAACAGAUCAUUCUUGUUAAUUUCCCCAGAUGAUCAGUUUCUUUGGUAAACAACUCUAGCACUUAUAGCCACUGGGACUUCAUACAAUAAAAAACACAUAAUGGUGAAGUUAGACCAAGAAAAAUAAGCUAUUGGAAUUGAGUAAUACCAUGAGAACCACAUUGCUUUCCAUAACAAUGACUAGAGGCAUCAAGCAUGAUCAAAAUAACAGCAUGGGAAAUAAUCUCUCAGCCACUUAUAAGUCAUUAAUCAAAAGCAUGCACCUUUAAGAUGGCAAAAAUUUAUAUACACACACACAGUUCAAUCUCACUAGAGUUUCAGAAACUAGCAUUAUCGAGAUUAUGCCCUUCAUCUCUAUGCUUAGUCAUUGGUACACAUCCGUGUCAAAAGCUAGCCAUUCCCAAGUCCAAACGGAUGACAAAAAGUGAACAUUGUCCCAGAGACAAGAAACUUGGUCUUCCCUCUUAUCUUCAAAAAUGCAAUCUUGCCAAGUAACCCAAAAAAGAGCUAGAACAUCACACUGCCAGAGAUCCUUAGCUUUCUUUCCUUGCCCAAAAGCAAAAACAUUUUCCAUUAGCAAAGAGCUACAAGAACUUGGAGCGUCCCAAAAUCAAUAACAUAAUUGAGAAUCAAUGCAUGCAUCCGCAAGCAUUUAUUUAGUAUGAAAACCAAUUUUUAAUUUCUGACAGACUUAAUUGCCCAAAUUCUACCAGGCAUUUCAGUUAACCUGCCCGAAAUACAAUCCACAGGUGCAUUUAAAUCAGUUGGGCUAUUUAAAUGAAAUACAGGACCUACAAACCUCAUUGAAUUGCUACCAAAAGUACUCCAUGCCAAACAAUCAACACAUGAAAUACAGGACCUUCAGACAGAGGAAAUAUGGCUGAAGAAGAAAUUAAAAACCCAUAGAAGCACUACAUACUUCUAAUACUAAUAAUGGAACAAAACAACAUCACAAUACACUCAAUGUACCAUUAGAGGAAUAAAUCCAUACCAAUGACGAGCUAAAUAUGACAUUUUUCUAGAAUUAAUAACUCUGCAAACAAAAAAGCAUGGUAGUUAUCUGCAUUUUAAAUAAUCCUGAAAACAGGGCAAUGACUUAUUUAUGUCAUAAAAAGAACCUACAAACACUUAUUUUUAAUCUAUUUUAUUUCCAAGCAAAAACAACAUUCUUCUAUUCAUUCUUCAACAAAAAAACAGGUUAUGUUACAGUAGUCACCAGGCAGCAGGCAAAACACUUGAUGACUAAAUAUAUAAAAAGAAAUAAAAAAAGCUAAAAAAUCACAAAAAUUAAAAAUUGAAAAUAAAAAAAGAUUAAAAAAGAAACAGCAUUUAAAAAAUGAAAAAGUCAAACCCUUCUUCAGAAAAAUCCAGACAGUAAGUAAUAUUCCACUGAAACCGCAACCCAAUAUCUGAAUUUUUUUUUUUUGGGGGGGGGGGGGGGAGGGGGGUAAGAAUUAUUUUCAACAUAGAACUUGAACUCUGGAAGAGUUAAAAGGAAAAGACGUAGAUUACUCACUGAGUCUGACUGAGAGAGAGUCGCCAGUAUACCGCACCGGUCAACUCCCAGUUGAACUUGCAAGUUUGGGUUCGAGUCCCAGUCCGACGGGUAGUGAAAGCACGUAAUGAUGCUAAUCAGCUGAAGUAUUAAAACCUGUUUGUAUAAGCCUGCACAUUACAAGUUAAUCAUCAGCAAAGGAGGGGGCUGCAGCAAGAAACAACACAUCAUGUACUAAUUAUAAAACAUGUAAACUUAACGUAUUUUACCAGUCACAAAGCCCCUUUUCUUUAGAGAUAAUCUCCCCAGAGCAACUAUAAAUAUGAGAAAAAAAAUGACCACAAAGUAGAACCAUCCCCUCUUUUUCUCCAAACAAAUACAACCAUUUCAUUUCACAUAGAACCAUUCUAGUUCCAAGUUUCAACCAAUGAAACAACCAUAGUAUUCUUAUAAAAAUAAAAAAUGAAAUAACCAUAGAAUAAAAUAAUUAUACUCUAAUUCAAAUAUUGCUUCAGAAUUUACGAUUUAUGCCAGUUUCAGUUGCUCAAAAAUAUGGAAUUGGAAUGAUGCAUUUAUUUAACCCAAAACGUGAAUACCAAGCUUCAGAUUCUUACAUAUUGAAAUGAUCAAAUUUCAUUCAUUCUGAACAUGGGAUACAACUUCAACUAUUUCAAGUUAUUCCAAGAGAAAGCAUUAAAAGAAAUUUGUUCAUCCUACGUGGUAUAAGUAGCAUACUUCAGCUAGUAUUAUGCAUCAUCGGUUAAAUCAUUUGGAUUAUUAACAUUGAUAUUUUUUAUUAGCUGAAUUAAUAACUGUUGCACCCCUAACUUAAGGGCACUUGUGAUAAGAAAAAUUUAUCAACAUCAGGUGCAAAUAUAAGCUUUUAACAAUGAAGCUGUGACUGUUUGCUUACAAGAACAAACAUAUACUAAUAGAGAUGAAUAAAACCCAGAACUUCAAGAAAUAUUUGACGUUAUCUCCCCUAGAAUACGGAUAUUAUCCAAUAUAUCAAACCAACAAUUUUUAUACCCAGCUGCUUAAAACUUCAAAAAAUCGGUCAGCACAACAUUUAGGAUCUCUGGGACCCUAUCACUACGACACUAACAAUUAUAAGUGCGUCCUACUGAUGUUGCGUAGUUAUUAUAAAUACAUGUAUUAAAAAGCAUAAUAUCCAUAACAAGGUAGCUUACAAAGUUUACUAGGCCAGCAAUGCUAAAGUACAACCAGAACAAUAACAAAACAUACGAAGACUGUUCUUCAUUACAAAACACAACUUUCGAAAGAGGUAAUCUCCAUGUUAAGCCCCAAAUCAAAAUCAAUCCUCCACUGACCACAAUUUUUUCACCAUCAUUGCCCAAACCUGAAAAGUAAGGGCUGAGCUAAUGGCCCGUAACACAAAGGAUUUCUUUUUUUCUUUUAACACCAAAAUAAUUCACACAACUUGGGUACAUUUCUAGCAUAAGCCAUUUAUUUAUAUAUAAAUAUAUAAAUUAUUUCUUAAAACAUUUUGAGUUUGAAAGUUUUGGUAUUCAAUAGAAACAUCAUAAGACAAGAUCAUAACAUACCCUAGGGUUACUCAUACUUUCUGAAGUUACAUGUAAAGAAAUCCUAAAAUUACUCUUUCAAUAAUACAAAAUAAAAACAUGCCUGACAAGUCAGUAAGCUGUAAAUCCAACCAUAGAACAUGUCAUAAGGAAGGCACAAGCAGAGGAAAGAUCUUCAAUGCCUCAGUGUGAUGACAAUCAUCAUGAAACAAUAUCAACAGAUGUGUUUUAGGGAUACAUCUCAUAUAACAACCUUCAAAUGAUAUUAAUAUACAGCGAUAGAUCGAUAUAAAAUAAAUAACUCCAUAAAGCCAUAAAGAAAGAGUUUACAUUUGUGUUGGGGGUGGGGGGAGUUGGGGAGGAAGGAAGUAUGUAAAGUCUCUCAAAUUCUUUACUCAUGGUGUAAUAGAUUCUCCGAUAUACAUAAUGUAUAAUGCUGUUAAAAGAAGCCCUGAACUUAGAAUUACUUCCCCCUCCUCAUAUUCUUAGUUAUAAUAAGGCAUGAGUGAGUUUUGGUAUAUUUAAUGGGAUAUUGAAUGGUCUUUACCCCCAUUUUAUCUUGCAAUUACAAAACCAUGAAAGCCUCUUGCAAAACCUGAAUUUAGAUGAAUGGACUUCAAAUGAAAGGAUUUUCUUGCAAAAACUACAAAAUACAAUGGCAUAGUGAAAACGGGAAAAUGAAAAUAUAAAGCAAAAGAAAAAGUUUCCAUCUGAUAAAACAAAUACAAAAAAAUCCAAGUUUCUUAUUUGCCAUGCCAAUAUUAUUCAUGAAGAACUAAUCUAAUUUCUUUUCCAGACAAGGUUAGUAACAAUUUAUCUGUAAAUAACUGAACCAACUUGGUUACUACGACAUUACUCUUUCGCUUCUGCACUCAUUUUCUGCACAGUUGCAGUUCAUCAACGGCCGCGUUCACCAAAACGAGUCCACUCUCCCCACUUCACUUAUUUCCCCACCAUUUAAUGUCUCUCAAAGUGCAGCAGCAAGACAUGAACUCCUAUCAUUAUGAGCAAUAUAAAAAGCCCUCCUAAAAAAUCCACCACCUGUUUGGCCAGAAAAACUCCAUUACUCAUUUCCACACUCUCAAUUUUCACCCCUUUCAUCGGAACACAAGCAUUACUUACCCAUGUUUAGACAUAAUUUAUUUUUCUGAUAUCACAUCAUUCAGGGGAAAAAAAAAACAGACUUCAGCACAUAACAUAAAUUACAACAAGCUGGUCAAUUCACAUAAACAAGGAAAAAUUAACUCAAUAAAGUGAAGUAGGCACAAAAUGACCUCAAUGAGAUAUCAGAGACCUCUAAAAUCAAAUCAAAUUCAGUUAAACAAAGAAUCACUCAUCCAAGAUAAGCAAAAGAAUAAAAGCAAUGAAUAACAGAAAGAAAUUUCUUAUAAAAAUUCAAUUAAAAAAAAAAAGCUAAUAAUCUUUUCUGGUUAAGUGAUUUCGUCCGCAAAUAAGACAAAAUAGAAAUUCUGAAAUAUACCUAGGGUUUCUAGCUUUGGGAAUUUACCUUAUGAGAAAUCAGUCUCUCUGUUUCUAGAUUUGUAACUUUAGUAUCAUGGCGAAGCGACCUCACUCAGCUGAGAUAAUCGGAUUUCGCACCGGCGACGAUGCAAAUGUUGGGGUUUGGGCUCGACGACAGACAUAGGAGUGUUGGGGUUUUGGGUGAUUUAAGGAUUUUCUUUUAUUCAAGUAAAGUGACCAAAUUAACCUUUCAAAAUAAUUAAAGUAUCCCUAAGUUGUUACACAUUAAUGUCUAGAAUAGUUAAUUAAAUUUCUGCUCAUGGAUUUAUAUGGUACAAGUGAGUUCGUGUGGGGAAAAACGAAUAACAGGCUAAAAGGAAAAUUCGACGCAAAAUUUUAUUAGUACAAGCAUUACGUAAAUACAUUAUUGAAUAUGCCUUUUUUUUCCUGGGAUAAUCAUAUUAUAAGUGACAAAUAAUACAACAAAAGAAUAGAAGUACAAGUAGAAAGGCAGUAUCUAGGUUGUCUGCUACUCGGCUUCUAGUUCCACCCAAGAUACAUCUUCGUUCAGGUAACCAAGCACAGACUCUGUUACUGCUAUAACUAAUUUAUCACAUGACCAUAAUUUCCAGAACACCUUGCGCUUGUCCAAUGGGUUGUUCAACUUGAGGAGGAGCUAGCAGAUGGGCGUUGACAGAGGUGACAAUGAAGACAGCGAGACGUCGAAGCCAGUAGAGGAAUUGCUGAAACAGAGAAGCUAACAUUGCAUAACAGAGUGAUAAGAUUAUGAGGCACAAAUAGGCUACCAAAAACAGAGACGGAGCCAAAAUGACAGAGGCAACUGCUGAGACAGCCAACAGAACAGAGAGUUCUCCACAACUCACGCAAAUGGGUCGGCUCACUUUGAGAGGAACUCUGAUGGGUGUGAGGAUGAAGAGCAGUAAUGGGAUAAAAAGAACAUACAAAUGCUUAUUUUUAAUCUAAUUUUAUUUCCAACCAAAAGCAACAUUCUUCUAUAGGUUAUAUUACAGUAGUCACUAGGCAAUAGGCAAAACACUUGACAACUAAAUAUAGCAAGAAAUAAAAAAGAGUUUAAAAAAAAUCAAAAAAAUUAAAAAUUGAAAAUAAAGAAAAGAUUAAAAAAGAAACUGUAUUAAA